rnacentral:lncRNA from 1 species
AUCAUUGGCCUAAUUGAUUCAGGUACGUAAGACAAAAUAAACUCAAUAAUGAGCACUAUAAUUAUUUCGCAAAGCAUGUUCAUAUAUCUAUAUAUAUAUCUAUAUAUAUAUAUAUAUAUAUAUUACUUCAGUUUAGGAAUAUACUUGGUCAUCGAUCCGAACUUUCACCUAUUUGCAGGUAUCUGGCCCGAAUCGAAAAGUUUCAGCGACGAAGGUUUCGGGGCGGUGCCUGCGAAGUGGAAAGGCGUGUGCCAAGAAGGACAGGAUUUCAGCACCAGCAACUGCAGCCGGAAGAUCAUCGGGGCGCGGUGGUACGCAGGCGACGUCGACCCGAACGACCUCCAAGGGGAAUUCCUCUCUCCCCGCGAUGCCAACGGCCACGGCACCCACACGUCCUCCACCGCCACAGGGGCGCUCGUUCCGGACGCCAGCUUCCACGGGCUGGGAGCCGGAGCCGCGCGCGGCGGCGCCCCUCGCGCCCGCCUAGCGGUCUACAAGGCGUGUUGGGGGAGCGUCGGCCAUUGCAGCGACGCGGACACCCUACAGGCGAUCGACCAUGCCAUCCACGACGGCGUCGACGUCCUCUCUUUGUCAAUCGGCGGGCCGUCCGAGCAGCCCGGCACAUUACAUGCAGUGGCCAGCGGCAUAACCGUCGUCUUCUCCGCCGGUAACGAUGGGCCUGCUCCCCAGACUGUUGAGAAUUCGUCCCCCUGGGUGAUAACGGUUGCUGCGAGCACGAUUGAUCGAUCUUUUCCUACCGUCAUCACACUCGGAAAUAAUCAAAAACUUGUGGUGCGUACAUAUGCAGUAAAAAAUCUAACAAAUAUAUAUAUAUAUAUAUAUAUAGAGUCCGGCUACUAUACUAUCGAUAGUACCAAGCCUUUGGUACUAUUGAGUUUUCUACCGUUAGAUAUAGCCUUCAAUCAUUUCCAUCCGUUAGAUUAUACUAUUAAACCAACCACCCACUCAACCCUAGGGGACCACUAUCAAUUUAACCGGGAAUACCAAAGGACUGGUACUAUUGAUAGUAUAGUAGCAUAAUUCUAUAUAUAUAUAUAUAUAUAUAUAUAUAGUUGAGCUAGAAUACUAUCGAUAGCAAACGGGCUCCGUUGCCACCCAUUUGUUUUUGUUGAUGGAGCCUCCAAAUCGACGAUCGGCAUCGUUGAACAUAAUCUAUACCACUUGAAGUGUUUAGAAAUCAAAUUUCAUAUAUUUCCGACAUUGUUUUCUUAUCCAUCACUACAACAAAAACGGUCUAUAGCAACACUUUUAAAUGUAAGUACAUGUCAAAAAAGUGCUGCGAACUAAAAUUACCGACACUUUUAAGAAGUGUUGCUAUAUGUGGGGUCGCUAGGUAUAUAGUGACAGUUAAAGAGUGUCGCUAUAACCUAAAAGAGUGCUGCUAAUUUACCAACACUUAUUUAAGCAUUUAGCAACCGCCGAAACUUUAUCUCGUUGGCUACGGUGGCAGAGAAGGACGAUAGUAAAGACUUUUCGUCUAGAAUUUCAGUGGAUUGAGUGAAGAGAGAAGAAAAGAUGGUAAUUGAUUUUUUUUUUUUUUCUUUUCUGUUUGUAAUCGGGCCAAAUGGACUGGGUGUGGUGGGUUGAGUAGAGUAAUCUUUUAUUUUUGGUUGGAUUGGGCUUUAUAUUUAGGCAUUAGUAAAUGUGUUUUUAAGUUUUAGCAUAAAUGAGACACUUACUCAAAAGUGUCCCAAACAUGUGUCCCUAUAACCUAAUUCUGUUGUAGUGUAUCAAGUGGACACAAAAAUGAACGGCUAAAAAUGAAUAUUCUUUAAAAAAUGAUGAUAGGAAUUUUGUAAUCAAGAUCAAGAAUAUAGAUUUUGUUUUAAAUAGUUUAAAGAAUUUUCUAACAAAAAUUCAAUUGAUUUGGAUAUCUUUACGCCGUUAAACGAGAAAACGCUUCAUAUCGACCAUUAAAAUUAUAAAUUUUGAAACCUUUUGAUCAUUAUGCAAAUGAUGUCGAAAAGAUUUGAAAUUUAUUUUCUAAAUAUUUCAAGUGGUAUAGAUGAUGUUCAACGGUGCCGAUCGUUGAUUUAGAGGCUCUAUCAUCGAAAACAAGUAGGUGGCAACGGUACCCGUUUGCUAUCGAUAGUAUUCUAGCUCAACUAUAUAUAUAUAUAUAUAUAUAUAUAUAUAUAUAUAUAUAUUACUAUACUAUCAAUAGUACUAAACAUUUUGUACUAUCGAGUUUUCAGUAGUUGAAUGUAAAGAUGUGCGGUUAGAAUGAUAGUGGUCUUCUAGGAUUGAGUGGGUGGUUGGUUAAAUAGUAUAAUCUAACGGGUGGAAAUGAUUAACAGGCAGAUCUAACGGUAGAAAACUCAAUAGUAUCAAGAGCUUGGUACUAUCGAUAGUAUAGUAGCCCCUCUCUCUCUCUCUCUCUCUCUCUCUCUCUAUAUAUAUAUAUAUAUAUAUAUAUAUUACCUGAUUUGAUGUGCUUCUUAAUCAGAACUAUUUAUACAACAUAAUGUGUCUAUGUGUAUUUUCUCUUGCAGGGCCAAUCCAUCUUCUAUGAGAUCAAGAAAGAGGACCAAUUUACGGAAAUUAUUAACGGAGAAAGGUAUUAUUACUUAUUGUUUAUGUAUACAAUAAUGCAUAUAUAUACAUAUAUAUGAUGUUUUUUUCGUAAGUAUAUAUAUAGCUAGGAAGUGUGUGUAUAUAUAUAUAUACACCUAAGAAUUAUUGUAUGUAAUGAUAACUAGUAAUUAGUUUAAUUAGUUUCGUAAAUAUGCAUCUAAUUGCAAGGUCAAUAUAUGUAUGCUCUUCUCAUUUGUGAUGGAACAUAUGCGGUGAUUUUCGCAGCUGCCACAACGGUUCUGUCAACACCACCGACAUUGCCGGAAAGAUCGUGCUGUGCUACGCUCCCAGUAACGUUUCGUCGACGCUGCCGCAGAUCGACCUGGGCACCGUAGGUUCAUUUGUAUUGCAAGCUGGGGGAAAGGGCCUCAUCUACGCGCAGUACACCACCGAUGCUCUCAUUGCUGUUGCAGGGUGUGGAGAAGUUCCGUGCGUUCUCGUGGACUUCGAAAUCGCCACUCAGAUACUGAACUACAUAGACACUUCAACGUACGUAACACUGCUAUACUACUACGUACAUCUCCUCGUUACCUUCUUAUGUAGCGCGUAGCCCUAGUUGGUUCAGAAAUAAAUAGUUUAUUAUUUAGGAAUAGUUAGAAAAUUAUAGAAUUGCCUUUUGUUUAUAAUAUUGCUAUUUUUUAAAAAAAAUUGAUCAAAUUGUAUUCGAUCGGUAAAUUUAAUUAAAUAGUAAAAAAAAAUAGUAGAAAAAAAUUAUGAUUGAAUUUGAUGUAAAAUAAUUCUCAAACCAAAUGGGACCUUAGUUUUUAUAAGAAACUUAUAUAUUUCCGCUGAGAAAGUUUACUAUGCAGCAUUUAUUCUACAUGAUCUAAAUCCAGCCAAUUACGUACACACACCGUUAGGAUUUGGUUAGAUUUGUAAUUAAAUCUUAUUUGGAUAAUAAUUAAUAUUUAAAUCUGUUUGAGAUAAAUUAAGAUUUAAAUAUUAAUUAGAGGAUAAACCUAACUAGAUUAGGAUUAAUAUUUAAAUCUAUUAGAGAUUGAUUAAGAUAGAUUUAGAUAUUAAUUGGAGUAGAAAUCCUAAAUAUAUUAGGAUUGGGGUACGUUUUGGUGGAGCCUUAUAAAUAGCUCUUUGUGGGUUUGCUUUUUGAGUGAAGUAUCGGGAGAGAGAGAAAGAGUCUCUUGGGUUGCCGUACCAGAGAGAGAAAAAGAAAGAGAGAGUUAUUUAAUUAUGCUUUGAGUGCACCUAGUGCACAGGUGCAUGUAAAGAAUUGUCUUCUUUAUGGAUUUAUAGAAGAUGAGAGAAGAGUAGAAGAGAUUCAGAAAGAGGGCUCGGGUUGUAGCUACUCUGUGCAGAAGAGGAGUCAGGUGUAAUCUUCUCUUAUUUAAUGAAUCUUAUUUUACCUGCAUAUUUUUCUCUUUUAUGAUUGUAUCAGCUUUUGCUGAGGAGACGGGUUUAUGGUAAAAACCCGAUUUGACGUUUCCGUUGCGGAAUCCCAACAAUCGAUACCGGAUCCACAGCAGUCAGUAUCGGAGCGGGUUGCGGAUUCACGAGAUCCGGUACCGCGGGGCGAGUAUCGGAUUCCCAACAAGUGGUAUCAGAGCUGAAGGUUAUCGAUCCGAGGGAGAGAUCGACGAAGAUGGCCACGAAAUUCGAAAUCGAGAAGUUCGACGGCAAGAACAAUUUUGGAUUGUGGCAAAUUAAAGUACGAGCGAUCCUCGUACAGCAAGAAUUGGACGAGACGUUGAACGGGAAGGAGGCGAAGCCGGCGGAGGUCACGGAUGCGGCAUGGACGAAGAUGGAGCGGAAGGCGCUAAGUACGCUUCAUCUAUUAUUAGCAGAUGAGGUUCUUUACAAUGUAGCCGGCGAGACGACACCGGCGAAAUUGUGGAAGAAAUUGGAAGAUCUGUACAUGACCAAAUCCCUGACGAACAGAUUGUAUCUAAAGCAGCGACUGUUUACGUUGCGGAUGCAAGAAGCGGCGAGCCUACAUGAUCAUCUAAAUGAGUUCAACAAGAUGGUGGCCCAGUUGACUAGCAUCGGAGUCAAUCUGGAUGACGAAGAUAAGGCGCUGAUUUUACUAUCUUCGCUACCGGCGACAUAUGAGCAUCUGGUGACCACAUUACUUUAUGGCAAGGAGACCAUAAGCGUGGAGGCGGUCACGGCGGCGCUUCUCUCGAACGAGAUGCGGAAGAUGACUCAGGGGUCCGGCACGCAAAGUCAGGAUAUAGGACUGGUGGUGACUGCGAAGAAGGAUGCGAGAAUAUCGACGACCGGAUAUCGACAGAAGAAGCCGCUAUCUGAGGUAGAGUGCUUUUACUGUCACAGGAAAGGGCAUAUCAAGCGCAAUUGUCGAAAACUUCAGGAUGAUCUGAAAGAGUUAAAGCGACAGAAGGAGAAAACUGUCGUGAACCAGGAUGAGACGGUAUCAGCGACGGCACAGACGGCAGAGUCAGAGAUGUUCGAUUCUGAUGUGCUAUAUGCGGCGACCGGAGGUGCAAAAAUUUCGGACGAUGCGUGGGUGCUCGAUUCAGCGUGUUCUUUUCACGUAUGCCCGGAGAAGGAGUCUUUUGCCACCUAUAAGGCGAUCAAAGGUGGAAAGGCGCUGAUGGGGAACGGGACAGCGUGCAAAGUAUUGGGAGUCCGCACGGUGAAGAUCCGAAUGCACGAUGGGGUCGUGAGGACGCUGACAGGUGUUCGGCACGUUCCUGGAUUAAAGCGGAAUUUGAUCUCGUUAGGCGCAUUGGACUCGAAGGGUUGCGAUAUUUCGGCUUCAGGUGGAGCUAUGAGGGUCCGAAAACGAGAUCGGGUCGUGUGCGAGGCGAACAAGCGUGGGAAAUUAUACGUUCUGAACGGAAGCACAGUCAGAACGAGAGUGAAGAUCGUUUGGGUUUCAAAAGUUCGCGGAGGUGCAGUCGCUCGAAACGGAGCAACGGAUGCGGCGACAUCGAGCGGAGGAGACAAGCUCAAGGUGGAGCUUGCAUGGUGAGCUCGACGUGAUGGUUGAAGAUUACAAAUUCAAUCAAGGUGGAGAUUGUUAGGAUUUGGUUAGAUUUGUAAUUGAAUCUUAUUUGGAUAAUAAUUAAUAUUUAAAUCUGUUUGAGAUAAAUUAAGAUUUAAAUAUUAAUUAGAGGAUAAACCUAACUAGAUUAGGAUUAAUAUUUAAAUCUAUUAGAGAUUGAUUAAGAUAGAUUUAGAUAUUAAUUGGAGUAGAAAUCCUAAAUAUAUUAGGAUUGGGGUACGUUUUGGUGGAGCCUUAUAAAUAGCUCUUUGUGGGUUUGCUUUUUGAGUGAAGUAUCGGGAGAGAGAGAAAGAGUCUCUUGGGUUGCCGUACCAGAGAGAGAAAAAGAAAGAGAGAGUUAUUUAAUUAUGCUUUGAGUGCACCUAGUGCACAGGUGCAUGUGAAGAAUUGUCUUCUUUAUGGAUUUAUAGAAGAUGAGAGAAGAGUAGAAGUGAUUCAGAAAGACGGCUCGGGUUGUAGCUACUCUGUGCAGAAGAGGAGUCAGGUGUAAUCUUCUCUUAUUUAAUGAAUCUUAUUUUACCUGCAUAUUUUUCUCUUUUAUGAUUGUAUCAGCUUUUGCUGAGGAGACGGGUUUAUGGUAAAAACCCGAUUUGACGUUUUCGUUGCGGAAUCCCAACAAUCGAUACUGGAUCCACAGCAGUCGGUAUCGGAGCGGGUUGCGGAUUCACGAGAUCCGGUACCGGGGCGAGUAUCGGAUUUCCAACACACACCUCACACACACACACGCGCGCGCGCACACACACAUAUAUAUAUAUAUAUUAAAAAAGUAUAAUAAAAAUGUUUUCUUUUUUACAAAUUGUAAUGAAAUGCGUGAACCUGACAGGCCAAAUAUGAUUUGUUGGAGAUACUGCUAACGCUGUAUAAGCCAUGUGACUGUUCUAUUUUAGAUUUUUUUUUUAUUUCCACUAUUUGGUAGUACUUUAAGCAUAUAAUACAGUAAACCUGAUCCUUCAAUUCUUUGUUAACUUAUUGAUAGGAAUACGCCGGUGGCGAAGGUGUCUCUGACGAGUAAUACGAUAGGAAGUGAAGUGCUUGCUCCAAAGAUCGCAACUUUCUCAUCCAGGGGGCCUAGUGCAACUUUUCCAGGAAUCCUCAAGGUAAUAAAAUAAAAAAGAAAAAAGAAAAAGGAAAAAAGAGAAAAAAAUCAGAAAUAUUAAUUAGUCACUUAUUUCCGCCUUAUUUUCGAUGAUAGAAUAUUUAAAUUGACAACCGAUACUAUUAAACAUGAUAUGUGAUAUUUGAAAUUUCAAAGAUUUGUCUAUUUUACUGACUCAGCAAUUGAGUAGUCGAAUCUCAACACCUCUGCCUACUAGAAUUUCUAACUAUCAACUUAGUGUAUUAUUACUUGGUGAGAAAUUUUGGACUUGCACUAGUACUAGGUGUAUGUCUCGAUCCUCAUUUGUAUAACAUGUAUUACUUUUAGUUAAUUUCCUAUUUAUUUAUGCAGCAUAUAUACUAACAACUUGUCAAAUUUGAACAGCCAGAUAUAGCUGCACCAGGAGUUAACAUCUUGGCAGCUAAACGGAAUUCGUACGUUUUCGACUCAGGAACGUCGAUGGCGUGCCCCCACGUUUCCGGAGUGGUUGCGUUGCUCAAAUCGAUCCACCCAGAUUGGUCUCCUGCUGCUAUAAAAUCCGCCCUUGUCACCACCGGUGCGUAGUAACAAGCUUUAAUUUGCUUCUCUGUGCUGAAACACUGUAUUUGAGCAUUCGGCAAAUUAAAAAUCUACAAUUACUACUGUGACAGUGUGUUAAGCACUUCUGCUUUUGUUACACUAAAAAGUUGUUUAUGAGUUGCAUAUUGGUGAACUCAUGAAUAAAAAUAAUAGGUUUAUUGAAGAUACUAAGUGCUAACGGUCGAUUUGAAUUUCCGUGAAGCCUCUGUCACCGACAGCUUUGGGCUACCGAUUCUGGCGGAUGGGACACCGACGAAGAUUGCAGAUCCAUUCGACUUUGGUGGCGGGUUCGUCAGCCCGAACCGGGCAGCUGACCCGGGUCUGAUCUAUGACAUCGAUCCGAAGGACUAUCUCAAGUUCUUCUACUGUACCCUUGGUCCAUCCGACGAUUGUCAAUUCGCAAAGGGGCCUCUGUACGAUCUGAACCUACCGUCGAUAUCCAUUCCGAAUCUUAAAGCAGCGGUGACGGUGGAGAGGACAGUGACAAAUGUGGGCCCAGCUGAUGCAGUAUACCAGGCACAGUUCCAGAGUCCCCCUGGAGUUGAAAUGUAUGUGGAGCCAUCUAUUCUGCGGUUCGACGAACAUACGCAGAAGCAGAGCUUUAAGGUGACAUUCAAAUCAGCGCGAAAACUGCAAGGAAGUUACAUGUUCGGGAGCUUGACUUGGUUCGACGGCGCGAACCACUGGGUCAGGAUACCCAUCGCGGUUCGAACCGUAGUUCGUGAUUUCUAUGCGGACACUGACUAAGCUGAAGCAAGCUAUCGAUAUAACUCGAUGCUCUAUUAUAUGUCGACGAACGAAUAAAAAAUGAGUGUAUUUUGUUUAAUUUUGUUCAGAAAAACAAGUGUGUUUUGAGUUUGGUUGUAUUUCAAUAAAGGUACAAAAUAAUAGUUUGUGGAAUUUGGUUGCAUUGCACCAAAACUAUAUUGCUUUUGGUGCACACUGGGCAUUGAGAAUUCAUUACUUUCUAAUCCUUCUAUUUAUCUUUAGUAGGAGCUAAACAAACUUGAAUUGUAUUAAAGAACCAAAAACAUACAAUAUUGUCACACUAUACAUUCUCAUUACUUUAAGCAUUCCUAUGGCCUGAUAAAGAAGAAGGAAGAAGAAAAAAAUAAACAUUAACAACAUUGAACACCUAAAUAUACUUCAUCCAAACAUUCUAGUUCACUAGUGAUUUCCCCCUCAAUCCCCUGAAGAAGCACUUUCCUUUGCAAUGAGAUUGAUGCCGCGAACCCAUAAUUCCACACUAGGGCCACUUCUAGCCUCGAAAUGGACCUCUCGCCCCCCCACCGUCACCACCCGAAAGACCGCCGCCUCACCGUCUUUAUCGUCAUUCCUCCUAUUCUUCGAAAAAUUCAAACUCGGCCCCGCCGUCGCCUCCUUACACACCACAUUCCUUCUCUCGCUCUUCCCCCACGUCAAAACCCCGGAGUUUAGCAUCCGGACGUUCUUCAAAUGUGGCGUGCCCCGCCCCUCCCUUGUGUGCUUGAUGAGCUCCUCCCCUUCGGUCACACAAACUCGAGCUAAUUGAUCGAGUAUCAAACCCUCGGUCGCCUUGUUUGAUUUAGGGCUUAUCCUCGCCAAUGUUAAAGCCGUCUCGUUUCUAGCAUUGGUAAGCCCGCAGUCGGCCCCUCCUUGUAGUAUUAAAACCUGGCACGCCUCCGACUUUCCCUCCAUGGCCGCGAGCAUUAGAGGUGAAUAACCGUUUUCAUCAAAAGAAUCAACUUUCCAUCCCAUCUUUAAGAGUUGAACUAUUGAUGAUGUGUCGCCCUUUUGAGCCGCAUAAUGAAGAGCUCGAAAUAUCAUUCGAUCAGUUAUAAUGUCGGCUAGUGUCGCUUUGAGCAAAAUCUGUUCAAAAGAAUCCCUCAUUACAGGAUCUUCGUUCUGAAGCAUGGACAUUAAAGUCUUAUUUUCGGAAUUCUUUACCGAAAUAUCUGCUCCAGCCAUUACUAAAAGCCGGAAUACUUCUGUUUUUCUGGCCUUCGCCGCGACCAUGAGGGGAGUAAAUCCGGAACUAUCCGGCUUGUUUAUAUCUGCAGUUGAGGAAUGGAGAAUCAUCUGAAGAGGCUCGGUGGAACCACUUUCAGUGAUAAAAUGUAAUGGAGAGAAGGCAUGAAUAUUUGAUGAGUUCAAAUUCACCCCUGCAUUCAAAGCUUUCGUCAUGAUGUCUAUGAGGGACGACGAAAAAGCACUUGUUUUUGCAACCUGCACUGCUGUUUCACCUGAAUCACUCACAAGCCCUAAGUCGGCCCCAGCUAUAAUAAGCUCGAGAAAACAAUCGGCACUACCGGCCUUUGCAGAGAUCAUUAGAGGAGUCUCACCGUUUGAUGUCUUUGCAUUGAUAUCCGUUCCAUGUGAUAUUAAUUGCCUCAGUAUGUCAGCACAGCCCAGUCUCGCCGCCAAGUGAAUGGGUCGGGAUUCAUACCUAUUUUUGGUUCUUAUUGGGAACUUGGAGUUUGCACCGGCUUUGAGGAGAGCGCUUACUGCAUUAGGGUUCCGGCAAAGGAUGGCGUGGCAGAGAAGGGUGCGGCCAAGAUGCGGGUUUUCAAGUAAGUGUGGUUCAUGCCGAAGAAGAAGACGAAGGAUUUCGCCGCUAGAUUCAAAGUACUCGACCGUGCACCAUUCCGCAGUGUAGGGCUCGCCCAAGCAGGCGCCAACUCUGAGCUCCUCGCCGGUAAUCGGGUCCCACGACCACGCCCCGAGCCGAGCUAGACAGUCCGUCCUCGCACCAGCCUGCAUGUAGAGUCUCAUAUUUUGAACUGUGCAGGUCUCAAAGAUUUUAGAAAACAACAAACAGCAAGAAAGCCUGUGCAAACGCCAACAUUUUAAGAUUACAUUAAAGCCAACAGUUUGCCCCACAGACCUGUAAGCUAAGUGAUUUGCGACAUUUAUAGUUUAACAGGGUAAUUAAUAUAUAGGUUUAAAUAUUUCAGAGACAAACUAAAAAUUAAUAACAAUAUUUAUAAGGAGAGUUUGAUGAGUUUCAGCCUCUAACAAAACUCAUAAUUGAAUACAUUACAUUGCAUGACUCCAUAGAUAAGAAAAAUGCCCUUCUCAACAUGAAGUUAAAGAGGACAUAGAGCAUUACCUCUAGUAAGAAUUUCACAGUAGAAACUUGUCGGCUCACGAUCGCAGCUACAAGAGGCGUGCAAUCCACAUUUGCAUGCAGUGCAGGCUUAAUUGACUGCAAGAGGACCCUAUCCACACAAUUAAUGUCCACCCCGUUCUGCGCAGUUACCACACAAGAUACUUUUAAAAUAGCAAAAAGAUUUCGAUCACAUAUAUCCUAUAACUGGCAUAAAUAGUUACAUAUAUAUAUAAACCUGCAAAGUCGUCAAGUUACAUAACAGCAUUCCUACAAAUCUUAUUUUUAUAUAUGCCCCCCAAAAAGAAACUCGAUUUCUUUUGUGUACAAACACGUUUGUACUUACAAAUGUGUGUCAUAUUACAAAGCUUUUUUCAGAACAAAAGCAACUUUUUUCAUGCAUUGGAUGAUUCUCAGAAACUGCAGCUUCGAGGGACAUAUAUAGAAAUUACGAUUUUACAGGUGCAUGUAAAUAAAGGAUUUAGUAGGAAUAUACAAGUAAAGGUGCCACAAAUAACAUACAAAUAGUACGUUAGUUGUACCUUGAUUAGUGCGGCCACUACAUCAACAAAGCCUCUAGAAGAAGCUGUCACAAUAGCAUGGGCAGCUGAAUCGAGCCUCACCAUCUCUGAGCUAAUUAAUAGUUGAACUGCUUCAGCCUCGCCAAAAAGACUAGCUUCGAGCAAAGCAUCUUCACAAGCUGGUUGAGAAGCUCCAGCUUUCAGAAGCACUUCAAGGAUGUCGCAGUGGCCUUCGCGUGCAGCAGCGGUCGCAGCAUAGCCCCGAAACAGCUUCUGAUUGACAUCAGCUCCAGCUUUCUACAGUGAAAAAGCAGCAAAAGCUUGAAUUUUUAAGCAGCAGCUACAAAACCAAACAACAAAGCCUUUCACUUGCUUCUCGAUAUUCUUGAUCAAGUUACGCGGUUCUUUUCUCGUUCAUUAGGCUUCGUAUAGAUUAUGAUAACCACCCACAGCUAGAAGCACUAGUUAUAUAUAAACAGAAGGUUAAGUGAACUGAUUUCGAGGCCUCAUUCUUGUACGGCGAAAACAAUAAAACUACAGAAUCUGGUUAUUUAAUCAAUCAAAAAUCAAUAAUAAUUCAUAAACUGCCUUUUUUCCUCCUACAUAUUGAAAUUAUCCAACCUCUAGAGUUACUAAUGUCGAUUACGCACAAAUCAGUAUUUUCUAAUUCUCAUUAAUAUAAAUUAUAUCUUACUUGAUAAUUUGAAUGUAACACCAAACUCAAUAGAUUUGAAUUUUUUUUUUUUUAAAAAGAAAGAAUAGGAAAGGAGAAACACCAACAACUCCUUUUCCUUGAAUAAUAACUAACACAUUCUGCAUCAUUUUUCUUGAGUUAUCAAACAAUACACAAAUAAUGCCCACAUUUAGAACUUAAAUACCACACUAAAAUCCCCAACCAAAAAUCCAUGAAAAUUUGGAAAAUAGAAGAGAGCAUUUCCAUUCAAUUUGAACUUACAUUUUGCAAUUCAAAUGAUCAAAUACUAAUUUUGAACCAAGAGAAAAGAUUGGAUCUUUACCAGGAGCCUUCGCACCACGUCGAUGUGGCCGGAGUGCGCGGCGGCGAACAAGGCGGUGACGUCGCUCUUGAGCUCCCGGCGCUCGAUCUCUACCUCGUCCGCCGCCUCCUCGCGCAUCGCGAUCUCCACGCACCGCACACUCAGCACCACCGCACCCACCUCGUUCACAUCCGCCGCCGCCGCCGCCGCCGCUCCGGCGCCGCCGAGGCACUCCUCCACCGCCCGCGCGUCCCCUCUCAGCGCCGCCUCCACCAGCCUCUGCGACGUCGCAGCCUCGUCGCCGCGCGCCGCCGCCCUGUGACGCGCCAUGGAUCGAACCCUCACCGCCCCCGCCCCCCGGAAAGGCGACGACUUUGCGGAAGAAGGGGUGGAGAAGCGAAUUGGGUCGUCGCCCUUUUCACCGUGGAGUGGAUCCUCUCGUUGGUGCUCGCUCACAACGCACGCACUAAGGGAGGAGGAGGAGGCGCACACCAGGUGUUUGUAAUUUGGUCGACUCCAACGGUCGGAUACUCUGGUCAUGAUCAUAGGGGGAUUUAAAAAAAAAAAGAAAAAGAAAAGGUAAAGGGCCUAAAGGGAAAAUAAUAUCAAAAUAGGUAAAAUUGUACAACACCUACAAAGUCAAACUGAAGUUGUAAAUUGUAAUAUAAAAAAAAAAAAAAGUAAGAGUGUGCAAAAAGUAGAUAAUUUACAGGGACCCCACUCUACUAUAGACACGUUUGAAUAGCAACCUUAACUUUUUUUAAGUUAAAAUACAAUUAAUUAAUUAAUUAAUUAUUUAUUUAUUUAUUUAUUUGAAAUAAGAACCCGAAAAACUCACCCCAAAAAUGCCCCAGAUAAUUAGAUGGCUAUUUUAAUUUACUAUUCAUUGUCUUUAUUAUUUUAACGUUGAUUUUAUGAAAUUUAAUCAUUUUAAAUUUUUUUUUAUAGCUAAUAGAAUUAAGAAUAUGUUGAACUAAUUGAUAGUUAUUAGCUAGUAAAGAUAUUAAUUUAAAUAAUUUAAUUUAAUUCAAAAAACAAUUUUAAUUAGAUAAUUACAAAACUUAUAAAGAUAUCAAUUAAAGAAAAAGAUAGUUAGGGACUAACAUGAAAAUAACAACUUUGAAUGGACUAACAUGUAAAAGUACGUCCUCUUCUUCUCCGCAUCGAUCGAUCACAUUAUCAGGCCCUCGUCUCUGUAGCCUCCUCUUCGUCUUCUUCGUCGUCCUCCUCCGAAACCCUAAUUUUGGGAGGGAGAGAGAGAGAGAGAGAGAGAGAGAGAGAGAGAGAGAGAGAGAGAGUGCGAUGGGCGCGGAGUGUCGCUACGAGCUCUCCCAAACAGCCUACAUUAAGCUCGCCCUCCACGCCCUCAAGCAUCCUUCCUCCCCCGUCAACGGCCUCCUCCUCGGCCCCCUCCAAACCCCCGCCUUCGCCGCCGACCCCACCGUCGUCGUCUCCGACGCCGUUCCCCUCUCCCACUCCCAGAUCGGCCUCCUCCCCUCCCUCGAGCUCGCCCUCAUCCAGGUUUUGCUAUCAAAACACUAACCCUCUGAUCUCCCUCCUAUUCAUCCGAUCUAAGAUCUAUAAGCCCAUCGCUUCAGGUUGAGGAGCACUUCGGCGGCGAGGGGGUCGGCGUGGUCGGGUACUACCACGCCAACGAGCGGUUCGACGACGCGGAGCUCGGGAGCGCCGCGAGGAAGAUCGGGGAUCACAUCUUCCGAUACUUCCCUCGCGCCGCCGUGCUAUUGGUUGGAGUUCUUUUCCCCUGUAUUUUGCCCUAGGUUUUUAGUAUUUUUGGUGAUUUUAAUACUCUAAUGAGGGUUUUUGAUUGUGCAGUUGGAUAAUAGGAAGCUCGAGGAGUUGGUGAAGGGGAAAGGGCGCGAUCCUGUUGUGCAGGUACCUGCGAUUUUCUCUUCUUAUAUCUCUCUUUGCAAGCAAGAAUCCUGUAAAGAAAUCAAUUACUUUCUAUCUCAGAGAUGAGUACUAGUGGGAUUUUUAUUGUUAUUUUGUGAUAAGAAUUGAUUUUUAUACACUAACUGCCUUGGGGAGAUCUUGAGAAUUUUUUGUUGUGAGAAACUGGUGUAUAGUUCCGUUGAUCUCUUUGAAAAGAUUGACAAAAACUAGAAGAUAAUAUUGGCCUUCCAAUUAGCUUGUAUUUGAUCAGAACUUGGUUAUCUUAAAUGGAGUGAAAGGUAAAUAUGGAGGACCUAGAGGGACAAAGUGUGGAGGAUAGAUUAUUAGGUAUUCACGGCAGAAAGAGAAUUAUUUUUACUUUUUUUAUAGGCAUGUGAUCUCAAAGGCUGAAGAAAUGCCAAAACAUAAGGUUCAUGACCUCUUUGCUUUGAUCUACGUUCAUCGUUCCAUCUGUUUUGCAGAGAUCUAGCAUGCAAAAGAUAAAUAUACAGGUUAGGAUGCAAAACGAUCUUAGUAAUCAGGGUUACCUUGAAAAUACACUGUAAAAUAUAGUCAUGAAGCACGAAUAUGCUAAAUGAAAAUAUCAACAAAAUCCUGUGCAUACAAGUAUUUGUAUUCUAUUGAUUUACGGUGGUUCACUUUUGUGCUGAAAGCUGGUCGAGCCAGCUUACAUCCAGGCUGAAGUGUAAUCAAUGCAACUGGAGCUAGUUUUAGAUUUCUCUAUUCGAACGCUAAACUUUAUCAAGAACUGCCUACCGACCUUUUCUGUAAUGUGUGUUGGGCUGGUUGGUCAGGUUGAGAAUCACCACUUUAGCACCCGUACAGCCGUACUUAGGCUACUUUUGUUGUUUAUAGACUUGCAUUCUCUAGUUAUUCGCUUCUCUUUUGAACAAGAGGAUUACAGUAUCUUUGUAACAGGGAAAAGUGGAAAGUUUUCCUUUUAUUGUAGAAAUGUAAGGAUAAAAUGAACCUGUACUAGAGUAUUUACCGGCGGAAAUGUUGCAGAGGAGUUUACUUAAAAGCUUUUUGGGCUGAUCUUGAGGAUUGGUGAUUACUCAGUAAUUACGAAAUGAACUCUUUUACUUAAAAGCCAAGAUGGUGCAUAGUUAGAAGAUCAAAUUACUACCUCAAUAGAUCAGGAGAUCGUAACAAUAGGUUAGUUUGAAAUAAUGAAGAUAACAUGAAAAAGUAGAGUAGAAAUAGGCAGUCUUCAUGAAGACUAAAGUGGAUAGUCGUAAGAGAAACUGAAUCUGGUUGUUCACAUCUUGAUGUUUUUGUCUCAUGUUCGUCUUAAUUGGCCUACUGUAUGAUGUCUGAAAGCUUAGAGUCGACCAGUCGAAUAAGUCCAAUCCUAUUAGGCAUCUUUUUUGACGAAGAAAGUAGAGAUAGUAAAUUAAGUAAUUUAAAACUAGCUGAACUAAGCUAAAAAUACAACAAGCAGACCUAAUUAAGUCUCAGCUACUGUAACAUAGAUAGUACUGUGCUAUAGCAAGCGCAACUACAAUAUUGAUGCAACAGAUAAUGAACCAACUUACUGUAGCAUCAGUAGAACCAUUAACAUGAUCAAUAAUUAACAGUUUGAACAUAAUUCUUUGAAGUCUUAACUCUUCAUUCAUAUGCUUCUGCUUUGUGGAUGUCAUCUUUGAGAUCUCAUGGAUCAUCUCUAUUGUGAGACCUUCAUCUGGUAAUUUUUAGGGGUACACCGGUGGAGACCAGUUUGAUCCAUUCUAUUAUGGUUGGUUGUUAUGCUUUUUUCCGUUGAUGAAGGACCUAGAAGGUUUUAAUCAUUUAUCUAGUGAGGUUUAUCAAUGAGUUCAUGAAGCUUCUGACGAUGUAUAUUCCAAGAAUAAUUUAGACACAGAUGAGUACCAACCAUAGUUCAUGCUUUUCUGAACCGUAAGUUGACUUAGCAUUGGAUAUUAGAAGAUUGCAAUCUUCUCCACCUGUGUAUUUUGCCUUUAGGAGCCUUGACUACUGAAGAAUUUGGUCACUCAUCCUGUCUUCAACUACUGAUGAAGAAUUUGGUCACUCAUCCUGUCUUUAACUACUGGCAUGUUUGGCAGAUAUAUCUUCUCAUUUAGUGGGUUGCCAUGGGUUUGAACAAUCCUGUUGCAACUUCUGGCAAUAUAUUUUUGUGCUGUAAGCCCUAGCCGCUCUUAAGAAUAUAAGGAGCUAUGUAACUUUAGAUAUUGAUUUCUUAUCAGAUGGACUUGGUGGACAGUUACAAGCAAUUCACAAUUGAAGAUGAAAAAUAUGCAUGACCUAGGAAUCUAGAAAGGGUCUCCUAGUAAGCAUUGGCUAAUGACAACAAUUAAAAAAAGAAAAAACGUUUUGCCUGGUGUAGAGAUCUCCUUUUAGAUCCUCAACUUAAAAGAAAUUUACCUUGGAUUUCACUUGCCGCAUUGAUUCACAGCAAGAUGGCAAAUGGGUAAGUUCAUUCGAUACAUACUGACAAAUAAAGGCGAGAAAAAUGAAAUCAAAUUGCUAGCUACGAUGCUUUGAUACGAAAUGCUCUGAACCUUAUUUUAAAGGGGUUCACACUAUGUGGUUUGAUAAUAAUGGGCAAAGAAUAUUGUUUGGCAUCGAGUAGCAGUUUGUUUGUCCUAUCUUCUGUUGCAGACAAUAGUCGUCGACAAGUUAACAGUGGAUGAUUCUAUAGAAAUUCAAUAAUCAAUAUAAAUUCAGUGAAUGAAGAUAUUCUAAAAACCUAGUGUGUAUUACAUGUGUAUUUUAUAACAUAUUGAAUAGCUAAAAAAUACGACGCCCGUUGCUGCACAUGGGCCUAACUAAGAUAAGAAAACAUAGUUAAUUUGCUCAUUAUUUUUUGCUAGUGCUCAUGAAAGAUUUGGCAGAACUGCAGUAGGAGAUAGUAGAGAGGAAUGAGUGCUAGCUUGUUUCUUUGUCAGAGACUCAGAAUGGUCUUCUAGACCCCAUAUAAGCAUGAUCAUGUUGUAUUAUUAUUAGCCAUGGUAAAAAAAAAAAAAAAAUUCUGAUUUGAUCUUUCAAUCUACUAUAAUCAAACAAAACUGUUGCAGAGCUGAAAGUUUCUUCUAGCGGGCCAUUCCUUUAAACAUUCGUUCUUUCCUUGUGUUGCAGCUAUACACAAGGGAUUCAUCAAAAUCGUGGCGUCAAGCGGGAUCAGAUGGAGGCAGUCAGCUGGUCCUAAAAGAGCCCUCUGCCAACGUAGUCCUAAUGGAUUACAUUAGUACGAAAAAAUGGCAAGAAAUAGUUGAUUUUGACGACCAUCUUGAUGAUAUCAGCAAGUAAGAUCGCACUUUUCAGUAACACCCUCCUUAAAUAUUGCCUACCAAUUCUCAAAACCAAUGUCUUUAACAAUGGAUCAUGUGCUUUUCUUUUUUUUUGAUUUUUCUCGCUUUGCAGGGAUUGGUUGAACCCCGAUAUCUUCAAGUAAAGCUCUUUGCGGUGAUGGUUUCUGUAAGCUGCUUCUCUUUAUUAUCUGGCUCUUUGGAACGCAAUUUAUUAUCAUGUUUAGACACAAAAUUAUUAAUCUGUGUCCUCGAAUGAACGAACGGAGGACGAAGUAAGGUCCUGAACACAGGUAGUGAGAGUUUCUUCGUGUCAGGGUGAUUGAACCAAGGACCCAUAGCUGUUGCUUUCUAUAUCAAUUUUGCUUUUGUUUAGCUUGAAUUUCGGCCCCUCCAAAAUGGAUGAUUGACCAUUCUGCCUAGUAGACCUGAGUUUGUGUUUCCUCUCUCUCUCUCUCUCUCUCUCUCUCUCUCUCUCUGUGUGUUUUGAUUUGCUAAAGAAAAGGACUUGUACGACUCUUCAUUGUCUGAUCAGGGAGAAGAAGAAUUGGGCGAGCGGCGAGCCCCGCAGGACGUUGGCCAGGUACUGCAUGAAUGCUAGCCAAUUCAAUAAGUCAUUACUCAUUAGAUGUAAGUACAAAAGCAUCGGCCGCGUUUCUGUCAAAAUGCAUCAAUUAUAAGCGUUUUGAAAAGGACCCUCGACUAUUUUUAUUUUGGCUGUGACCCUCUCAAUUUUUUUUUUUUUCAAUUUAGACUUUUUAUUCUCUGUGAAAUGUUCUAUUAGAUUAAUUGGUCUAUUCGCUGUUAGCCAGUAAUAUUUGAUGAAUUCACCAAUAUAUUUUAAUAAAAUUCCCAAUUUAAGUGGUUAAAAUCACUAGAUUCAAAAUUUCAAAAUUAAUAAGAUGAUGAGCCAAAAACUAGGAAGUUAGAGAGGGCUAUUGGAGAAUGGUCUUGUAGUUAAGAAACUCUCCACUGCAUUUACAAAAUUUAAUCCAUUUACAGCAUGCUCUGUAGCAUGUCUGUAAUUCGUGGCCCAAAUCACCAACCUGCUAUGUUUAAAUUUAAUUAUUAUUAUUAAAACUUUUUACCCUAAAAGAGUCUCAUUCACAAUUUUUUACCCAUCCGAAGAACUGAGGCUCCUGAAGAGUCAUAGGCUCCAGAAUGGCUACCAAGUGAGAAUGAUACUGAAACAGUCUCAGCAGCAACAACAAAAGGAAAGAUCGCCAAACACCAUCAAUGUUUCAUUUCAGCAAAAUACUUUCGUUCUGCUCUGUACACAUGCAAUUAACGACGAGCACACCAAAUGAUCUUUUGGCACAUGUUCAUGGUAUAAAUAGUGCUAAGCAUAGUUUCUUAAAAUUGCCUUAAUCUUAUAUGCAAGAGUAGGUGCAGAAAAACCAAAAGAUCACAACCAAUCCCUACACAAAUAGUUCGCUCAGGUAAUUAUAAUAAGCUCAUCAGCCAAGCAAAAGGAGGGUAAGAUAUAUUAAAUUGUAACAAAAUAUGACCAGGACGAGUAAAAAUACACUCAGUGAAAAACAAGGACCAGAGUAAUUCACCCAGAAAAGGAUAAAUAUUUUUCAUGUGACGGAGACUCUACAAACUUCAUCAUACCGACCCAUAAAUAAGCAAACCCUUUUACAGCUAAGAAUCAUUAGUCUUAUCUUCUUUUUUUCUCUUUUUCUUUUCAUGGUUUUUGCUCUCAUAAGAAGACAUCUCGCAAGGUGGCUUCAAAAAUAAUGCUUAGAACAAUAGAUUGCGCCGCAAUCUCAUUUAAGUUCGGUGGCCUCUUAUAAAACAGAAAAAUCUCUCUUCCUGCCCACAAAAAUAUGAAAAUAAUCAGCAUGACAAAAAGAUUUUAAAAAAAAAAAAAAAUCAAGGACUGAGUAAUCAUAUAAAUACGCUCUCAUAAGCCGCAGAAACUAAGUAUAAGAAAGGCAAGGCUUCUCUUACCAUCUAGUCCAAAAUUGAUUACGCAGCGAAUGCUGAGCUCCCUGCAGGUGGAAGUGCAACAACCUUCCCCACUGCUACAGUUUUACCUGUAAAAGCAUCAAAUUGUAUCAUUAAAUGGAUUAAACAAAAAAGGGUAGCCAAAAAGGCAAUAAUUGGUAGUUGAGAAUCAUCUACUACCUUCAGUUCGAAGAGUAAAUCUCCCAAGCUGAGGAAAAUCAGAGAAGUUCUCGAUGCAUAUCAAGUUAUUCACCUAAAAGUGCAGAUUUAAAUAUCCAUCUGUUACUAAUAAAAAGUUGAAUACUUGCUCACAUUACAUGAAAAUGAAAUAACACAAUUACCUGAAUGCGACAAACAACAACAGCACCAUUCUUCACAAAAAGAGGCUUUCUCUUUGGCUUCUUUUUCUUGGGAUCUGCAUCUUUCUUUUUCUUCAUGUCGAUUUCUUCUAUAAGUUCCACAAUCUCACACUCUUCGACUAUGGAGUGGAUAUGAAGCACUGCCUUGUAACCAGCAGUGAAAAUUGCCUAGCGAAUCAAGAGGGAAAUCAACAUAACUAGCCAAUCUUAAACAGAUAAUCUUAGGCUUCAUUUGGUAUUGUUGCCUUUUUUGUUGUUUUCUGAAGUACAUUCUAUAUGAUUAGAACUGCUGGUGGAUGAACUUCUCUGUUCUUGUAAUCGUGAUUAGCUUGUGAUGCAUUCUUGCCAGGAUGCUAAACAGCAUCCUCUUCACAAAAAAGAAUUGGAAAAGAAAAAUACUACCAAGUUCUGUUUUAUGUUGCCAAACAAAGCCCUUAAGAUGUAUGGACUGUUUAAGCAAAAUUCGCCAUCCACCUUCCCACUCCAUCGCAUGGAAUUUGUGUUUUAAAAGGCAAAUAUUGAGCAACAUUCCAGACAAGGCCAUUUUCCAUUUCAAUUUGACAGUCACGCAGUCUAGAACUUCGAUACUAUUAAUUAGACAGCCACCUUCUAAAACUGUUUAUGAUUGGAAAAGGGGAAAAAAAAUAAAAUAAAAAAAAACCUUCAUAGGGAGCAAUUGCAUUUUAAUAACAGAUCGUGAAAGGCAAUUGCAAGAUUUUGGAAAAUAACAUGAAAAAGAUAUUAACACACAGCUAAAGUUUUUCUUUUCUAUCAGGUUAAUUUUUUGACAGGUCCACGACCAAAUACAAUCUUCUUUCAUCUUUCUGUUUGUCUUUGCCUCGUAAUUCAAGAAAACAAAAUACUUACGUUGUCAAGCAACUCCAAAAUUUGCAGCUGAGCAUGAAAUUCGAAAACAGCACCAACCGGAUUUGCUGCAUGAAGAAAACCAAUUUGUCAAACAAUAUAUUCACGUAAAUAUAAAGAGAAGAAAAAUGAAAGCAUAUAGGCCACGUGAAUAGAAAACCACAAUAGCAUUAUAUGACAUGAUGAAACUGAUGCACUUAAUGAAGAUUUGAGAGGUCGCAGGGGUCUAAAUUUUGGAACAAUAAGGAAUGUUCGAUGUUUUACCUUGCAUAGUAGUAAACAUAAAAAAGCUAUUUCAAGAAAAUGACAUAAAAGCACACAGGUUUAUCACAAGAAAGCAGUACUUACUGACACUUGAAAGGACAAAACCAGACAAUAUAUCCUCUUCCUCGACCCCUGCCAAUUUCACUCUCACAUUUUCAGCAGGCCCAGCACGCCUCACUUUAUUUUCAUCGCAAUAUACGGCGAGCACUUUUACAUUAGCCUGUUAUAGAACAAGUUUAGUUUGUCUCACAUAUCCCAAAAGGAUAAUAGUUAACCAUAAAGAGAAUGGAUCAACAGGAAUAGAUCGUACUUUGUUAGGCAUGACCAACAAGCUAUCACCCUCACGAAUCGUUCCAGACUCAAUUUUUCCCAUCACAACUGUUCCCAUGUCCUUGUACUUGUCAAUUAUCGGCAUCCUGCAUUCAUAAACAGUUGAUAAUUCAACUGGAGUUGGAAAAAGCUUUCGAGUCAAGGUUUGCAAACAACUAGAAAGUACGAGUUAAAUAAGAUCAUGAACAUACAAGAACUAAUAUUUGGGACUUCGAUAUGUAUAUCCCAUAGAAUAAUCUAUGCACAAAUAUACCCCAAUGAAUUCUGAACAAUCAUAUACACCCCUCCAGAAACCAGAUUCUUAUAAGAGAACGCCAAAAUUAGUGAAUUCAUGGGGAAAGUUGGUUUCGAAUUAAAAAAUAAAUUUAGAGAGGGAAAUUUCUGUAAUUACAAUGAUGUAUAGGUAAGAAACUAAGUUUUUGAAGGGCAUAUAGGAAAAUUAAGUUUUGAAGGAAUAUAUAGGCAAACAGAUUAUUUUGCAACAGUAAAUAGGUAAGUAUCUCUAAUUUCUAGGCAACAGAGGAAACUCCUGACCGUGAAGAUAACUGCUUGGAUAUAUCACGAUUUAAACUUUACCCAUUUUGAUAAUCCAAGCCCAAAAAUAAACCUUGAUUAAUUAAAUAAUCCUCCAGUUUACCACUUAUACAAGGGAUAAAAGUAAUAAUAAUGUCCUAUUAAUCGAGGGGUUAUCUACACAUAUUGAUUACCAAGGGCACCAAAGUACAAAUCUCAAUAUAGUAAAAGGGGUUCACUGCAUUUUUCUAUAAUAUUUAGGCAAAGAGGCAACAUAAGCUGGCGCACAAUGGAGAUAGACCAAUAACAGAAUGGUAAUCAUACCUCACUGGGCCUUUAGGAUCUCGUAAAGGAACCUCAAUGGUAUCCAGGACUUCAAAAAGACAUGGACCAUUCCACCAAUUACAAAUGCUUUUAUCCACUCGAGUCUUCAUAUUAAUGCCCAUCAAACCAGAGAUAGGUAGAAAUUGGACAUCUGUAUACGGGUGCCUCAGUGAUAGCUUACUUUUAAAUGAGUGCAUACUCGUAGGGGAAAAAAGAAAUAAAGACAUAUCGUCUGAGCUUAAAAAAAAAUGAAAUGAUGAACUUUCAUGAUGUUUAUUAGUAAGCUACCUUUCUUCACAUUGUACCCUGAAGCCUUGAGGAAGGGAGCCAUCUUAGUUUCUAUCUCAUCAUACCUGAAAACGGGGAAAAAGUACAUAAUGAUAAACAUUGGCAAUUUAAAAGUUAAGGGGCUUAUACAUAUAGCGUCGAUUGUUUAUACACAUAUAUAUAUAUAUAUUCUUGUACUUACAAAAAUGCCCAGGGUUAAAAUUUUUAAUACGAAAUGCAAAUACAUCUUGAGAGAUAAUCUAGCAAGGCCAUACAUAUUAAAAAUCUCAGAUUACAGAUAUAUCAAAUUCAAAUCAAAGUAUGAUAAUCUCUUUAAACAAACCUUUCUUUACACCAUUUCACUGUAGGAUCAUCCAUUUUAUUGACAACAACUACCAACUUAGCAACACCCAAUGUUUUUGCAAGCAGGACGUGUUCGCGGGUCUGUCCACCUUUCUCAUAUCCAGUUUCAAACUCACCCUUUCGAGCAGAGAUAACCUUAACCAAAUAGAAAAGGGAUUACUGAAUUGGCAGAUAAGAUACAGUAAAGCUGGACGGCUUAUUGUUUACAUGCUCACCAGAACACCUAUAUCAGCUUGAGAAGCUCCACUUAUCAUAUUCGGCACAUAACUUUUGUGGCCCUACAAAAACGAUGAACCAUACACAAGGUUAACUAGUAAGAAAUGGCAAGUCUAAAAAUCCUUGAACAUGUAUAGGAUUCACAAGAUAGAUAAAAUACUCAUUGGUAGGAUUCUUAUAUCCCACCUAUUCUAACUAACAAUGAAAUUAAACAAUUAUAAAUUUUCAAGGAGUCUACAUCAACUUACAUUCCCCAAUCUUUAAUGUAAACAUAGUUACAACUAAAAGGGUUUUUCGCAUAUACUCCCUUUGCAAAUUAGCGAAACUAAGCAAACACCCCUACAAAGUUGGUAUUUGCACAAAUGCCUGAAAGUUUUGUUUAUCUGUGUGCAUGCUACUUCGAGGAGUUUUGAUGCUACAACCGUUCAACCAUAUAUAUGGCCCAGCAAGGGAAUGAUUGCAAAUACAUACAGUAUUCAGUCAAAUACCAACUUUUUACACAAUUUUGCAAAGGUAUAUAUGCAAAAAAUCAAAACCAAAAUGAAGAACAGGUAGCAUGAUCUAAAAGUGCAUGUUAAAGAGAGGAAAGCUACCGGAGCAUCUAGAAUUGUGAAUCUUGUGCUUUCUGUCUCAAAAUGAGCUCUUCCAACCUCAACAGUCUUGCCCUGAAAUAUAUACAAUGAAUCAAUAAGCCGGAAAAAGAGAUUGAUUGGACGAAUCGUGCAAGAAAUGGUAUAAUCUACAACACCGAAAGUGAAGCAUGCACUGAUCAGAUCUUUGUAAGUAGAGAUACUUAGAUUGCAAGUACAAUAUAAAUCAGCGAUAACAUAAAUAUCCAUUCCAUUCACACAAAGUCGAUACAUGAAAAAACAGCAAACUCUCGGAACCCGGAAAUAAAAUUAUAUCUCAGGUUCUAGAGAUAGCAGAACAGCACAUACAAAUCCACUACCUUCUAUAUGGCGGACAAAACCAUCAAGGCAAAUAGCACUAAAAUAAAAAUUACUAGCAGCGAAACAAACCUUAACGCGUUCCUCUUCAUUGGUAUCCAUGAUGUAAGCCAUGUACCUGCAAUAUUUUUAUUUAAGAAUGUCCACCAAAAUAUUAGAAUUAGUUUUCCACAAAAGUAUGUUUAAUUUGCUAAUUGGUGAAUGAAAGAGGUUGCAGGGCCAGAGAGAAGCAACAGACUUAAUUCAUAAAAUCAUGGUCCAGCUUAAAAAAGUGCAACCUUACAACAGAUGGGCUUCAUUAGCCUCUCAUGGGGCUUCCAUGAAGAGCCGUAAUCACAGUUACCUCGCAUAUAUGCUGUUUAUGAAGGAAAAGAGAUUGGCAAUCCUCAAUGUCAUAACAGAAAAUACAUUCUUGCUGGAAAGAAGCAAAAAAUUGGCAUUUCUACCCAACUAGGGAAACAGAUGUAUCUUCCUUAGUACAUAACCAGCUUUCACACGACGUACUAAUACGUGACUAUACAACCCAUAGCGGCUAAGAACAAAAUAUAUCAGUCCUCAAUCACCCAUAAAAUGAAAGCAGUGUUUGUCAACAAGGCAACAAAUACUAGGUACUUAAGGAAAAAGAAUCAACAUUCAUCAGCAUAGUAAAAGGGAACUCAAGUUUAUAUCAUGAUAUAGAUAGAAAUCUAACUUCACUAAGCGAAGCUACAAGAUUAAUUCUUAUACCCACAUGGCAGAAUUGGUUUUAACACAGGUAAAAGCAGAGAGAAAAGUCAAGAUGUUUAAAGAAAAAAAACUACAAGCUAAUACAGCAGUAUGUCAAUAACAAGCAAUCACCAUUAGUUCAAAUAGAAUAACAGCAUACCAACUUUCUCGGCUUUUGUCCUUUGCUUCCUUCUCAUAUUUCUGAAUAGUCCUGUCAUCAACCUGACCACUUAGGAAAAGUAUCUGCCCUCCAGUUGUAGACUUACCAGCAUCUGCAUACUCAAUAAACGAGAAGAACAUUUAGGAAAAGAAUUUAGAUAUUUUAGUGUAUAUAUAAAUAUAAACUCAUGAAACCGCUUUUGCAGCAAAAGUUGAAAAAGAACAAGUAAAGGUUUGAAAUGAAAUCUAAUUACAUAUAGUCAGUUAAAUAUGGAACAUGUACAUUUGUCAAUUAGACUAAAAAAAUUCCCAAAAAGGUAGAUAAAUGUGGAUAAUUAACAGAUUGAUCAUGAUUAUGCAGAACAAGUAUCUAGAUAAAUUUGGUAUGAGAAAUCCAUCUAGUUCAGAGAAAUCUAGAUUUGGUGCUAGCAAUGGUAUAGCAACAAUAACAAUGAUUUUAUAGCACAUGCUGCUCAAUAUGACAUUAACGAUCCAUCUCAUAUCACGGGUAAAUCUGGUAAUUCUCAAAAUUCUCGCAAUGAUGCUUGUGACAGCCCCCCCCAAAUGUAAUCAUAUACUGUUCUCCAGCAUAUCAUACCAUACUCUUAAACCCAGAACCGCCAGAUCUGAAAAGGUCAUAUAAUCUUCAUUGCUUCCAAUUUCUAUGUUCAUUGUUGAAUUCGUAAGAACCUUAUACUCUAAUAUAUUCAGUCUUCUCUAAUGAUAAACUAUUCACUUUAUCAUGUGGAAAUGCAGACCAUAUUCUAUGCAUCAUAGGAUCAAGAAACUUAUGUAUUCACUGUUGUUGCAGUCUUUUAUCUCUAAAAUAGUUUUCUGCCAGAACCAAAUAUUCCAGUCAAAUCUGUCCAAGCACAAACUAUUUGCACCAGAACUGAACAAAUUAUCAAAGGUAUUUUGACAGCAGAAUUUGAAAUGUCAAACUUCUGGCUAAUACUGAAACCCAAGUUUGAAGAGAAUGCUUUCGCUAAAGAUCGAGAUCUUUAUGUGCUUUCCAAAAUAAGAGUGAUGUAAAGCAGAAGUUCACUACAAGAAUAAAAGAAAUACAUAAAAAGCCAGAGAAUUUUGACCAAAGACCAUAAAAAGGAACAAUCAAGGAAAUCAACAAAGCAAGAAGGGCAAACAGAAUGAGACUAUCAGGUAAUAAGUUUUACUUACCGACAUGACCAAUGAAAACAACAUUCAAGUGUCGUUUCUUGUCUUCUUCAGUCUCAUUAUGCUCUUCAGCUUCCGCAGUUGCAGCAACCUCCUUAUCUUUCCCUGAAAUUGUAGUAGCAUUAACAUGGAAAAAGGUUCACAGACACAUAAUAGAACCCUGACCAUUUUACAAAACAAGAACUAAGCAGACUAAAUAGUUUAUAAAUUGAUGGCAAAAAAAUAAUCAAAACGUCCCAACACGAGCACAAAAUAGACAAAGAUGAAAAUAAAACAACUAACCAAAAUUGAAUCAGAUGAUUAAGAGAAAGCGUCUCCAUCAUUUAAUAAUUAGACUAAAACAAACUAAAAGUGAUAUCAAUACUUGCUUUUGUAGCAAAACAUUUCCAGUAGUCCUGUAUGAAUGACUACUAUGCAUGUGCGUUAGGAAACACAAGUACCUUUUGUCUCUAACUGCAAGGACUGAAGACCCGUCUGAAUUUCCUUCACAUCUGAAAAUGUACAAAAUAUUAGGAAAUAAAGAAAUCCUGAAAAGGACAUCACAACUCAACGCACCAGACGGCAUACCAACUAAACUAGUUCUUCAUGAGAAAGUCAACACAAGGUACUUUAGAUUAUACUUUGUAGAACUAACAGCAGAAGAGCACAAAGCAAAAGUUCAUCAGGCUAAAAUAACAGUGCAAGGCACUCAUCCAUCCGCCAGCCUUUCUUGUGCCCAAGUAGUUGCAAUACUUAACCAGGCCUAUCUGUUGACAAAUAUUCCCAUGUUUUUUCCCUCCAUCUCUCUUCUGUUAUCUUCUCUCCCUCUGCCUCUCUUGCAUAGUUCAAAUGCAACAGUGCUCAGCCUACUUGGCAUGACUGUUCUAUUCACAAAUUUGGUUGAUCCUUUAACAUUCAAAUCAUCAUACCUAUUUUCUCUACAAAAGGAGGCAACUUGAUGUAGAAUUGAGCAACAGAUUUUGUAUUUAGGAGUUCACAACAACAAAACGGUUCAAUUAAGUAUAUUUUCAACUUUCUUAGCUUGUAUUUUUCCAUACGUUCUUUUAAUUUCCAGUCAUCGUUUCAAUUUCCAAUCUUGCAACAACAACUGAGCCUUUAUUUCCAUCUGUUAGUUGGUUCUCUUAUCUUUUGUACCCCCAAAACUAAUUCUCUUCCGUUGCCCAUUUCUGGAAACAACUUCUUGCAUGCGAUCUCUCUUUCCAACCAGAAAAGCUUCUAUUUUUUAUGCGAACCAAACACAAAAACAAAAACCUAAAUCGCAUCACACUACAAGAAAUGCUUAAAUCACGUGAUCUCAAUCUUAGCAAAUCGAUAACUUCUUCUAAUCCGAUUCAAUUAUAAACAAGCAAAACCAAUCAAAUCAACUGAGAUAGGAUAUUAACAGAAUCUAUAAGCCAAAUAUCGAACAAUUAGAUCCAUAUAUCGAAAAAAUCCACAUCGAAGCAACAUAAUUCAGAACAAAGACAACAAGAUCUAAGAUAAGGGUUUACAAACACCAAGCAAAUACCGACCUUGGGGAGGGGGGUGGGAAGAAGGGGCUAGGGCUUCACCCUCCCCAGCGGCAGCGGAGACGUGGGCCGGGUCGCCGUCCAUGGUCUCGUCGGCGUCGCCACUCCACUCGCUGGGCUCGCCGUCGUCGGCGAGGGCGGGGGGGUGAGGCGCGAUCUCCACCAUCGGUGCUUCCUCCAUCGCCGAGAGUGGGAGCUAGGGUUUCGUGCGCCGCCGAUUUGGGUGGCCGGAGGAGCGGAGAAGGAGAUGGGAUCGGGGGCGAAUUAGGGUUUUAUAUGUUGAUUAGGCGGCGGCGGCGCUAGCGAGAGAGAGAGAGAGAGAGAGAGAGAGAGAGAGAUUAGCGUGGUUUAGCCGCCGACCAGAUUUUGGGAAAUUAGGGCUCGAAGUGGGUCGGGUCUGGUUCGAGUCAUUUAUUAAGAUAAGUGACAACACAUUGACUUAAAAAACAAAAAAUAUACAUAUUAAAAAAAAAAAAAUCUUAGCUACUAUCUAAACUUUGGUCUAAUUAUAAACCAUCACUCAAAUUUAUCUAAAGCCGAUCACUGAUCCAAUUUGAAUACGAUGAAUUUGAUUUUUAAGGCUAAAAAUAGAAUUAUCGCAUAAACUUUUGGACCGAACAAUUAAACGCUCUCUCUUUCGCAUUAACUCAUAUGCAAUCGUUCUCACGAACAUGUGUUUACAAAUUUUUAUAUGAUGUGAAGUUACAAGCAAAGUCGAGUUUGUGUAACUCAUGACCAGCUCAGUGUAAUAAUUAUUGAUUACGAUAAUAAUAAUCAAUUUACUUUAAUCAAUUACUCUGACAUGGUUGUACUAUGAUCGAAAUAAACGACAUGACGAUAGAACUUACCAAGAUAAAAAUGCAAAUCGAUAUAAGACAUCUACGUAUCUAAUCCGAUAAUGACAUGACACGAUGCCAUUAUCAUCUAAAUCCAAAUAUCGUACACAAAUACAAUCAGCUUACCUAGAUUGCCACUAUUAAUGUGUUUUUAAGAAAUUGUAACAUUUCUUAGAAUUUUAAAGGCACCGUGGCAAAAGAUUCGAUGGUUGAUAUCUGACCGACUGUUUAUUGCGCAUGAUGAAGAAUUCGAUGGUUUGUAUCUGAAGGCUCAAAUCUAAAUUUUAAUUAUUUUAUAUUUUCAGUUGAGUUUGUUUAUAAUAGUGAUUACAUUGGUCCAAAGAACAGAGGGUUUGGACGAGCCAUUGGAACUAAUGGGCCAUUCAACAAAAUCCAACGCAAUGCUUCUAUUAAUUUGGGCCCACAAUUAUCCAUUACUGAACCCACGAUUUGAUAAUGGGAUACUCUAGAUCCAAUAGCUCAUUGGACUUAUCCAUUAGCCCAAAAUACUAUAGUCUAAUUAUUAUGUCCAAUUUAGAUAGAUUUAUAUAUCUCCAUAUUUAGUCAUAACUGUAUGAUAUGGGACUAAUCUUAAGUCUUGAAAUGUCAUAUAAUGUUGGGACUGAGAGGAACGAUAUUCUUUUCCGAGCAAAGCUUUGCAACUCUACCCGAGCGCUUGAUCGCCUCAGACUACUGAUGACAGCUUGGAAGACGUGUCUUUAACUGCCUCGUCUAUUUUUUCGAUCUUUUGGUCGUUUCCUUCGUUUUGCUCAUCUGCUGACUUGUUUGUGUUGUCGCCUUUUAUUAUUUUAUUUUCGUUCAUUUUUGUCUACCUUUUUCCUUCUCUUUUUUCUUUCGGAGGCUCUGAUUGCUUCUAUUUUAUAAGCGUAGUUUAUUUUCCUAAUGAAUGAAGCAAACUAGCUUGUUAUCUAUUCCUCAAAAAAAGAAAUGUCAUGUAAUGUUAGGAUAAACCGGGCUUAAUCCAGCCUAAUUGCUAUUCAAUCGACUUAAACUUCAUUUUUAUCCUGAUUUUGGUGAUUAAUAUUGGCUGAAUAUAUACAUGAUGGGCCCUGAUUUUAAGCAAAGUGAAACUUAAAAGUUUGAGAUAAGCAAUUUACACCUGCUCAUAUUCUGAAAUCCUCACAAUUAGGACUUAGAACUCAAGAUUUAAAACUUAAUUCAUUACCUUACCACUAAGAUUCAAGUGACUUCUCAUGUAUAUAAUUCAAGUAUUAUUUAUUUAUUAUCAUUCAAAGUUUUUUUUAAAAAAAGCAACAAAUGACAGAUCUUUUGUUUUCGUUUUUGUGAACGGUGACUAGAGCAGCACCGCAUACACUAUCUCUCAAGUGGAAGACAAAAAGUCUCUCCUGUGUGUGUGGAGCUACUAUUCUUUCGAAAUCAUAAACAAGCUGCGACUUUCGACUUUUUAACCUUUAAAUAAAAAAUUAUAGAGUCGGAAGAUAAUGAUCUCCCUUAGAGUUGAGUGGUUUUCGUAGGAUAAUAACAUAAAUCUAAAGAUCAGAAUUAAUAAAAAUGAUUGAUCGAAGGGCCAAAAAUUGAAAGUACCAAAUCUCUUAUACCUUCGAAAGUAUAGUAGGUUUACUCUCUCUCUCUCUCUAUAUAUAUAUAAUAUAAUGCAUUAAAGCUGCUAUUUUUUAUAGUAUUCCACCAAAUAUAAAGUUUAGUCUUUAAUUUUAAAAUUAGAAAAGAAUCAGUAAUUUAUUUUUGCAACGACACGACCCGCUAGCAACAAUAACUCGUUCGGCCCAAACCACCUGCCCAAAAUGCUUAAGCCUAAUUAUUAUGACUAGCGUGUAGGCCUCAUAGAAACUAAUCGGAAUCAGUAUCACUAUUGGAGCUCGUCGGAUCCAAACUAGAUCAUAGAUAGAUAGAUAUAAAGAUACAAAUAGACAGACAGACCAUGACCAGAAUUACCAGGUGAUGUGAGAUUCUAGAGGUGGCUUCUACGGGUUCAAGGGGUUUAAACCAGGUGAGAUUCUAGAGGUGGCUCCUACGGGUUGAAGGGGUCUAAACCAGGACCAGAAUUACCAGACGAUGUGAGAUUCUAUAGGUGGCUCCUACGGGUUCAAGAGGUGGUUCCCACCAAAUCCGUUGGCGUAGCACUUUGUUCCGCAUAGUGCUUAGCUCUCAUACUUCCGAAAGGUAUUCGUCUCUGAUACCAAGUGCAACGAUCCGACCCGCUAGCAACAAUAACUCGUUGGGUCCAAACCACCAGCCCAAAAUGUUUAAGCCUAAUUAUUAUUACUAGCGUGUAGGCCUCAUAUAAACUGAUCGGAAUCAGUAUCCCAUCCGAUGUGAAACUAUUGGGGCAUUAUAAUUUUUAAACUAUUUGCAUCUUAAAUCAUUUGGUCAUUUGGCACUAAUUGGGAUAUACGUUUGGAGGAGUAUUUUGCACGUAGGUUUGCUGAAAAACAAAACUGGAACUGUCACAGAAAGAUAAAGUAAACAAAUGAAGCCACACAGAGCUUGCUAGACCAUUAGCCCUCGCCCCUAAAACACAAAAAACAAAAAAAAAAAAAAAAAAAAAGAUUCGGACUCCUCUUUGUCCUCUUCCCGUCUCCCAAGAUGCUAUUUGCCUAGACCUUGCCACCAUGCCAACUGAACCGUGCAAGUUUUUUUUUUUUUUUUUUUUUUUUUUUUUUUUUUUUAAAUAGAGCUAUUUUUCAGCUAAUAUGAGUAAAGUUCUAAAUCUUAUUCAUUACGAGAAAAGCUCAAUUCACUUUCUCGGCCAUUUUAAUUUAAUAAAUAUAUUAAGCGGCUCAACUUAAGUUUAGAAAUAGAACUAAUUUAAUUUCAAUGAACAAACCAAACAUUUGAAAUCAUAUUUUAAAAAAUUUGGAAUUAAACGUUCAGUGAUGAUGUUUAAGCAGAUAGUUGAGAAAUCAUUCAUAAUAUAUAUAUAUGUACAUGCCAAACUAAUAUUUUUAACAUAUCUUUAUCAGAUUAUUGGUAUUAAUCAUUAAUUUCAAAAUGUUAAGCUAUUAGAAAAUUACAACAAAUUUAUUUAAAAUAUAUAAAUAUAACGCUUACGAAUCUCGAUUCGAUCUACAUAGUACCCUAUAAUUUUAAAUAUAACUCAGUAUAACUUGACCUUCAGUCAUAAGCUAGGAUAGUGGCUCCUUUAAAACCAACAAUCUCUAUCGAUUGCUUAUAGGUUGUUUUUUUUUGCAGUAGACCGAUUGGUCCAUUGCUAACAUGACGCACUAAGUUUAGGCAAUGAUAAGACUCUACUUUUUUUCAAUAAAUAAUUUUUUUAUUUAUAUUAAAACUAAAGUUGUCUAAAAUAUCCGAUAUACUAUACUCGAUUCGGACCUUACCCGGAUCCAAAUCGGACCCGAUAAAAAAUGAAUAGUUUAGAGUAAAAAAUAUUAUUUAUUAAAAUUUCGGAUAUAAGUCAGAAUACUUUAUAAUCUAUACCUGGCUUGGACCCGAUCCGAAUCCGAUCUUUUAAUAGGUAGGGUCCGGAAGAGUUUCCAAAUAUGGACUCGAAACCGGACUAGGACUUGGACCCGAUGAAAUAUUCGAUAGUAAAUAAAAAAAAAUUAAAGUUGAGGAAUCAAUUUCAAUAGAACUUAUAAAUAAAGUGUCUCUACAUAUUUUCAUCAUAAUAAAAAUUCUAAUCUUUUUGUUUACUUUUUUUUUUUUUUUACUCAUUUUUUUUUUAAUUCUAAAUGUUUACUGUUUAAUUUUUUUGAACAAAUUUUAUUGGAAUAGGUGCAACUAAUUAGAAUGCGGAACUUUUACAAUGAUAGGUUUAUGAUUUACAGCUAUUUGUAUUCGUUUUAGACCUGAUUCGUAUCCGAUCUAUACCCGAUUUUAAACGGUUAGCAUCUCAAGUAGAUUCGGUGAAUAUAUUAUUAAUUUAUGUACCUAGAUUCAACCUCGAACCGAUAGAAUAUAAUUUUUUUAAGUGUACGAUUAUAGUAUUUAUAUUACCUAGACACCUUCAAUUAAAACCCCUCUCACUCCCCUCCGUCUCUUCCACCACCUCCACCUCCGCAGCAACACAAAACAACACCAUUAAUUAAGAGAGGUGGUGUUGUUGUUGUUGUCGUCGUUCAUGGUGCUCAUGGAGCACUCCCCGAGCUCCCUCCUCCGCCUCCUCUUCCUCCUCCUCGCCUCCCUCCUCCUCCUCCUCUUCCUCCUCUCCUACUCCUACCUCCACCUCCCCUCCUCCCCCUCCUCCUACCUCUCCUCCUCCCCUAAACCCACCACCCAUAAUCACGAAGAGGACGUUCCCCACCACCCCCUCGACCCCCUCACCAUCCGCGAGCUCUCCCUCGCCCGCUCCAUCCUCCUCUCCACCCCUCCCUUCUCCUCCUCCUCCUNCACCCUCUCCUCCUCCUCCUCCUCCUCCUCCUCCUCCUCCUCUCCUCUCUCCAUCCACUCCCUCUCCCUCCUCGAGCCCCCCAAGCCCCUCGUCCUCUCAUGGCGCCCGGGCGCCCCCCUCCCCCCUCGCCGCGCCCUCGCCGUCCUCCGCUUCCGCUCCGCCCCCUACGUCGUCUCCGUCGACCUCUCCGGCGCCACCGUCUCCCACCUCCCCUUCAACUCCUCGGGCUUCCCCGCCAUGACCAUCGAGGACAUGACGUCGUCGACGUGGGCGCCGCUCGCCGACCCCGAGUUCAACCGGACGGUGCUCGCCCGCGGCGUCCGGCUCUCCGACCUCGCCUGCCUGCCCAUCUCCCCCGGCUGGUUCGGCCCCGACGAGGAGGGCCGCCGGGUGAUCAAGAUCCAGUGCUACUCCGCCGACGGCACCGCCAACUUCUACAUGCGCCCCAUCGAGGGCCUCACCGUCCUCCUCGACCUCGACACCAAGGAGGUCCUCCGCAUCUCCGACCGCGGCUCCGCCAUCCCCAUCCCCGCCGCCGCCAACACCGACUACCGCUACGACUCCCGCACCGCCCAAACCAAGAAGAACAAGCGGGUGCGUACUGCUGUGCACCUCCCAUCAAAUUAUAAAAAUAUUAAAACACCGUUCUCCUCCUCCUGAUAUCAUAUGACCCGUGUCUCACGAUAUCUAUCAAAGGAGGCGUACGGUCUCAUCCAUCGUCUAUCAUGAUUAGUUAGCGCGAAUUUUAAAGCAUGUCGAAUGGCGGAUAUAUGAGACGGUCUUAUUCUGCGGACUGUCCUUUAUAAAAUUAUUGUCUGUUUUUCCGGUCAGAAUAGAAGCAUGGUAUAUGGUGGACGAGACCGUCUUAUGAUACACACCGUCCUUCAUAAAAUUUUGUCUCUAUGGCUAGUCAGAACAGAAGGUGCUGAGUUCGUAGGCAAGCAUGACACGAUCAUCGAUCAAUCGGCAUGGUUGUUUUGAAUGCAAAACAGGUGCGUCCGGUGAACCCGAUGUCGAUGGAGCAGCCGGCGGGGCCGAGCUUCGAGGUGGAGAACGGGCACCAGGUGAAGUGGGCCGGGUGGGACUUCCACAUAAAGGCGGACGCGCGGGCGGGGAUCGUGGUGUCCGGGGUGGGGAUCGUGGACCCGGAGAGCGGGGAGCGGAGGGAGGUGAUGUACAAGGGGAUGGCGUCGGAGCUGUUCGUGCCGUACAUGGACCCGUCGGAGGCCUGGUACUUCAAGACCUACAUGGACGCCGGCGAGUACGGGUUCGGCCUGCAGGCCAUGCCCCUCGUGCCGCUCAACGACUGCCCGCGCAACGCCUACUAUCUCGACGGCGUCUUCGCCGCCGCCGACGGCCGGCCCUACGUCAGGGAUAACAUGAUCUGCAUCUUCGAGCGGUACGCCGGCGACAUCGCGUGGCGCCACUCCGAGAGCCCCAUCACGGGAAUGGAUGUAAGAUCCGAUAGUGAAGCACAAAAACCUGCACACUAUUAAAUAGAGCCACAAAUGAGAACCAAAUAGAAUUUAAACUUGAUAAAAGUGUUGCAGAUAAGGGAGGUGAGGCCGAAGGUGACGCUGGUGGCGAGGAUGGCGGCGUCGGUGGCCAACUACGACUACAUCGUCGACUGGGAGUUCCAAACCGACGGACUCAUCCGCAUCAAGGUCUAUCUCAUUCUUUUUUGUUGAAUAUUUUAAAAAUAUUAAAUAUCAUUCUCAAUCAGCUUUAUUUUAUUUAAUUUUUUUUUUACAAAUUAUUUCAAUUGGAUUUUAUUUAUUUCUAAUGGUGACUAUGAAUAGAGUGGAUAUAUAGGGACAGAGAUAUUUUCGUGUUCAUUUGUAGAUGCUUGCUACAUGACAUUCAUUGCCGAGACGACUAUUUUGGACGCACUGUAACCGUUGUGCAUCACUGUUGCCACAUGGACAAUUGGGAUGCACGCAUGAGAGAACCUUUGACACUUCAACAUCGUGCAUGUUUCAAUUUUGACUUUUUCAGCUUCAAAUUUUAAGAUAAUUGGAGCUUAAUUUAAUAUAGAUGCUUUUUAAGUCCAUAUAAAUAAAAUUCAGAGGGUCAAUUUCAAAAGAGGUUAAAGUUUAGGGGGUGUGUACCGAGUGCCUGAUGCGCAUUUUGACACGGGUCGGGUCCAAUGUGAUCGGGUUCGAACCCAAUGUGCAUGUGAUGCGUGCAUGCAUGCAGGUGGGGCUGAGCGGGAUCCUGAUGGUGCGUGGGGCCCCCUACACGCACGUGAGCGAGGUGCCGGCGCACGUGGACCCGUACGGCACGGUGCUGUCGGAGAACGUGGUGGGGGUGAUCCACGACCACUACGUCACGUUCCGCCUCGACCUCGACGUCGGCGGCGCCGCCAACAACUCCUUCGUCCGUGUCGCCCUCUCGCGCCAUGACACCUCCGCCGACCGGUCAGGGUCCAAGUCGCCGCGCGCCAGCUACCUUGCGGCGACGCGCCACGUUGCGCGGUCCGAGGGCGACGCGCGCGUGCGGCUCAGCCUCUACGACCCCGCCGAGUUCCACGUCAUCAACCCCGCCAGGACGACGCGUGUCGGCAACCCCCUGGGUUACAAGGUCGUGCCGGCUGGCACCGCCGCCAGCUUGCUUGACCCCCAGGAUCCGCCGCAGCUCCGCGGUGCGUUCACCAAUAAUCAGGUAAUUAUAUAUCUGAGCUCUACCACCACUGUAUAGAAUAGUUAGGUGGUCACUAGAAUAGCUAUUUAAGAAGCUGAGAAAAGGGUUCCAAUCCUACACAUGCGUUUUAUUAAAGAAAAAUUAUAAGUGCUUGUAUACAUAGAGAGAUAUCUUGUUCAUAUGUAUAUCUAGUUAUUGUCUUUUUUUUCUGAGAGAUAGGUAAGCGUGUUACCCGCUUCGUUUAUUUCAUUUAGAAAUAAAUAUAGUUGGAAAUGUGAAUCAACUAAGAUUCGAAAUUAAGACCUCGAAUAUCAACCACCAAGCGCUUUAUCUAGUUAUUGUCACAUGAUUUUGUUUGUGCUCCUCUUAUAAUUAAAAUGACUACUACAUAUGAUGUGUGCUAGAUUUGGGUGACACCCUACAAUGAGAGUGAGGAAUGGGCUGGGGGGCUGUUUGUGUACCAAAGCAAAGGGGAUGACACAUUGGCUGUUUGGUCAGAAAGGUAUGGUGGUAAAUUAAUUUUUCAUAAAUUAUAAGAAUCUAAUUCAAUAGUUCUUUUGUGAACUUAAUUUGAUAGUUUUGUUGAUGAUUGAUGAUAUACACAUAUAUUUUAAUAAGUCAGUUUUAUGUAUACAAUAUCUAUUCAAUGUUUCAUUAUUAUAAUAUAUACAUAUAUAUAUUUCAUUCCAUAUGUGACAAUUUAUUCGUACAAAAAAGAGUAAAUCAUUUAGUAGUAUCGAUCAUAUGUAUAAAAUUGACCCUCAUCAGCUAAUUUAAGAUAUCAAUAGCAUUACUUAUUGAAUUACGAAUUUAUUUUAAUUAAAUAAGACGAAAGACGGCCCCCUUCAAAAAUCAGACAUUGGAAUCUUUUGGUUGGAAUUGUUGAUUCACGGCGCUACUUAUUUGACUGAUCUUGUUUAAUUAUAUGUGAUUGUGUUUCUGAAUUUCUAAAAGUUUAAGAUGUUAGAGAACAGAAUUUUAAUAUUUGUACCGACAUUCUUCUUGGUUGUUGUUGUUGUUGUUGAUGAAUGUACACAGGGAUAGGCCAAUUGAAAACAAGGACAUUGUGUUGUGGUACACCCUAGGGUUUCACCACAUACCAUGCCAAGAGGAUUUUCCGAUCAUGCCGACGGUGUCUUCAAGCUUCGAUCUCAAGCCCGUCAACUUCUUCGAGCGCAAUCCUAUCCUCUGGGACCCGCCGAACUCCGAGAAAGACCUACCGGUUUGCACUGCAGCGUCAACAGCGGCGAUGGCGGCUUAACGGAAGCGUAUCAGUUCUCCUCUUAGACAUUAUGAGCUUCUUGAAUGAGAAAAAUGGGGUAAUUGAUGCAAUGAAUGGACUAGAAUUUUUGUACAGUGGUUUCUCCAUGAAAGAUGUUGCUGCAUUUUGAAACUUGGGCAUAUAUUGUAAAAUAACUGUUCGACUUUUGAAAAUAAUUAAGAGACCGAAGGAUAGUAUUUUAAUAUUUUAUGUUCAACACUUCUGUUUAGGCUUGAUACUUUUUUAUAGGUAAGACGAGAGAUUUAAACUCAAACUAUUUGCUCUGAUACCGUGUGCGGAAAUAACUUAUGUUAACUCUAUCCUAUCAUAUCAGGGAUUUGCCUGCACUAUUUAUAAUUACACUUUGAUGACAUUGGCACAGUAAAUGUAGAUUUUCCUUCUUAUGAUUUGUAUUAUUUAUCUAUGAAAGAGGGCGAGAAAUUGAGUACACUAAUGCUAUAUAUAUAUAGGCUUUAUUUCAUGCAUUAAGGUGUGAGCUCAACCUGGAUGAAUUUUUAGUAAUCUCCUUGAUCAUAUAUUUCACAAUUUACUUAUCUCUUUGUUAGAUAUUUGUUCUUCGAAUUUACAAAAAUAGUUUUAUCAUGUUAUGUUUCAGCCCCUGCUACUAAUUAAUGAUAAGAUCUCUGAUAGGGAAUGAUCCAAUCAUAUCAAAAUGAUGUUUUAAUUAGAGAUAACCUUGUUCUACAUCACUGUUGGGGAAAACCUAUAAAUGAUGCUGGGUCCCAACAAGAGACUUGCAAACACAUGAAGCAGACCCUUCAACCACUCCAGAUGUUGAUAUUAAACAUUUUGAAACAUGGACGAGUCCAACAAGUUUUUUUUUGAGAUAUAGGCAGCAUUCUAUCUGUUUUGUUUAUUUUAUUUAAAAAUAAACUUAGCUGAAAAUGUGAAUUAAUUAGAAUUCAAAUUUGGAAUCUCGGAUACCAACUACCCAAGUCCUUUGCCAAGAGUCCAACAAGUUACCGGUACUGAUAUGCCAGGUUGUUACAGCUUUGCAUAUCUUAGAAUAAGUGAAUGGUUUAACUUUUUAAGGUCGACGCUCAUGUCAGAAUUCAUAUUUAAAAUUUCUACAGAUAAAUUAUCUAGCUACUAACUGUUAUAUGUACAGAGCUGACUUAUAAAUUCUAUAUUUUGUGGUCCAGUUUGAAAUACAUGGAGCACAAUUUGAUUGAAAAUUUCACAAGCAGUAAUUGAUUCCACCAAUCCCACCAUUUAGUGGAAUCCUAUGGUGAUUCCAGGCCAGCACUGCAGGCCAAAGCCAGAGAAAGCAAUUGGCUAGCUGGUGAUGAUGAUCAGAGGAGAAAAGUGGGAUUCCUCCAAAAGCACUUCUCGAGUUGAUAAAAUAUCUUGGAUGCACCAUCAUCUCCUAUUGUCUCUUAUUAGAGUUAGGAGAUUGUGACCUAAAGAUAGGGAUGAUGAGCAUGCAACUUGGGCUAGCUUCAAAGGAGAGCAAGUGAAAGGUCCCAUUCACAAACUACUUUUGAUCUCUUAUUUUUGGACCAUUUUGGAUGCAUAAAUAUCUUAUUCUAUACCAUUUUUUUUCAAACUUGCUCAAACGUAAAAAUAUUCUAUUCAUUAAUAUUAUACUUUUUUGUUUAUUCGGGGAGUAUGGCGUAGUCAGUAGAUGAAUUAUGAUCGGACGCUAAAAAAAAAAUCUAAUAAUGUAUUAGUAUCAAUGAAUAGGUUAACUAUUGUUGCCUAUUUGUUGGAUGUAUAAUUAAGUGGGUCUCUUCUAAUUGGACUAUAAGAGUUUGAGAGUGAUGGAGUGGUGACAAAAAAAGUUAAUUUUUCAAGGAAGAAGCACUUAAUUUGUACCUAAUCAUCAACUUAAUUAAAUUAAAAACCUUUCUUGGCCACUAUAGAACAUUUUUCAAUGGCCUAUUGGCUUAAUUUCUUAAUGUUGAUAGUGACCUCGGAAUAGCGUACUAUGACGUAACCAACAUACAACAAUAGGAAAAUGUUAUUUGUGCACUCUAUUAGCCUUAUAAUUGGAGUUGCAGUGCUAUUCGAUGUAGCACUAUUUAAAUUGAAGUUUCUGUUUUUGGACUUCAGAAUUUUAUUCUAAUUUUCCACCAUGUUUGUAAGUUUUUGAAUUUUGUUUGCUAUAUAUGUAGUCUAUUUAAAAUAAUUGCCACUACAGAUACAUGAAGCAAAGUUCAUUAAACACUUUGUGUGUACAUAUCAUCUUUCCUUUUACCCAGGUUAUACUCAUAUAAUCACCAAAUCAAUUUUGUAUCAGCUUUAAAUUAAAUGCCUUUCUUAUUCUUCAAUCAGAGGGACCCCUUACUGUAACCAAAAUUUUUCAGAUGCCCUUUUUUUCACUUUUACGUUAGAGCAGCUGGUUGAUAUAUAUUCUUAUUGAAUCCUGUGGGUCUUGAAAUUUGAAUUCGAAAUUGUGCAUUUUAAUUACAAGUAGGUUUAGGGGAUGUGGAGGUCAUCCAUAGAUUUUAAUAAGAACGAACAAUCACAAAUCAAUAGAAAGUUUUUAUAUACAUAUAUAGUUACAGUAAUUCCAAUGUAUAUAUAUAUAUAUAUAUAUCCUCACAAUAUUAUAUAGCAGGAUAUAUAUAUAUAUAUAGAACCAAGGAUAAGAAGGAACUUAUCCUCACCUACAAGCUAGCUAUUAAUUUUCCUUGUACUAAAUCAACAUAUAUUCUAUGAACUUUUGUAAUUUAUAUCAUUUGAAUGACCUUCAAAUAGAUUUUUUUUUUUUAACUUCUAUUUUUUAUUUUUUAUUUUUGGACAGAUGCUUGUGGUCUACACACAGGGAAAUCAUCUUCAGUAUAUGGCUUGGCCCUAAGGAUAGGGUUCCUUCUGAAGAAGUUAACAGGCUUAAGAUCAAAUGUGGAGGACACAGUGGGCAUGAUAGGAUAGUCCUCUUGGCAUGGGAUGUGGUGGAACCCCAUUGUGUACCAUAACACAAUGUCCCUAUUCUCAAUUGGCCUAUUCCUGCCACACACAAAAAAAAAAAAGAAAAAAAGAAUCAAUUUUAUUCAUUAUUUGAUGAAAAAUUAGAGUAAAAGGAGAUUUUGCUUAUAUAUAACCCUGCAAAAUUACCAAUUUAAUAUAUUAAGUACACAUACUUAUGUAAAAGAGUUAUAUAUAUAUCCAUGCAAUGGUGGAAGUUUCUAAUUGUAGUAAUCAGUAGGAGCUUAAUUAACUAGGUUUUGCAAAGCUAUGAGCUUGUUUGCUUUGGUUGCUGUUUUUAUUUUCAGUUAUAAUCAGAGACAAAAAUUUAAAAUAUAUGGCAUGCAAAAAAACUGAUCUUGGAAGGUCAAUAUAAAUGUUUUACCCAAAUAUUAAUGAGGUGUAUACAUGUAACUAGAAAUAUUUUACCCAAUAAAUUGAUGGUUUUUGAAGGAUAGCAAUAUAUAAGAUACAUGAAAUUAUGGAAUGAAAGGAAAGAAUUUAAUAAGCUAACUUACUUUUCAGACCACUGGGCAAGUGUGUCUUUUCCUUGACUUUGGUACACAAAAAAUCCACCUGCCCAUUCCUCACUAGCAUUGUACUGAGUCACCCAUAUCUGCUCAGAAUAGAAUAACUCCAGUUAAUGUCAUUAUAUAUACAUGUGUGUAUUUGUAUGGAGUUGAACUUUCGUGCUUUUAAAAGUAUAUAUAGAAACACCAACUGUCCCUGGAGCAAGUGGCAAAAGGCUUGGUGGUUGGUAUCCGAGACCCAAAUUCGAAUCCUAGUUGAUUCACAUUUCUUGCUAAGUUUAUUUCUAAAUGAAAUAAACGAAGCAGGUAGCGUGCUACCUAUCUCUCUAAAAAAAAAGUAUAUAUAGAAACUCAACAUAUUUGCGAUUUUUCAACUUUCGGAUUUUUAACAUAUAAGACACAUCAUUAAUAAUACUGUACGGACCUUGAAAUGAUCCGACGACUAAAAAAUUAUAAACACAAAUACUCAGGUGCUUUUAAAAGCAGAGAAGCAGCUAUAUCUAUAUAUAUGUCUUUACAUAGAACAUAAUAUAUCUAACCAAUUUGGCAUGUAGGUUCUCAGUUUGAGUAUUAUUUAAAAAAAAAUUAUGAAAAAUUAUAUCACAAGCUUAUGAUCGAGCUCAUACGUUUUACGUCCAAAUUUUGUUCUUUUAACUAUUAUUUUAUGUAGCACUAUUAGAGAGAGAGAGAGAAAAUGAGCGCAAAUAUACACACAAUAUAUAUAUGCAUGCAUUUGUAUAUAUAUACAUAUACAUGCACGUACCUGGUUGUUUGUGAACGCAGCUCGCUCCUGCGGUGGAUCAUCCAAGUCGAGCAAGCUCGCAGCGGUCGCGCCGGGGACGAUCUUAUACCCCGUGGGGUUCCCGACGCUCGACGUCCUCUUCGCGUUCACCACAUGAAACUCCGAUGGGUCGUAGAGCUUCAGCUUAAUCCGCGCGUCCUCCUCCGUCUUCGCGACCCGCCUCUCGACCCUCAGGUAGCUCUUGCGGGGGGACUCCCCCGCGCCCGUCUCCUGCUUCACGAUGUGCACGUCGACGAACGAGUUCUCGGGGCCGUCGACGUCCAUGUCCAAGUAGAAGGUGACGUAGUGGUCGUGCACCACACCGAUUAGGUUUUCGGUUAGUAGGGUUCCGUAGAGAUCCUCAUGUUCCGGAACUUGGCUCAUGUUCUUGUAAACUGUUCCCUUCACCAUCAACAUGCCACUGAGACUAACCUAUAUAGAUAUAUAGAAUGUAAUAACAUUAUUAUUAUCAUUAUAUACCAGAUCACAGUUAAUAUAGUAUUAUAAGUAUUAUUUGACGUAUAAAUUGAAGGUAAAAACAUGCCACUGAGACUAACCUAUAUAUAUAUAUAUAAUGUAAUAACAUUAUUAUCAUUACCAGAUCACAGUUAACAUAGUAUUGAGUAUUAUUUGACGUAUAAAUUGAAGGUAAAAACGUAAAGAAGUUACCUAAACUACUAUUCAUGCAUCCUUUCAGUUUAUUUGGUUUAAGCUGGUCAACGACACUUUUUAACUUCAACAUUUGAGUUAAUUAUUUAUUUUAGUAAUUUAUAGUUGCGAGAAUUGCAUGAAGUAAACUAAUUAAAUAUGUAAAAUGAACGAAACAUUCAAAUUUUAAAGUUAGAGUAUCAUUGACCAACUUUUAUCAAAAAAUUAAAAUGUUAGGUAGCACAAUCAAAAUUUUGAAAGGUUGGGUAGUCGAUUCAAAAUAGUCCGUAUAUAAUUUAUAUAACAGUUUUAUAAAUUAUUACGUAUAGUUUACAAACUGAUUGGUCAUUAGUAAAAAUUGAACUCUUAAUAUUAUUACUCUUAUACUCACUAAUUUAAUGCAAGUUAUAUAUAUAGUGUGAAGGAGACCUAGUAAAGUCAAUUAAAAGCGAUAUAUAUAGAAUUAGACUGGCAUACUAUUAAUAGCAUCAAGCUAUUGAUGCUAUUAGGUUUUCGGCCCUUAAUGAAAAAAUAUACUGUUAGGAUGAUGGGUGGGCCCCUAGGAUUGAGUGAGUUGUUGGUUAAAUAGUAUAAUCUAACGGAUGAAAAUAAUCAAAGGAUUAAAUCUAACGGCGGAAAACUUGGUAACACCAAGCGCUUGGUGCUAUCGAUAGUAUUCCAGCCGGACUCUCUCUCUCUCUCUCUCUCUCUCUCUCUCUCUCUCUCUCUAUAUAUAUAUAUAUAUAUAUAUAUAUAUAUAGAAUUAUGCUACUAUACUAUCAAUAGUACCAAGCCCUUGGUACUAUUGAGUUUUCGGCCGUUAGAUAAAAGGAUGUGCAGUUAUGAUGAUAGUGGUCCCCGAUUAAAUUGAUANUAUAUAUAUAUAUAUAUAUAUAUAUAGAAUUAUGCUACUAUACUAUCAAUAGUACCAAGCCCUUGGUACUAUUGAGUUUUCGGCCGUUAGAUAAAAGGAUGUGCAGUUAUGAUGAUAGUGGUCCCCGAUUAAAUUGAUAAUGGUCCCCUAGGGUUGAGUCAGUGGUGGUUUAAUAGUAUAAUCUAACGGGUGGAAAUGAUCAAAGGGUAGAUCUAACGGUAGAAAACUCAAUAGUACCAAGGGCUUGGUACUAUCGAUAGUAUAGUAGCUGGACUCAUAUAUAUAUAUAUAUAUAUACACUUUGGUAAUUUUCACAAAAGUCCUCCAGCACUGCAAAUUUAUUGGUGAGUCCCUCACAACACAUUUGUUUACCACAAAAGCUUUUCCACAACAAACCUCGUGAAAAUCUACGAAUAAAAUAUAAGGCUUUUUCCAAAAUUUCCAUAUCUUCAAAAACACUGAAUCCAUAAAUAGACUUUACUAUGACCUCUGGCACAACCAGACUUUUCAAGUGAUGAAUUCGUUUUGUUGGAUUCUGAUUCCAUUUUANAGCAAUUACAGCUGACCAGCUAGAAAGAGUAGUUUCAAUUGAACCCUCUUUCUGAUCGUUUUGUAACUCAGAAAAUUUCUUCUUGUGCACCCAUGCACACAAUAUAUAUAUAUAUAUAUAUAUAUAUAUAUAUAUAUAUAUAUAUAUAUAUAUAUAUAUAAUUGAGCUCCUAUACUUUUAAAAGUACUAAGUUAUUGUGCUUGUAGAUUUUUUACCAUUGGAUUAAGAGAUGUGCAGUUAGGAUGAUGUGGGGCCCAUAGCGUUGAAUGGGUGGUUGGUUGAAUGAUAUAAUCUAAUGGGUAAAAAUGAUCAAACGGAUAAAUCUAAUUAUAAAAAAUUUACAAGUACCAAGUGUUACAAGCACCAUAGUCGGACUCUAUAGAUAUAUACCUAUAUGUAUAUAUAUAAUUGAAAUUAAGAUUGGUAUGUAAACAAAUUGAGUACGUACCUUGAUUCGAAUAAGCCCAUCCGUUUGAAACUCCCAAUCCACUAUGUAGUCAUAAUUUCCAACAGACGCAGACAUUCGCGCAACCAAAGUUAUCUUUGGACGCACUUCACGUAUCUACAUAUAUAAACCCAUAAUACGUCCAAUAAGAAUUGGGAAAAUAAUAAGAUGAUGAUGAUGAUAAUGAUAAUGAUAAUUAUAAUAACAGAGAAGGAUAGAGAUACAUAAAUAAAAUGGGAGAACAAAUUUUUUUUAUAAAAAAUGAAAAAUUUGUUUUUCAUAAUCGCACGCAUAAUUAUGGUUCACAUAUGAAUUUACUAUUAACUAUUAAUUACUAUGGUAAAAAGAGAGAUCAAUCUCACCUCGAAAGUUAAUUGAUAUUUUGGUAAAUGUUGAUAUAUUUAUAUAUAUAUAUAUAUGCUGAAUAUGUAUAAGCAAAUACAUUAUAUACGAUGUUAUAGAUAUGUUUUGUGUGUAGGAGAUCGACUGCAUACUUUCUGAAGUCAAAAUAUUUUUGAUUGACUCAAAUUAAAUAAAUUAAAAUAUUAAAUAAUAAAAUUAAAAUUUUAAAAAAUUAAAUAAUCAGAUUAAAAUAGUUCAUAAUUUAGAUAACUUUGAAACGUGUUUACGUAGAAUUUUUAAAUUUUUGUUUAAUAAAGGAGGCAGUAGGUGAAGUGUUCCCUCUUUGCUGUAUCCAUCGCACAUGGCAUUAAAAUUCAUGCCAAUUUUCCAACCCGAAAAGGACUUAUCAGAGCAAUAUGACUAGUCGAAUCAUCUUUUCAUUCAUGAUUAUAACUUGUCAUGUGAUUGUCCCAAAUCUAAAAGCCAUUUUUUUCUUUAAAAGAAAAAAGCUAAUUGUACACUCCUUUUGGAGUUUACAUUUUUUAUGUCCCACUGUGGGUGGUCUACACUAGUCAACAAUAUGUUUAAUAAAAAAAAAUUUCAUACUAAGAAUGGAUAAGAUGUACAACGUAUAAUCCUUUUGGGGUAUAUGUGUAGUAUUGCUCAAUUCUCAGUAUGUCAACAAAAAAAAAAAGAUAACUAUAUGGGAGUACGUAUAUGUAAAAGUUGGUGAAAUCCAGUUGAAAAAUAUAAGUAAAUUAUAAGAAAUGAAUCACAAAAGAUCGGUCUGAUAAUUUUUUUUAAAACAAAAUUACGGGCAUAAACAUCAAAAGUUUUAAAGUUCAUAUGCUCAUUUGUAUGUUAGCUAUAGUUAAUCCAGUCCUGUUUUUUUUUUUUUGAAAUUUUUAUAUAUAUUAUUAAUAUAUUGACACAAAUGUUAUGGAAAUUCGUGGCGGUUCAUAUGCACACUUAGAUAGUGCCAUAUGGGUUUUGUAAACUUAAGAGAGAGUUGGAACCAAAAUCUUUUGUUUUUUAAUACCUAAAUUAAAAUGUUUUCGUGAUUGUGGACUUAGUUGUAAAUAGGUAUUUGUGUAGGGCUAUAGUUGUAAAAAAGAAGGAAAUAUCCACAUAGUAAGGGAUCUUUUUGGCGGGAUUCGGGUGGGGAAGGAAUCUUACGUUGAUUCCCGUGGUGGGCCCCUCGGAGUGGCGCCACGCCACGUCACCUUCGUAGCGCUCGAAGACGCACACCAUUCCGGGCCGGACGAACGGCCUCCCGUCCGACCCGGCGAGCACCCCGUCCAUCAGAUACGCGCCACGUGGGCAGUCGUUUAUCGGGUCGAGCGACAUCGCCUGCAGCCCGAACCCGUACUCGCCCGCAUCCAAAUACGCCUUGAAGUACCACCCCUCGGUCGGGUCCAUGUACGGCACGAAUAAUUCCGACGCCAUUCCUUUGUACAUCACCUCUCUCGCCUUACCGGUUUCCGGGUCGUUUAUUCUCGCGCGGGAUAUUAUCAUCCCCGCCCGGGAGUCCGGGCGCACGUGCAGCUCCCACCCGGCCCACCGGAUCACGUGCGCCCCCUCCACCGUGAAGCUCGGGCCCUCCGGUUGUUCGAGCGUUAUUGGGUUCAGCUUGUAUUGCGCCCUCUGUUUUGUUGUUUUCUUUUUCUGGACGUCGUAUCGAUAGUCGGUGUCGUCGUCGGAGGGGAGGGGGAUUGGUUGUUUGUUGUCGAGGAUUUCGAUCACUCGGUUCUUGUCGAGGUCGACUAAGACGGUGAGGCCCUCGACGGGGCGCAUGUAGAAGUUAGCGGUGCCGGCGUGGGAGUAGCACUGGACUUUUGCGAGGCGGGCGGAUUCUUCGGUUUUGCCGAACCAGCCGGCGGGGAGGGGGACGCAGGUGAGGUCGGAGGGGGCGAGGCUGCGCGAGCGGACUGCUUGGAGGAAGGGCGGAUCGGCGAAGGGGGCCGACGUAGCGCGGGACAUGUCGUCGGCGGUGAGGAUCGGGUAGCCGUGGGCGGCGGAGAGGGGGACCGUGUCAUGGUGAAUUACGCGCUUUGAGGAGAUGUCGACAGUGAGGAGGUGGGAUAGGGAGGAGGAAGGGGAGUAGGCGACGACGAGGGCGCGGCGAGGGGGGAGGGGGUUGAUGCCGGGGCGCCAGGAGCGGACUACAGAUUUGGAAGGCUCGGCGAGGGAGAGGGAGUGGAUUGAGGGGAAAGGGUUCGGGGAGGCGAAGGGAGGGUGGGAAAGGAGGACAGACCGGACGGUGGAGAUUUCAUCGACAGUAAGCGGGUCAAGAGGGUGGACAGGCAGCGAACUGCUUAAAGAACGAAACUUUCUAUUAGAAGAAGCAGUGCCGAUAGAUGAGGAGUGAGGAGAGAAAGGCGAGGAGAGGAAAGAGAGGUAGGCGAAGAAGAGGAGGGAGAACAGAAAGAGGAGGAUGAGGAGGCGGCGGCGGGCGACAGCGGUGACAGCAGCGGCCGCAGACGGUUCCAUCAGAGAGCACAGAGGGCGGAGGAGGUGGAUGCAUGAGAAGAAUCCACUAGAGACACCUUAAAUGGCGCAGAGAACGGGCAAUUUGAUUGUACGAAUAAAUAUUAUUUUAAAUGAUUAGGACUAUGCUUACGUUGGCUUGCGGAAUCUGCGCGCACCACAAGAUGCUGCAGUGCUCUCAGGUUCGGUGAGCCAAUUCGGCUCGCCAAAUCAUCACAACAACAACAACAACAAAUAUUUUAAAUGAAAAGCAAAUGCGUACAAGCAGAGCUUACAAAGUUAGGAAUUAAUCUUUUCACGUUAUAUUGUUUUGAUAUAUUCCGCAUGGUCGUUUUCUUCUUAAGUUUCUUUUUAAAAAAAAUAAAAAAAUGCCAACCAAACCCUAUUGUGGAGAUUAAUUGAACUUAAUGAUUUGGAUGGUUUACUGGAUUUGAAUAAGAAAUCUUCGUUUGAACUUUUAUUUGAAUUAUUUUAUGCUCUUAUUAGAUUAUUUAAGAAGAUCAAAUCCGAAUUACUGAAAAAAAAAUAACUGUAAGCAAAUAUUACACGCAUGCAAAAUUCAUAUAAAAUUGAAAUGACGCUUUAUUACGCGAGAACUGACGCAAAAUUUGAGCUGAACUCAGACCCUAAGCAGGUUGAGCCCUCGACCUUAUGAGCUGUUUAGUUUAAAUAUAACUUAAAAAUACAUUAUAGUCAGAGAUGCAUCAUUUUUAUAUACAUCAAGCUUAUUUGACCUACGAAAUAGAGAAUCAGAAUUGUAAACUAAACUCCCUAUAUUCAAAUUAUGUAAGCUAUCUCACUAUUUCAAUUAAUCACCUACCUCUUAUUUCUCCUAUUUUCUAGACCAGUUUGGAGAUUCUCCGAGUUAUGUGGCUAUGACCAUGAUUCCACAAACGCAACACAUUACUUUAUUUGUCCACAUCUUUCCAUUGCAUCAAGUGGAACUAUAGUUUAUUUCAUGGUUUUCCUCGACUAAGAUCCCCCAACAAACUAAUUAGACUAUCUGCAUCCCUACACAGCAGUUCAUUUACAAGCCAACCACUAGCUCUUAGGUUCAUACACCAAGCAAUGGGUAAAAAGUACAUACACAUAUUUAUAAUUUUUAAAAUGAUUCCACAAAUCAUCACCAAAAUAGUAUAUUCACAAGGCAGCACAUAGCAAUACAUGUCAAAGAAAGAGAGCACCUGAAUCUCCUACCAAGAACCUCUCAAUAACAUUAAAUUUAAAUCCAUCUGAUCCACCUCUCAACACAUUGGAGGGAAUCCUCGAAGACUCCCAAGAGUUAAAACCCAACUAAUUAUUUGUACUGCACCAAUUUGUUUUGAUUCUUCGGUGAGAUUACUUGUUUAUUUCACUAUCAAAUCACAUCAAAUGAGAUGGAAACAAGGUAUAGAUGCCACCAAAUAAACUUAAAAAUGUCAUCAUCUAAUACUCUUAGUAAACACCGAUAAAAUGUCAUCACCUAACACUCUUAGUUCAACCGAAGAAGGCUCUAGAUAAAACAAUCCAUAUUUUAUACAAAAACAGGCUUAGUCAAGGCUUAGUCUUUUACGCUCAACAGCUCUAAGGUAGCUUUCUCUAAAAGUCCAUCUAGACCUGGUACUCUUUAUUCCUAUAACAAUUUCUUGAAUAAAAUUACGAAUUAAGUCCCUAAAUUUAACCUUGACCUCAAUUUUGUCAUCAUAUUCUAAAUGUAAUAAUUGUCCCAUAAGUCCAUUAUGCAUUACUAAUUAGUCCUAUUAGUUUACCAUCAAAGGGGCCACAUAAGUGCCAUCUAGCCUUUGUCUAGUUGCAAGUUGGAAACUCUAAAAACAAAACCAAUACAAAGAUCAUCUAAAUUGUUAAACUAGACACUCCAAGAAUGAAAUUUAAUUUAAUUCAAACUCCAAUGAAUAUGCAGGUACGAACUGAAACUCUCUGAAUGAGACUGAAAUAAGGAUCAAUCUUCAGGGUCCGCUCGUUAUUAACUUUAUAUUCUUUUGUGCAAUUUACCCAAAGUAGGAUGUAAGUAAAAAGCUCAUGACUUUACUAGUAAGCCCACUUAUUUUAGGUGACAUACGAAUCUUUAAACUAGGUUAUUCACAACCAAAUUUGUUUAGGCCUUCUGGGAUAAAUAUAUAUUAUAUUCAGUAUAUCUGUUAGCUUACGCAAGGGAGAUGUGGUAAUGGAUUUGUAUGCAUUAUAUAUGCCUGCAACCAUAUAGUAUAUACAACAUCUAAGUUAUUUUUCUCAGAGUAUAACAUAUUAUAUCGUAAAUUAAAAGCACUAACCUAAAAAUUAGAUAAUAAAAUGCAAUGGCCUCACAAGAAACUAAAAUAAAGCCUACAGGUUGUAACUCCAUAAGAAAAUCUCUCUACCAUAGUUACAACUAGAUAACUCGUUCUGAUACUCAGACAAGCCCUCAAGGAUAAGUCACUGGGCAUGUAUGCAUAAUCACAUGCCUGGUUGAGCUUAACUAUUUGGUGGUUUCAUGACCAUCAAAGAUUUAGGUCACCUAUCUACCCAAGUGUGCAUCUUGGACCAUCCAAGAUUCCCUUUACUGCUGUGUUGGUCACCAAAAUACCCAAGGGUGCACCUUGUACAGCAACUAGGUCUCAAAUAACUAACUGAAGAGCUAUUUGGUUGGGGGAUAUUUCAAGUGUAAGGAGGAUAUCAACUAAUUAUAUUUAAUUAUUUUAUUCAAGUAUAACAAAGUAAGAUGUUAUGUCACACUAUAUUAUAUUAACAUACGGUAUCAUAUAUUACAUUAUGAAUAACAUCACCUAUAGGUGACCUCACAGCAACCUGUGCUUGCUUCUUGCAAAGAAGCAUCACUAAUCAAUAAUAUUAUUCGAUAAUAUUGCAUAAUGAUUUAUGUCAAAAUUUUGGGAUCAGGGGAAUUAUACCUAAUCUCUUGGGUUUCCAUUCUUGUCAAAUUUGGUUAAGAUUAAAUAAAAGGGGAAACUUGAUAUAAUAUUUAGUAAUGUUAUGUACUAUUCCAUGCAAAACAUCUAUCCAGAAUGUAGAAUAUGCUCCAGGAGCAACGAUUACAAUCUAAAUGUAAAUAUUAUGACCAACAAACAAAUGUUUAGAAAAAUCAAGACCAAACAAUAUUAUGUCACCAGCUCAAAACCUGUUUGACACAAAUAUGAGAUAUAUAUGCUAAAUAAGUAGGUCAAAAUGCAAACAACCUCGCUACAAGCAUCACAACUUGUUCUUCAUUCCCCUCAAUAAUAAAUGUAAAAGAAAUCUCUCAAUCCUUAUGCUAUUGUCUUUUCUUGUCCACUUGUAACUCUAUCGUUUAUAAAAUCUUAGAAAAGCAUAAAAUUUGAUUCCAAAUACUAACUAUGCGUGUUGUAUGAUGAAAAAGUGAUAUUGACGCAUCCCUUCUUGUCUCUCGAUUAGCUUAUAGUAAGAAAGAAUAUCUAGAUACAACUUUCCUACCAUCCAAGACAGAUAAUUGAUAUUUACAGAUACAUCUUUGGAUUUUCUAAUGAUUUAUGAAUGAUAGAAUCACAGAAGAGUAUUAAAUGAUUAAACCACAGUGAUUAAGAAGGGGGAAGUACAAAGUGCAACAUACCAAUUGGGGCUGUCUGCUUUUUAGCUAAAGUAGCGAAAAUCAAGACGGAAUUUAAUUGUACAAUAUAUAAAGUGAGGUCGCGGUUCUAGUUUUUUAAAUUUUAUUUGACCAUAACCGUAUACAUAAGCAAACAAAUAACAAUUUUUAGUUUACUUUCAAACAGUUAACAAGUUUUUGUUUAGUUUACUUUCAAACAAUUAACAAGUUUUAGUUUACUACCAUAUUGGAUCAUCAGUUCAUCACCAUGAGCUCAAAAACUAUGCUAUGAAUGCAAUAGAUACAAACGCGUAGUAGGCAACGAAAUUCACAACAGCUUGUACAUCUAAGAAAAGCAGAGCUUGUUUCUAGUGUUUUACUUUGGGCAAGGAAUUCUAAUUUAAGAAAAUCAUCAUAAGUUAUCCAUUUAACAGGGAUCUUAGAUGCACAACAAACACUACCUAAUCAGUAUUUUCUUAGUUAACUUUAACAUCAUGUUAGAUUCUCUAUCCACAAAACACAAUUUUCGAAGUUGUAUAUGGCAUCUCUUGGUUCAGAAAAUUAUCCAUUCAUCCAAACAUCAAAAGUAAAUUCUCCAGAUUUUUGUGGAAUAAAAGCUUCAAACUAACAAAAGGCAUUUUCGAAUUAGAUAACUUGUUCAAACCUCUAACAUAUUUUCCUUUUGAAAGUUAAAUUACAUUCUUGACCAGUAGCAAGACCUUUUCAUGGAAAUUUAAGAUUGAUGCAACUCUCUACAGGGUGGAAUGAUGCAUGCUAGGGAAAGGUAAAAACCAAAUUUCAAUUUCUAGAGAGAGAAACACUCUCUUUCCAUAGCAGAACACACCUCAACUACAUCAGUAGUCAACAAAGAUACAUGCCCCACGAAGCAUCACACUGGGGGAAUCAAAGAGGAAAUUUGAGAAUGUAGUUAAUAUUAGAAUGUAGUUAAUAUUUACUCACUGAUGAUCACCAUUUGUGUCAUGUUCGACCUCCUCAGCAUCUUCGAACCUUUGAUCAUUGAUUUGAAGCUGCAUGAAACACAAAAUAACGGACGACAAAUUAGCUGGAAAGAAAUAAUUGGUUGAUGGGAUCAGACAUGCUUUAAUUAAGUGUGCAGUAAUGAGUUUUUCAAGAUGAGCUAAAAAAAACUAUUAAAAAUUUGGAAGUUAGUAGAAGGAUUAGAUUGUAUGACUUAUGAACUUGCAAUUUUCAUUAAGUACUCAAGCAGCCACGAGCUGCUCAUAUUAGUUAAUGCAUGAAGUUAAGAGAGUUGGCCAAUUUUGAAGUUUUAAGGAGCUAAAUGCACAAGCAUGGAAGUUCAAGGAUCAGCAUACAUUUUAACUUGGCCAAAAGGAAAAAAGCAAGGUGGAAAAGAAAUUAGGAGGGAAUAUAUAGAAAAUUUUGAGCGCAGUAAUACAGUAAAUAUAAGCUUCAGCUGCAAAAACCAAACAAAUAAGAACUACAGAAUACUGUAUUAGCUUAAUUGUUCUUCUUACAGUAGACAGAUUCUUCAAUGAUGUUAACACUAUAUACCACCAAAAAGACAAUCUUAUCAUUAAUUUUGAGAACGUUGGAAGACGAUAUGGAUUUCAUAUCAUGUAUAAUCUUAAAACCAAAUCUAUCCACAAAAUUGGGGGGAAAAAAGAGAAGAUUUGCAUACCCAACCAAUAGGAACUUGCAAGAGUAAAGCAAUAAUAGAAAUCCAAUUCGACCAAGGUAAAACUACACUAACAACACUUGAGCUAGCAAAAUUUAUUAAAAAAAUUGAACAUUAGAUACUGAUACAGAUUUCAACAUAAAUGGCAAUGCCAGAUAGAAUAUAUAAAAAAACUAAAAACAAUAUUGCAGAUGAUACUUCUAGCACAACAUGUGGCAUGCAACUGAAAUGCAUACCUCAAGUACUGAAUGAGCCAGGUCGUGAGCACCAUUUGCGUAGCCAAUAGGGUUGGCAAGACUCUCAUAUGUUUGCCACUCAGGAUAACUUCCUGGUGGUAGAAAAGGAAGAAAUCAGACAAUCAUGCCCACAUACACACACAAACAAUUUUUUUUUUAAAAAGAAAACACUAGUGAAUGUUUUUUAUAACACACACACACGCACAAAAAAAAAGAGACAUUACCAUCACCUAUCUCUUCAUUGCCAAAAACCCAACUAUUUUCUUCCCCGCUCACUGGAAAAAUCACAUUUUGCAAUGCCUCAAAUAUUGAUACUAUUAACAGACAAUACAUAAAAAACAUGAUAAUGUAAAAACUAUACCAGAAUUAGGAUCGGGAUUCAGUUCAGCACAUUGACAGAAGAUGUCAAAAAGAGCAUCCACUUUGAACCAUAGUAAGGAAUGAAAAAUAAAAAUAACAAGAAUAUAAACUGGAUAAUGCCAUUUGUUAUACAAAGAAGAUUCAUUCAUAGAUGUGAAUUUAAAAGGUUUGACAAAAUACACCAGAAAUCUAGGAGAUAGUCUGGGUCACGAGGUCUUUAUCAUUCACAGAAUUAUCAUUACAUACAGCUAGAAGUACAACAACUUAAAGAAGUAUGUCUAGUAAUGACAUGUGAAAGCACUAGAACCUCCAAUUCAAUCAGACAAAAAUUGUAGCACUUAGGCCACUCCACAUGUUUCAAUUGCAAUUCAAUCUCGGUUUCAAGAAAACAAAAUCCCUAAAAAAACAACAAUUUACAAACUACACAAAGUCAUAUGGAGGACUAACUACCAGACAGGCAGACACAAAAUUAGCAUUUCAUCUGAGUGAUAGCAGAAAAGGGAUCACACCCUAAUGAAGGCUUAAUCAACAAACUUGAAAAUAUUUCAAAAUAAGUCCAACAGACAAAAGAAUGGUUAACACAAAAGAUUACAGGUUUACAGUAAAUGGAACUUAAGAUUAUAUAAAAAAUUAUUAUAGGCAUCAGUAGAAAGGAUACGUUGAUUGGAAUCUGACAGCAUCAGCCGCAUUUCCGUUAUCCUUGAUAGAUCCGUAUCUUGACCAAAUUCAGAAUCUGAGCCCUCAACAUCAUUCCCAUCGUUUCCAGUCUCAAUCUUUAAUUUUUUUUAAAAAAGAUUAUUAUGUAAGCAUCAGCAAAGAAAUUGAUAUCAGUACCGGUAAGAACUGUCCAGUUAGUUUAUGUGAUUACUCCUCUGAUCUCCAAAAUUAUUAAGAUAUUAUCAAAAAGAAUGAUGUUAUUAAGAUAUUCAGCAAUUCUAAAGUUAUUAUAAAAAAGAAAAGUUUGAAUACCAAAAAACAAAAGAAAGAUUCCAAAGUACAUCUAUGAGUCUUGUAGAGAGUUAUUCUUCGGACCCCAAACUAAAAAUGCUAUUGAAAUAAAAGGAUAGUGGAAAGUUUAGGAGCUCAAACUAGGAAAAAUAUAUGUGAAGAGGGAAAGAUUGUACCAUAACAACUGGUAGCACCAGCUUCAGAGGUAAAAACAUACACAAUUACGUCUGUGUUUGUGUAAAUAAACACAAGUUUCUACGUAUGUAUAUGUACUUGCAACAGCUGUACGCAUUUGCAUGUAUUAAAAGACUUUUCAGUGCACGCUUUACUCCAUGUAUCACAUAGAGCUGCUAUUUGAUAUGACCAAGGCAACCAACUUUGUUAUGCUAUUCAAAGUUUUAACUAGUCUGCAUCAUCUCCUGUAAAGAAGAAAUGGUAACAACCAACUAGAAAUGUACCAUAAAAUUGUUCCCCAAUGUAUGAUCAUAGAAUCACAUACCUUUAUACAUUUGAAAUAAUGAUGACAAAUAAUAUCAUUCCAUGUUUCUAUAAAAUGCAGGAUGCAUGUUGAAUAAGAUGAGACCAAAGUUCAUUAAUACACCAUUAUUCCAUAUUUCAUUCAACUCAACAAAAAUAUUUUUCUGCUCUUAUUGAGCAAAAAAACCGAGUGAUGAGAAACCAAUUGAAAAGCAGAUGCAAUUGCCCUAAAAGGCUUCCUAAUAGUUUCCUAUUUUUUCGAAAAGGAACCAUAAAUUUUGUUCUAAAACUAAGACAAGCCAUUAAAGAAAACUGAGUCUACCCGAGAGAAUAUAAAAUAAGAUUAACCGACAUAAAAAAAAAAUAAAGCUGCUGAUUCGCAUCAUUUUCUUGUUGACGGCUAACGGCUUGUAAAGAUGUUGGAGGCAAGCUAGUUAGUUGGCAACUUGUGCAAUAUAGAAACUUCCAUAUCUGAUUACAUCCUGUAUUUUGAUUUUUCUUUUUUCUUCUUCUUUUUUUUUUUUUUACUAUUUUUUCUCUUCCUUUUCUUCCUCCUGUUAGAAAUUAACCGGCACAUCAGAAAAAAAAACNCAUGGUAAUUCAAUUUGGGCUUUUCAUGACAAUUAUUUCUACUCUACGUAGUGGAUUAUCACAUUAGAAGAAAAUUGGUUUAAAUCCUGCAUAUGUUUAUGCAAUUGCAGACAUCUUUUCACACUCCCCAUCAACCAAUUACCGAAAACCUCUUGGGCAAACACAAGAAUCAAUGCUGAAUCAUAUAAUUCAUGAAACUCAAACAGGCUCUAAAGCACACCAUUCAAACAAGGAAUUAUGAAAACUAACCCUCCAAAACCCUAACCCUAACUUCAAACACGAAAAAGAAGGUGAUUUACCUGAGCAAAUAUACAGGGCACGGGAUAGGCCUCCGGAUCCCUCGAAACCGCGUGGAGCGAAAUCGAUAAGAAAUCCACCGCGUACCCCUUCUCCUUAUCCACAUCACUCAACCAAAUCACCCUCCUUUAACAUCGCAACACCCACAAAACAGGAUCAGAACCACGAAAUAGCCAUCAAAACCACAAAAUUGACCAAGAAAAGGGGGAAAGGUAGGAUCUUUGGAGGCGGGAAGAGGGCCACAUACUUGGUGGUGACGAAUAAGGUUCCAGGCGACUCCAUGGGGCGGCGGCCGAGGGCGACGGCGACGCCGCGCUCUACGCGCAUCACCUCCUCGCCGGAGUCGGCGUCGAGCCGGGGCCCGUCGCCGACUCUGUCGUCGAAGGGGCGUAACCCUACUACCAUCUCUCUCUCCCUCUCUCUCUCUCUCUCUCUCUCUUCGUCUCCUUCGCUAUUAUAAGCGGAGUGGAGCACGGGUUAGGGUUUUGGGUUUUGUAGGGGGUGAUUUGUUUGUAUAAGCAAGGGAAGUGGCGCGCCAAAUGUUCGGGGGUGGUUUGCUUCGUGAUUCGUGAACACGGAGACGUUGUCGGUGAUAAUGGGCCGGACCGGGCCCGGCCCAAUUAAGACCUAAACCGGCCUUAUUUUGAAUGGCCCGGUCUAGUCCCGUGAAAUGUACAUUGGUUGAAUAUUUUGGUUUUAUUUUCCUCAGUGAUAAUAUAUAUGUCUCGCUAAUUAAUCACACUAUUUCAAUUAGGAAAUAAGUUUUAUGGUUCCAUUGAAAAGCAAAAAAAUUAUAUUUUCACCCUAAAAAACAUAAGAAAUGUUGGAAAAAUGAAAUUCCAAAUUAAUGUAGAGUGUUAGUUAUGAAGUUCUAACAUAAUAAUAGCAUUUAUAACAUAGGAUGUGAUCCUCUAUAUAUUUUCUUCAAAUUUUUUUCUAAAAAAAUUCUCUAAAUGUUGGACAAGUGACAAAUCAAUGAAUCAUAGGCUGGCCCAUGGUUGAUGUGCUAAACCAAGUUCAAGCAAUAAUUAAUCAAGUUUAUGAGAGCAUGUGAUUGGACCUGUAGAGUUUUUUUAUUAUUAUUUUGGCUUGUUCCAAAAAUCCAACUCUUUUUAUAGGCUCCGUAGAUAACUUUUUCAUAAACCCGUGACAACCUUUUAUAGAAACAGUUACCUCCGUAUUGUCACAAUGGAUUUUUUCUAUUUUAUUGUCUCUUCAUUUUGACACUAUACUCUUGUUAUUAUUCAUUGCCUCUUUCAUUGGUAAGAGUACUCAAAGAGCCCCAAAAGAUAUAUAAUUGUGCUUAAUGUUGUUAGGAACAUUCAUAGUUUAUAUUCCAUCUUAUGAUAUUUUGGAUUAUAUAGUAUUAAAGUCAAUCAUAAACCCACUUUGUUCUUAAAGGUCCUAAGUUUAAUUUUCGUGUUCGUCAAAUAAUAUGUAACGUAGAUUUUUAUAUGUUAAUUUACUGUAUUCUAUUAAGCACAUAUCUUGUCCACUUAAUAUCCCUCUCAUACACGAGUGGUAGAGUUGAAACUAUUCAGAUGUCGUUUCCUAUCAGAUCAAUCCUUUGAAUAAUAAAUAAAAGAUAAAUUAAAUUUUGACUAUUAAAUUUGAGUAAUUAAUUUGGAGCACUUCUUGCAUACACUACUAGGGAUAUUCCAGGAAGUUUACAAUGUAAAGAAGCAGUGUCACAAAGUGAUUGGAUGAGAGAGAGAGAGAGAGAGAGAGAGAGAGAGAGAGAGAGAGAGAGAGAGAGAGAGAGAUGCUUCCUCACAAACUUCAUAUCCAAUAGGAAAGGCACCAAAGAAGGAUGAGGUGAUGGAUUAGAAGAUAAAGGUUUUGCUUUAAUUUUCCUUUUAAGAUUGGCUAUGCACUUUUUUUUUCCCCCAAAAAAAGUAACUGUUUGCAACUUUGCAUUUGAGAAUCCAAUUCUAUGUUAUUGCCUUUCUUAGAGAGAGAGAUCAUGAGUAUAUGUAGGUAUAACUAUAAGUCUACUAUAUUUCUAGUAAUAUUUGUAUAUUAUUAUAUUUUCUCAUUUUCAAUAUUAGUAUAUCUGUUAUCUGUAUCGACGAUUCACUAUAUUAAACAUAGUUUAUAUUGUUCGAAGAGGGAGGGGUUCUUUACUCUUUUUUCUCCUUUUCCUUUUUCUUUUUUCUUUUUCUUGAUGGUUUGAUUAAGUUGAUGUGAUUUAGGUGCUAGUUAAAUUGACCAUAUCACUUUCACUUCCCCUAUCGUUUAUACAGAUUGAAUACAUAUCGGUCGUGGCACCCUACUCAUUUGCUUUUUUCAUAAUGUUUCUCUCGUUUUAGUCCUUUUCCUCUCGUUAUUCUUCUUAAUUUUUUUCUACACAGAUCAUUUUCUCUUUUACUUUUGAUUAAAAAAAAUUAAAAGUUGAAUUAAAUCAGUAAAUCACCGAUUACGACGCACACAUUUCACCUAGCUAAGUACUAUUUUGGACACAUGAUGUUGUCCAAAAUCGUGCUCAAUAGAUUUGUAUUUGUUCAUCCUAGCUAGCUAGUGUUUCACCCCAGUUUUCAUGUUUUUUUGUCACUCCUACCUAGUUAUCUAUUGCAGUAUCAGAUUUGUGAUUAUAAAUAAAAGGUUAAUUAAUUAAGUUUGCUUUUCUCAUCCUAUGUUAUUUAAGUGUAACUACUUUGAAAAUUGUGCAUUAUCUUAUAUACUUAGUCAAUGUAUAGUGCACAAGCUUCAAGUUUUCCUUACACACACACACCUUAGGUUGUGAAGCACUAGGGACCAAAUACUUUUUAAUUAUCAUGUCUUCUUGAAAAUCACUCUAUUAUUUUUUUUUCCAAAAAAUACAAACAUUAUCAUUGAUCUCAGAAUGCUUAUUAAAUUGAUCUUUCAAACUAAUAAUAUAGCAUCAGAAACAAUUUUAAACUUCUUUCAAUUUCGGGUUUAAUUUUCAUAUUCGUCGUCCACAUACGCGGCAUAAUUUAUAUGAUAUGAUAUCCAUCGUGCACGUGAGUGGAGUGUUAAAGCUGAUCUCAGAUUAUUUUUGCCAAACUGACUUUUCACGUUAUAAUUAGAAAUUUUAAUUUUUUUUCCUUUUCAAUCUCUAAUUGCAGUUAUUAAUCUUCUAAAAAAUCACAAGUGAACUAUGGAUAAGCUGGUGACUAUAAAAUAUAGGCAGCAAUAUAAACAGACCAAAAAAUAUUACUAAGAGAGGUCAUGUAUAUAUAUUAAAUUAGAUUAUAUAUAUUUAUCACAUGAAUAUGAACAAAGGUCUAUUAAACUUUCUUUGCUAAUAUCUAAUAACUUUACAGUGUUAAUUCCACUAUCCACCCAUGAUUUUCAUUUUUCUCCUUUUUUUACUUUUAUUUUUAGUGGGUUUUGAUAAUGAUAGAUUCUAGUUGUUGUCUUGUUGUGUACUAAAAAAUGCCAAAGGAGAGAGAGCCUAUCAUCAUUCUAAAAGAGGUAAAAUUGUGCACACUUUCCAUUCUUUUGGGACCAUUUAAUUGUUGUCCCCCACAAUCUCCUUUUUCCACUUGUUGGCCUCCAUGCAUGGCUAUAGCUUGUUCCUUUUCUCUUGAUCCCUUCUCACAAAAUUGAUUUAUUUAUAAAAAAGGUGAUCUUUGGAGGAGAUCUUGUCUUAAUCUCUCAUAUAUUAAUCUUCCCAUUCUCUUCUCAAUAAUCAUCCUAUAAACUACAAAGCCCUCUCUCUCUCUCUCUCUCUCUCUAGAUUAAAGGAAAAACUUCAAACAUCAUUCCUGUAGUUUCAUACUUUCUCACUUUACUAUCAUGUGGUUUGAAGUGUAUCAAUUUGGUACCAUACAGUUUUGGUUUUUUCUUUUUAUUAUUAAUUCCACUAAUUUUUUUUCGUUAAAUCAGUGAUACCGUUAAAACUAAAAAAUACUAAAGUGAAUAUUCGAUAAACCUAGAUAGUAUAUCUGAAGUUUUUUGCAUAUAAUUUAACAAAAUAUUAACGAAUAAGCUGACGAAAAGAUAAAAAUGAAACCAUAGAGUACUAACUUGAUACACUUUAAAUCAUAGAAUGCUGAAGUGAGAAAGUGCAAAACUGCAUAGGUGGUAUUUAAAGUUUACACUAGAUUAAAACUAGAAUACUUAAGGGGAGUUAUUUAAUUUCACUUUGUUUCUCACAAUAAAACAUUCAAAUUGACAAUCGGGUUUAUUAAAUAUGAUCUAAGCUAUUUAGACUCUCUAAAAAUUUAAAUUGUUAGAUAAAAACAUCUUGUCUUGUAUAUUAUAUCUGGAUAAAAAAUUAUGUUUUGUAUCCGAAAUGAAGCUAUUAUAUUCGUAAACAUGAUUUGAUACACCAGGUUUACUCAACAAUUUCUUCUCUCUCUCUCUCUUCAGUAGAUUCUCCCUUGCAAUCAUUCCAAGGAAAGAGAAAGAGAGAGAGAGAGGGAAAAGAGAGAGAGAAUCAGGUUCCCAUGCAAAUACAACAUUUUGUCAAUGGAAUAAAUUAAUAAAUGUAGAAUAUAAGAGGUGUGGGCAAAAGAGAUUCCAACACCUUUAUUACUUUUUAGACAACAGGUGACUGGCACGUGCAUGCCUUCUGGAGGGCCUAUAACCCAACUAACAAGUCAACUAAUAAGUUUGCUAAACAGUCUACAAUGGAUGUCGAAAUCAUUGUUAAAUGGAACCCUCCACCUCCUGGAUGUUUCAAAAUAAAUUUUGAUGGUGCUUUUAACAUGCAAAUCUCAAAGGGAGGUGGGGGUUUUAUUAUUCGUACUGACACGGAAAAUUUAUUCUGUGUAGGGACAGUCCAAUUCAUGGCUACAUUGGCUUUGCAUGCAGAGGCCAUCGCUCUGCUCGAGGCGUUGAAGGAGGCAAUCAAGCGUGGAAUCUCUAAAGCUAUAGUUGAAAUAGACUCUCAAAACUUGUUCUCUUAUGUUAGUUCACAUAUUGAAUCUCUUUGGCGACUCCAAAAUAUUAUUGACCGAUGCACAUCUCUGGCGAAGCAUUUGCAGCAGUGUAUUUUUGUUAAAAUAUAUCGUGAAGCCAAUAGGGCCGCUGAUUAUUUAGCAAGUCAUGCGCUUAAUUCAAGAAGUAAACUGGUUUUUAAUCCUACCAGUGACCUUCCCAUAGACUUUGUUAGGAUACUUUUUGAAGACUAUGCAGGUAGAGUCUUUUUGCGCAAAGUGUAAUCGAUUUUUGCUUUUAAUAAAUUAGCUUGCUGGCUCUUUCGACCAAAAAAAAAAAAAAAAAAAAAAAAAAAAAGGUGACUGGCACGUGCCUCUGCACGUGACAUAAAGUAAUGGACUUGGAACUUUACAAAAUUAUCUCAUGUACUUCUUUAGAUCUAGCUUCAUGUAAAAGGGAAAAAAAAAAAAUCAUCCAUCCAUAGUUUGGUGUGAUUUGGUGUUGAGAUAAAUAAAUCAUUCAUAUAUUUGAGUUCUUGUGUUUUAUUUAAGAUUGAGGAACCUGUAAUAUGUUUAAAAUUAAAUUUUUUAGAAAAUAUAUACUGGUUAAAUUUUAUUAUGAUACAUAGAAAAUUUUUAACUAACCACGAGAUAGAAUUCAGUAUUACACAAUGUUUAAAAUUAUUAAAUUAUUGUGAAUUAUUUGAGGUUAAUUAUGAGACGUGAGGUAAGUUGAAAAAUAAAUUGUGAAAAAAUUAUACCACCGAAGUUGUAUUAUGAUUCUUUUCUUAAAAAUUUAUGAUAAUUGACAGGAUGAUUUUUUUUAUAUAAUUUUGUAUGAUUUAAAACUUUCUGGUUGAUCAUGUGGAUGGUAGCAUGAAAUGUUCUAUGCACUUAAUUUUUAUGAGCACAUCCUUAAAUUUUCUCUUUUUUUUCGGUUCUUUUACAUCAUUUUAACCAAAAUAUUAUUAUUAUUUUUUUAAAUGUCACCAUAUUUAUUUCUGGUCUAUAGAUGAUGUGGUAGACUAAGUCGAGGACCUGAUGAUCAAGGUGGUAGACCAUGGUCCAUGCAUGUGCAGUAAUAUUUUUUAGGACCUUAUUGAAGGGGUUCUCUGUUGCAUCUAGAGAUGUCAACAGGUCGGAUUCGGGGCGGAUUUUUAAAAAUCCGAACCGGAAUCCAACUCCAAACCCGAGACCCAAAUCCGAACCAGAACCCGAACCCAAACCCGAAUCCGACGGAUUUUAAAAAUCCAUAUAAUCCGAACCCGACGAAGAAUCCGAAUCCCGAACCCGAACCCAAACCCGAAAAUUUGAAUCCGAAACAAUUAUUUCUUUUUUCAAUAUUUCAAAAUAUAUUAUAUUAAAUCUAAAUUUUUAAAAUACAAAUUCAAAUAUAACAUCAAAUAUAUAUAUAUAUAUAUAUAUAAUAUAUAUAUAUAUAUAUAUUAUAUAAUACAAAAUAAAUUCAGGUUCGGGUCGGGUACAAUCAAAAUCCAUAUUCAAAUCCAUAUCUGUCCGAUUUUUAUUUUUGAUAUCUAUAUCCGAAUCCAGAUCCAUAUCCAUCAAAUACAUCCGUUUUAUCCGGGUUCGAAUUCGGAUAAAAUUUAGAGUAUCCAUAUUCAUUGACAUUCCUAGUUGCAUCUGCACAUGCGGUUUGUGGACCAGGUGGUACACCAAAUUCUGAGCACAAACUGUAUCUCUAAUUUUGGCGCAUUUUCGCUAACAUUAUUACAUAAAGAGCUAAAUUUCUCGUCACAUAUUCCUAGAUAGUCAUAGUAAUAAUAUUAUUAAAAUAAUUAUAUUAAAAAUAAAUUUUUUGUGAGCAAAAUCAGAAGCACGGAGCCUCUGUUUGGGAUUACGGAACAAUUACUUUAUAUAUGAUAUUUCGUUAUAAUAUAUUUUUUAGGGUAUUACUGAAAAUAAAAAAAAUAUAUAUAUUUUAUGCUUUAUAAUUUUUUGAGAUCUAAAACAAAGCAAAGAAUCAGAAGGGCCACUAAUUAAUCAACCUGAUCAUCAGCCCCAUCACGAAUCUCAAUGCACUGCGUACACUCUCACUCUGACUUACUCUGAACCUCCCCUCUAUUUUUCGAAACAACCCCCCUCGUUCCCUUUUUUUACUCUCGCUCCUCUCCCUCUUCUUCCCCCACAACACCAUAUAGAGAGAGAGAGAGAGAGAGAGAGAGAGAGAGAGAGAGACUCACUUGCUCAUCGACAUUGGCGACAUGGGUUCUCUCCCUUUCGUGCUCUCCCUCGUCGUCGUCCUCCACCUGUGCUCGGCGGAGGGGAGCUCCGAGGUGGGCGCGCUCAUGGCGCUGAAGCGGGCGCUGGACCCGCAGGGGCGAGCGCUCGCUUCGUGGGCGCCCAUGGCGGACCCGUGCGGUGGGGGCUUCGAGGGGGUGGCGUGCGACGCGCGCGGAAGGGUCGCGAACAUCUCCCUGCAGGGGCGCGGCCUCGCCGGGUCCAUCUCCCCCGCGGUGGCGCAGCUCCGGGGCCUCUCGGGGCUCUACUUGCACUACAACGAGCUCAGGGGGGAGAUACCCAGGGAGAUUGGGACCUUAGCGGAGCUCACGGAUCUCUACCUCAACGUUAAUAACCUCUCCGGGGGGAUCCCCGUGGAGUUUGGGAACUUGGGGAGUCUCCAAGGUGAGUUUUUUAAUCUCUUUUUUCCGAAACAGGGGAGUUGUUGUUAUGCAUGGUUUUGGUGCUUUUUGUUCUAUUUUGAGGUCAAAAGGUUGGUUUUUUGCACAAAGUUUUUGUAAGAUUUUUGUAUUCAGAUGCGGGGUUUUGGUUAUCGGAGUAGUUUUUGGGGCCAAUGAUGUAGUUGGAAACAGAGGAGUUGUUUAUGUAUGCGUAUGCGUUGCAUGGUUUUGUUCUCUUUGUUAUUUCUUUUUGAUGUCAAAAUGUGGUUGUUUGAGCACAUUUAUUAUACCGGUUUGUUACAUUUUCCCUUUUUUUUACUAUUUAAGUUGCAAGUUUGAGUAGAUUAUGAGGUAAUAUAUUGUUGGAACAGGGUAGGUGUUUAUAUAUGCUUUGCAUGCGUUUGCUUUCUUUAUUUUUGGUUUCGAAAUGUAGUGUUUUUAGCUUAGUUUUUAGCUGAGUUUGCUUACUAUUUAUUAUAGAAACUGAUUUUGUUGUAGUGAUUUUUGUGAUUGUUUAUUAUGGAAAUUGUUUUUGCUUAGUUUUUAUUGUUGGAACAGAGUAGUGAUUUUUGUGAGAAAAAUACUAGCUACUAACCAAAAAAAGUUCCAUUUUUUUUUCCUUCCAUUUGAACUCAAAAUGUAAUUUUUGGCAAAUUUCUUACUAUGAUCAUGCAAACUUUUGAGCAUAGAGCAAGUUCAUGAUGUAAAAUGAUAGUUCCUUAUUAGAAGAAGCAGUUUAUCAUCAUGUAAUAUGAUAUACAUUGUUAGAAGCAUUAACUGCUUGUUCUCACCUGGGUUUUUCUUGGUAUUUAAAGUGCAUUAAACUCUCAAAAAUCACAAAAUUUCUAUCUUUUAACUUCUUGUUGAUUAUUGUUUCCUUUUAUUCCUUAUUUACUGCCUCAUAUUAAUAUCUCUCUUUCUCUCUCCCCCAUUACUUUUCUGCAGUUCUGCAACUCUGCUACAACCAGCUAACAGGGAGCAUACCAACCCAGCUUGGGCUUUUGAAGAAGCUCAAUGUGCUCGCUUUGCAAUCCAAUCGCCUAAACGGCGCGAUUCCGGCUACCUUGGGAGACCUCUCGCAGCUAAUAAGAUUGGAUUUAAGCUUCAAUCACCUCUUCGGGUCGAUCCCGACUAAAUUAGCUCAACUCCCUGAGCUUGUAUACUUAGAUCUUCGCAACAACUCGCUUUCCGGCAAUGUCCCUUCCGGUACAUACAUAGCUUUCAAUCUCAUAUAUGUAAAGUUUGAGUUGAAAUCUUAAAAAGCCCACUAACUUUUUUUUUACUUAAAUUUGAUUCUAAAUCAAAUUUGGCUCUUAACUCCAUUUAUGUGCUACGCUUUUUUUAUUUUAUGCUGAAUGAAGAUUUGAAGAGAUUGCAAGAAGGUUUUCAAUAUGAGAACAACACUGAUAUGUGCGGAACUGGAUUCAAUUCUUUAAGAACUUGCACUUCUGCGGAUCUCCUAAACCCUACCCGGCCCGAACCGUUUAGUGCCGGCGUCGCCCCGCACGCAAUUCCCCAAUCAGUUAACACCGCUGGCCGUUGCGAUACAAACCACUGCUCUCACUCUUUGAAAUCUUCUUCAGUGGCCGCCAUUUCCUCCGUUUCUAUAAUCGCGCUCCUGGGGUUUAUAUUCGGGCUAAUUGCAUUCUCGAGGUAUAGAAGCCGUAAGCAAAACCGUGGUAGCGCUCCAAUUAUUUCCACUAAUAACUCGUGUCGUAGAAGUGCUUCUUCUCUCAUCAACCUCGACUACUCUAAUGGUUGGGAUCCUUUAGCCGAUGGGAAAAGUGCUCUUGGGUUCUCCGAAGAAGUUUCAACGAGCUUUCGUUUCAAUCUUGAGGAAGUGGAGUUUGCCACUCAAUACUUCUCGGAGGUGAAUUUACUUGUGAAAAAAUCGAAUUCUUUAGCUACUUAUAAAGGGAUUUUGCGGGACGGGAGUGCGGUGGUGGUGAAGAGGAUAAGCAAGACAAGUUGCAAGUCGGAAGAGGCCGAUUUUCUACACGGGUUGAAGAUAAUUACUUCUUUAAAGCACGAUAAUAUUGUUAAGUUGAGGGGUAUUUGUUGCUCUCGAGGGAGGGGGGAGUGUUUUCUUGUUUACGAUUUCGUUCGUAACGGGAGUUUGUUGCGGUAUUUGGACGUGAACGGCGAAGAGAUCAAUCGCGUUCUCGAGUGGGCCACGAGAGUUUCCAUCAUCAAAGGCAUUGCUAAAGGUACCUCUCUUUCUCUUUAUUGAUAGCGAUGCGGAGUUAUGCAUGUUGUGUUUCCUAGUUAUCUUAUUUCUAGUUGUAUUCAUUUGAAUUGCAACUUAUUUUACUUGAUUGAUGCUUUUAGAUGAAAAUUAUCUUCAUACAUUGCCAUGAAAUUUGGAUGGACGUAAUGUUGACGCUAUAAAACGAACUAACGCAAACUUAGAUCGAUUUCCAUUCAUUUUAUUUAGGAUCUAAGUUGAUUUCUCGAGUGAGAUUAAUCGACCAUCUUUGUUUCUUAUCCAGGGAUACAGUACCUCCACAGCGAAACCCUAAACAAGCCUUCUCUAAUCCACCAAAACAUAUCCGCGGAGAAAAUUCUACUUGACCAAAAUUUCAAGCCUCUAAUCUCCAGCUCAGGCCUUCAUAACCUAUUAGCCGAUGAUGUCAUCUUCGCAACCCUAAAGGCAAGCGCCGCUAUGGGUUACUUAGCUCCAGAGUACGGAACCGUUGGUCGCUUCACCGAGAAAAGUGAUGUUUACGCUUUUGGGAUCAUCAUCUUCCAAGUGAUUUCGGGAAAAAGGAUGACCGCAGAAUUAAGGCUAUUGGCGGAAUCAGGUAAGCUCGAGGAUCUCAUCGAUGGGAACUUGAAGGGGGAGUAUUCGAAGGAAGAGGCCACUAAAUUGGGGCGCGAUGCGUUGGUUUGCACAAGCGAAGAUCCGAACAGAAGGCCAACAAUGGAGGCCUUGCUUCAAGAAUUCGGAGAUAUAUAACUCAUGAUAGUGUUGUUCUUCAAGUUGCAUGGACUCAAGGUAAAUUACGGCGGUAGUGCUCUAACUUUUUCUUUGUGAAGUUUUAUUUCAGUUGUCGAACUUAAAGUUUAUGCAUUAUGCACAUUGAACUCGCGCGUGUAAGUGUUCUACUAUAAUCCCCCUAAUCAACACUAGUAAGUAAGAGUAACAAGGAUGCACCAACACGCCGACAUGCACUCGAUCUGUAGCCACGCAAUUGAUUGGGAGGAUUACAAUGAAUCGCUUAUUCUGGAUUUCAAAUGCUUAAGUUUAAAGUUAAAGUUCGAGGACUAAAGUUAAUCUUUUUGGAAACUUCGCGGUUAAUUGCACUAAACCUUUAUAUUCACCAGCUAAAGGGAAGUGGAAGUACUGCAUCAUGGUUGCUAACUACUAACUCUAGAAGCUUCUAGGAUUCCAUUUCUCAAGGAUCUUUGAUAUCUUAGUGUGCUAAUUCCACUGUAUUAAUAUUAACCUUAAUCCUUGUUGUUUAUGGGAGCAUGUGAUCUCUCUCUUAUCUUUCUAGACCUUUUUUUUUUUUUUUUUUUUUUGGCCUGGUGGGGACUCUUGUGAACCAAUGUACUAUAUUAAUUUAAAUGUUGUGUGGAUUUUUGGGUGAGUCCAUUGUGGAAGAGCCAAAGUGUUAAGGCAACAUGUGAGUUUAAAUUUUUUGAGUGGUUUUGUCCUUGUGUGUGGAUUGUAGUGCAUGCUUUUUCUUCUCUGAGAAAUGACAGAGCAGAGCCUUGUGGGGUAUGCACCUGCAUCUCAGAUGAUACUGUUAUGCAUGAUGACUAAUUGUGUGGCAAAAGAUCCUUGUGUAACUCUGUGUGUGUGUGUGUGUGUGUGUGUGUGUGUGUGAGAGAGAGAGAGAGAGAGAGAGAGAGAGAGAGAGUUCACACGUAAUUUGUGUAGAAAAAGAUCCUUCUGUGUGUGCAUGUGUGUGUGUGUGUGUGUGUGAGAGAGAGAGAGAAGAGAGAGUGCAUACAUACUAAGAGAGAGAGAGAGAGAGAGUGCAUACAUUCUAAGAGAGAGAGAGAGAGAGAGUGCAUACAUUCUAAGAGAGAGAGAGAGAGAGAGAAAGAGAGAGAGAGAGUGCAUACAUACUAAGACUAAGAAAGAGUCACUAUAAGAAAAUUAACAUUUAAUGACUUUUUUAUAUUUAAUAAUAUUUAAAAAUAUUCUAAUCUAGCGCCAUAUUUAAAAGUGUUGGCAAAUGAAGAUUCGGCAUGUAUAUACCAACGUUUAUGGUAAGUAUCGGUAAUUAAAAUAUAUUCUGACGCUUUAAAACAUUAGAAUUUUCUGUUUUUAAAAUUUUUUUGAAGUUUUAAAACGUUAGAAAAUUUACUAUUAUAAAUAAUAGUUAAGCUUAUUAUUUUAUAAAUUGAAAUUGAUUUUAUGUAAUAAAGGGUUCAUAAUGACUCUCUCCUAAGCGCUAUCUAAAAAAUAUCUUUAUAUUGAGAUUUUCUUGUAACCAGUGAGAGGACAUAUUAUUAUAAAGUUUGAUGAAUAAAAAAGUGAAAACUUUUAUUGGGAAAGUAAAACAAAAUUUUGAGCCUCGAAAAUAAAAAGUGAGAAGCUUUUCAUUUGAUAUUUUGAUUUCUUUGUGCAAAAAAAUUGUUGAAAAAAAUAUUAUGUUUAUAAUAUUUUUUAAUAGCAUUGAUUACCGUGCGCUUUAUUAAUAGCACUACAACCAAACAAAGAGGAAAUGCCUUUGAAUUUGAAAUGAAAAUUGUUUGAUAUGCUCUUCAAUACUUUAAAAAGGUUUAUAUGUCAAAGCCUCGUUUGGUUAUCAUAUUUUUAAAUAUUUUUAAAUAGAAUUUCUAACUACAAAGUGUAAAAAGGAAAGGCUGAUUGGGUGUAAUUUUUUACAUUCAAGAUGUUUAUUUGACAUAAAAAAUUUAAAAGCAAAUUUUUUUUUUAUAAAUUUCAAUAUAUAUUUUCUUUAAGAAGUUUACACCAUAACUCAAAUUUGCAGGAAUGCAUUGCGAACUAACCAAUAAUUAUAGCAAAGGGAAAAAUUUUUCUGUGGGGUACUUAAAAUUAUAUAGAAUUAGUGUUUUUAAAUAUAAAAUAUAGCAAUGAUACAAAAGGAGGCCUAAAAAUUAUUAUUUUUGUUUGAUAAUAUUUGGUUAAUUUACAAAUAAUAGAUAUUUAACACAGCUGAUUUUUUGCAACUAUUUAAUAUAUGGAUAAUAAGUUUUCAUAUAUUAUGAUUUUUCAUAUGUAAAUAUGUAAAUAGUCCAAGCCCAUCUUAAUGGGCUUUAGGUGGGCUACGCCCAUUAUUAACCCAAGAAGCUCCCCUUAAUCAUUAAUUGCAUGUGUUCGACUAUAUAUAUAUAUAUAUAUAUAUAUGAGUUGAGCUAGAAUACUCUCGAGCCCGUUUACUCUCGAGUUGUUUUCGAUGAUAGAGCUUCCAAAUUGACGAUCAGCUCCGUUAAAUAUGAUCUAAACCAUUUAAACUAUCUAGAAAUCAAAUUUUACGCACUUUCGAUAUUGUUUUAUAUCCAUCUAGUGAACAGAAAAAUGAAUGGCUGAAAAUGAAUAUUCUUUAAAAAAUGAUGAUAGGAGUCUUGUAAUCAAGAUCAAGAGUAUAGAUCUUGUUUUAAAUAGUUUAAAGAAUUUUCUAACAAAAAUUCAAUUGAUUUCACGCACUUUCGAUAUUGUUUUAUAUCCAUCUAGUGAACAGAAAAAUGAAUGGCUGAAAAUGAAUAUUCUUUAAAAAAUGAUGAUAGGAGUCUUGUAAUCAAGAUCAAGAGUAUAGAUCUUGUNUGCCAUAUAGUCCAAGUUUUUGUAGUAUAUACCUCUUCGAUGCUACAUUGUAUUUUGCAUCUUGAUUUAUGAAAUCAGUGGUUUGUUUGCUAACUCUUCUGUGAUGUUUAUGUGGCUGGCAUAUUCUUGAGGAUUAUAUUUUUAUGUCUCUUGUGGAUUGUACUUUAGAGAAACUUGGAUAAAUAUUUGUCUAUAAUUCGCCAAAUGCUCUUUUGAAAUUAGAGAUUUCAUGCAGUAAAGUUUAAAACAUAAGUGCAAUAUGUUGAUAUGUUUAAACAUCAGUUAUUUUGUAAGAGAUAAUUUUCUGUUUGACAGGAUAGAGGAAGCGGAAGCACAAUGUGCAUUGCUAAAUUCGGCAUCCUUUUGUGUAAGUGGAAUGAUUCUUUUGUAUUUAAACAAUCUGGCUUUUACCUCUAUAAUGACUAUCUCGAUUUUCAGGAUGGGUGCUUCACUUCAGAUUCAGAUAUUUUCCUUUUCGGAGCAAGGACAGUAUAUAGAGAUAUUAUUCUAGGUAAUUUCUUGAACUUCUAACCGAAGUAAAUAAAGAAGAUACUUACUGAUAACAUAGCUUCCUCAAACCAUAUAUUUUGCUUUUUUUUUUAAAAAAAAAAACCAGAUUUUGUUUUUGUUUUGCCAUUCAUCCAGCUAGUUAUCUUACAUUUACAAAAUUUCUUUUUGGAAUUAGGAGAGGGUGGAUAUGUUAUUUGUUAUGAGAUGGUAGAUGUAGAGCGCAAACUUGGGUUUGGAAGGAACUCACUGGUAAGGUGCCUUCUACAUCUUGUUGUAUGGAGCCACACACCCUUUCUUUGUUUUCUCUUACCAAUGAAGUUUUUGGCAAUUUUCCAUUUAUGUAAUAUUAUGUUAUUGAGAGUUUUGAAAUUACAAAGUUUCAAUUCUUAUAAUAUGUGAAGUGAAUUUGCAGCUUAGCCAUGAAACUAUCUAUUUGCAAACCUGCAAAUAACGGAAUAAGGUUUUGUAUGUCACUAUGACUUUAUGAGAUAUAUAUAUAUAUAUAUAUAUAUAUAUAUAUAUAUAUAUAUAUCUAUAUAUAUAUAUAUAUAUAUAUAUAUAUAUAUAUAUAUAAAUGCCUAGCUUGCAUACAAAUAAAUAGAGAAAAAUAUUUGAUGAUAAAAGUAAAAUAGUUAGCUAAAUAUAUAUUUAGAAACUUUUUCAUAUAUAUAUCUUGAUCAAACUUAUGCGAUCAAUCGAUUAAAAUAGUUACUCUCCAUAAUUACACGUAACAAAAUUUUUCCACAUGUUUCUGUAGUCAAUAAAAACUAACAUAACAUCGCUAGCGCAUACCUUAAGUACAUUAAUUAAUUAGUGGUAGCAUUUUUCAUCUGCUUGUUUAUUUAGUCUAUAUUUUGCUACGUUUUUGUCCGAUUAUAUCGUUGUUUGAUUUCGACAUGGCUGCUGCUUUUGCACACAUUUUAUGCUUAUUAUAAUUCAUUAGUAGUCGAUAGUUUUAUCUUAUCAAGAAACCAUUAAUUUGACAAAGUAAAAGAACCAUAUAUAUAUACAUAUAUAUAUAUAUCUCAUUACAUGUUGUUGCUUGUUUAUGCUGUGUUAAACUAGUAAUAAUAAACAUUAUAUAUAGUGAGAGCUACAUAAAUAUCAUCUAUGUGGAUACAUUAAUUAAGUAGCAUUAACUUGCAAGUUGAUAAUUUACAACAAAGUUUGACUAAGAUUGCUUGGGUGCUAAACAAUUUAUAUAUAUGGCGUGAUAGUUAUGUAGUUGAAUCCAACAAAUGGAUAACUCUCAUGAGAGAAUUAGUUAGAAGAGGCCACGAUUUCAAUAUGCAACUAUAUAUAUAUAUAUAUAUAAGCACGUAUAUUCAAAUUUGGGUCUGUCGACAGACCCAUUUUUAGGCGGGAAAAUUAGCGCUCAUUUUUCUCUUUCCGUACGAAAAAUUUUAAAUAUAAGAAUAAAAAUAGAAAUAGAAACAACAAUGUAAGUUCUCUAUAACAGACUAUUUAAUUUCAAAAGUAAGUUUUCUAUAACAGAUUACGGGUGUGAAAAUUCUAUAAAAGAUAUUUUCCUAUUUUAUUUUAAAAUAUCUUUUUUAGAUAUUAUCUAUUUAAUUUCAAAAUAUAUUUUCUUUUUGAUUACGUUUUUAAUGAAAACUUUAAUUUAUCUUUUUAUUUUAGACAAUUCUUUAUUUAAAAACUUUAAUUUAUCUUUUUAUUUUAGGCAAUAGACNACGGCCGUUAACACUUUAAAUUUAAACGAUUACUAAUUAUUUCAGUCGUACACAAAUUCAUAAUCCUGAUGUGAUCGAGUUGGGACCGCGCGUUGUUGGAGAUAUAUAUAUAUAUAUAUAUAUAUAUAUAUAUAUAAAUCUUAUUUUAAAAAAAGUGUCUCCUCAACCUAUUAGGUUUAAAAGCUUUUAUAAUUUUAAAAUUAUUUUUUAAAAAAGUUUUUAAAAAUAAAAUUUUAAAAAUAUUCUUGUGCAACGACUAGUAGUCAAUGGAUUUAAAUUUAUUUCUUGUCAUGUGAGAUGAAAAACAUUACUAUAUAUCGUAACAAGCUAAUUAUCAAUAUUUUUUUCCAAAAAAAAAAAGAGUUUGCCAAGNNNNNNNNNNNNNNNNNNNNNNNNNNNNNNNNNNNNNNNNNNNNNNNNNNNNNNNNNNNNNNNNNNNNNNNNNNNNNNNNNNNNNNNNNNNNNNNNNNNNNNNNNNNNNNNNNNNNNNNNNNNNNNNNNNNNNNNNNNNNNNNNNNNNNNNNNNNNNNNNNNNNNNNNNNNNNNNNNNNNNNNNNNNNNNNNNNNNNNNNNNNNNNNNNNNNNNNNNNNNNNNNNNNNNNNNNNNNNNNNNNNNNNNNNNNNNNNNNNNNNNNNNNNNNNNNNNNNNNNNNNNNNNNNNNNNNNNNNNNNNNNNNNNNNNNNNNNNNNNNNNNNNNNNNNNNNNNNNNNNNNNNNNNNNNNNNNNNNNNNNNNNNNNNNNNNNNNNNNNNNNNNNNNNNNNNNNNNNNNNNNNNNNNNNNNNNNNNNNNNNNNNNNNNNNNNNNNNNNNNNNNNNNNNNNNNNNNNNNNNNNNNNNNNNNNNNNNNNNNNNNNNNNNNNNNNNNNNNNNNNNNNNNNNNNNNNNNNNNNNNNNNNNNNNNNNNNNNNNNNNNNNNNNNNNNNNNNNNNNNNNNNNNNNNNNNNNNNNNNNNNNNNNNNNNNNNNNNNNNNNNNNNNNNNNNNNNNNNNNNNNNNNNNNNNNNNNNNNNNNNNNNNNNNNNNNNNNNNNNNNNNNNNNNNNNNNNNNNNNNNNNNNNNNNNNNNNNNNNNNNNNNNNNNNNNNNNNNNNNNNNNNNNNNNNNNNNNNNNNNNNNNNNNNNNNNNNNNNNNNNNNNNNNNNNNNNNNNNNNNNNNNNNNNNNNNNNNNNNNNNNNNNNNNNNNNNNNNNNNNNNNNNNNNNNNNNNNNNNNNNNNNNNNNNNNNNNNNNNNNNNNNNNNNNNNNNNNNNNNNNNNNNNNNNNNNNNNNNNNNNNNNNNNNNNNNNNNNNNNNNNNNNNNNNNNNNNNNNNNNNNNNNNNNNNNNNNNNNNNNNNNNNNNNNNNNNNNNNNNNNNNNNNNNNNNNNNNNNNNNNNNNNNNNNNNNNNNNNNNNNNNNNNNNNNNNNNNNNNNNNNNNNNNNNNNNNNNNNNNNNNNNNNNNNNNNNNNNNNNNNNNNNNNNNNNNNNNNNNNNNNNNNNNNNNNNNNNNNNNNNNNNNNNNNNNNNNNNNNNNNNNNNNNNNNNNNNNNNNNNNNNNNNNNNNNNNNNNNNNNNNNNNNNNNNNNNNNNNNNNNNNNNNNNNNNNNNNNNNNNNNNNNNNNNNNNNNNNNNNNNNNNNNNNNNNNNNNNNNNNNNNNNNNNNNNNNNNNNNNNNNNNNNNNNNNNNNNNNNNNNNNNNNNNNNNNNNNNNNNNNNNNNNNNNNNNNNNNNNNNNNNNNNNNNNNNNNNNNNNNNNNNNNNNNNNNNNNNNNNNNNNNNNNNNNNNNNNNNNNNNNNNNNNNNNNNNNNNNNNNNNNNNNNNNNNNNNNNNNNNNNNNNNNNNNNNNNNNNNNNNNNNNNNNNNNNNNNNNNNNNNNNNNNNNNNNNNNNNNNNNNNNNNNNNNNNNNNNNNNNNNNNNNNNNNNNNNNNNNNNNNNNNNNNNNNNNNNNNNNNNNNNNNNNNNNNNNNNNNNNNNNNNNNNNNNNNNNNNNNNNNNNNNNNNNNNNNNNNNNNNNNNNNNNNNNNNNNNNNNNNNNNNNNNNNNNNNNNNNNNNNNNNNNNNNNNNNNNNNNNNNNNNNNNNNNNNNNNNNNNNNNNNNNNNNNNNNNNNNNNNNNNNNNNNNNNNNNNNNNNNNNNNNNNNNNNNNNNNNNNNNNNNNNNNNNNNNNNNNNNNNNNNNNNNNNNNNNNNNNNNNNNNNNNNNNNNNNNNNNNNNNNNNNNNNNNNNNNNNNNNNNNNNNNNNNNNNNNNNNNNNNNNNNNNNNNNNNNNNNNNNNNNNNNNNNNNNNNNNNNNNNNNNNNNNNNNNNNNNNNNNNNNNNNNNNNNNNNNNNNNNNNNNNNNNNNNNNNNNNNNNNNNNNNNNNNAUAUAUAUAUAUAUAUAUAUAUAUAUAUAUAUGUAUGAACAACUUGCUCUUUUCUAUGUAACCAAGUUGUAAUUUGUAUUCUUGUUGUAUAUAUAUAUACACACACAUUAUAUGUAGUUGUAAACCAUUACUACAUAAAAGAAAAAAAAAAAAAGAAAACAAGAAAAAGUGAUCUUUGACUCGAUUACAUUAACCUUGAUGUGAGUAGAUUGCAUGUACGUUAUAAAUUUAAUCAACAUGCACCAUUAUAUAUAAGCAAAUUAAUUAAGCAUUUAAUUCAUCUUUACAUAUAUUUUGUAGAAAUGCAUACAUAGUAGUUAUUUCCUUGCUCAAAGUUUUAAUGUCAAUGAGCUAAAAAUGCUUCAUCCUAUUCACAUGUGAAUCAUACUAAAAAUGAUCAAUUUCUCUAACAAGCUAUUUACAAAAUCCCAUAAACAUUAUUAAUUACAAUUUCCCUACCAAUGUGAUCACUUUAAUUUUUUAUCAGUAAUUUUCAUACAAUAUACUCCAUUACUGUGCUAAUCUACUAUCUUAAUCUUAUUCAUGCAAAACUACCAAAGACCCAAAUUGAUAUCCAAAAUGGAAAAAAAAAAGGGAUCAUAUCCAAUUUUUUCCCUAUGUUUUUAAUAUUUCAUGAGCUGUAUAUUUGGUCUUUAGUAUUCAUGAAAGGAGUUGUAAAUUUUUGAUCCCUCCGUACUCAAUCUUUUUCCACUCCUAUAUGAUUAAUUUUAAUGAUCUUUCUUAAUGACUACCUCCAAAAAAAGAAAAAAGAAGCUCAUAAAGUUUGAAUACGAUUUCACUAUAACUUGAACUACUUUUUUGUUUUUCUUCGUGUCGUGUAUCUCAUGGGAUUGCAACUGUUAAAAAUGAUCAAUUUCUCUAACAAGCUAUUUACAAAAUCCCAUAAAUUAACAUUAUUACAAUUUCCCUACCAAUGUGAUCACUUUAAUUUUUUAUCAGUAAUUUUCAUACAAUACACUACUCCAUUACUGUGCUAAUCUACUAUCUUAAUCUUAUUCAUGCAAAACUACCAAAGACCUAAAUUAAUGUCCAAGAAGGAAAAAACAAGGGAUCAUAUCCAAUUUUUUCCUUUUGUUUUUAAUAUUUCAUGAGCUGUAUAUUUAGUCUUUAGUAUUCAUGAAAGGAGUUGUAAGUUUUUGAUCCCUCCGCAUCGCUCAAUCAUUUUUCCACUCCUAUAUGAUUAAUUUUAAUGAUCUUUCUUAAUGACUACCUCCAAAAAAAAGAAAAGAGAAGCUCACAAAGUUUGAAUACGAUUUCACUGUAACUUGAACUACUUGUUUGUUUUUCUUCGUGUCGUGUAUCACAUGGGAUUGUAACUGUCAUAUAUUAUUCAAACCUUAUUCAAAAUUCUCACUGUACUUGAAUUGGACAAAGGACAAGUUGAUGAAAAGUAAGAAAUGUUUGCUUCUGAUUUUUUCCAAAUCUAUGGGCUCUCUUAAAGACAAGGUUGCGCGAGCUUAUGUAAUUAAGAUGGUAUGCAAUUCUACAUAUUUUAGUUGACUAAACACUUUUAUUUAGAAUUUUUUUUUUGGCUUAAUGUUGCAUGCAAGAUAAAUUAACUUCAGUAUAUAAUGAAAAUAACAUAGAGUAAUUUCCAUUAAUCAAGCUAUAUAUAUGUGUACAAGUUACAUAGAAUAAGCCUCAAUUUGUUAUAUAAGCAUGAUUUUUCUUAGUACAACAUAAAAUUAAUCCAAAUUAGUCACUAUACUUAUCAUGAAGUUUCCCUUAGGAUAACUUAGCGAAGUUCCAUGUAAUGGCAAUUGAGUCACUAAAUCUUAUGUUUUGUUUCACUCAAAUCACUCUAUACUAAACUCGAGUUUAGUUUUUUUUCGUCAUACAAACGAAAUGACGACUAAUCGAGCUGAAAUGAUACAGCUAUAAUACAUUGACAACUGAUUCAAUUGCCACAUCAUCUAAGGAUCCUUAAAAUUAAAUUCAAUGCAUCCUUACAGAAUGAUGUGAUAGCUCAACUACACAAAGUUGAAGAUAACAUGAUAGUUAAAUUAGUUGUCGCACAGUUCCUUCAUUAAAGAACUAUUUGGACAAAGUUUAAUACAAUGACCCACACUGAAAUCAUAAGCAAUUAAUUCUUUGUGAUAUAUUAAAGUUCAACAAUCAAAGGAGUUCAAUUUCUCAGUAUUUAACUUAGUCCAAAGUUUCCCACUCUAAAUUUUGAGUUUGGACAAAGUUAACAUCAUGGGCCAAAUGGUUCGAUCUUUUAUAAAAAAUUUGGCUCCACAAAUAACUAAUUGACUAUGAACAUUUAAUAUGCCUAAUUAAAUAAUCACAUAGGAUUAGGAACAUGGUUAGUUAUGUAUGCAAAUCUAGUUUAAGAUUAUCGGUUAUAUAUCAUUUUGGACCCACCAAUUAAUGUUGGAUAUUUGUAGGAAAGUCAAAGUAAUCAGUGAAUUUAAAAGCUAAAACAACUAGUUUAAUUAGCUGUUCACUGUACACGGGCUAAUGUUUUUAUUGAAAAUGCUAUCCCUUGCUUAGUAUAAUCAUUUAAACAUAAUUAUUAAUUGUUUUCUAUGUUCUUUAUAUUAUAUAUUUAUUACGAGAAGAUAUCAAAGUCGAAAUGAUCGAAACAUUUAACACCGCGAAUAUGAAAAUACAUUUUUGUUUGGUUUGCUUAUCUGUUUUAGAUUUAUUUCUUAUUUAAUAUUAACUUUUCGAUUAGCUAUCGCGAUAAGAAGUGUGUUAGAGAUGUGCACUCAUCAGUAAACAUCAUUAACUAAAAUACAACUUACUUACAAUUUUUAUUGAUCACUUGUCUCGCUAUUAGAAUAGUUUUUUCAAUGUAAACAAAAUUAGAGUGACAUGUGCAAAGGCUACGAUGUAUACUUUGUUAUUUUCUAAUAAGAAGGAUAUUAUCAAUUCAUCUACGUAUCAAUUAAUCUUACCUUAGCAUGUAAAAUGUGUUUAGAUCCUAAUGGAAAGGUAGGAUCCGCUAAAUCUUGCUUCUCAAAAAGAUACAUUAUAAUAAAUAGGAUUGUUUUAAAAUCAGAAAACAAUUGUCCUUUCCUAUCUCUUCAGUUUCUUAAUUCUUGGCAUAAUUUCUUGUCGGAAAUAAUAAAAUUAGCAGUUCCACGUAAAUUUUUAUCUCAUUACCUAUCACUAGAUCCGUUGGUAGGUUAUCAGUAUCUUGAAUAAUGAGCUUUUGAUUUGAAUCCUGCAGUGUUUAUAUAAAAAGUGUUAUAAAAAAAAAAUUAUUGAAAAUAGCGUGCACAGCAAAAAAAAAAUCUUAACGUACAAUGGCACUAAAGAAAUAUGAAACAAAAAUAUUAUGACAUUAAAUGAUUGAUACAGAGAUUUAAACUCGAUACUUAUUGGAACUAAAGAAGCUCAUGCACCACUGACUCUGAUACUAUAUAUAUAAACCUAAGAGAUAUAGAAAUAUAAUUUAAAAAUAAUCUUAACUCCGAAAAAAUGCAAGCAAAUGCACCGUUUCUGUAGCCAUUUAAAUAUUCUAAUUUUAUUUCUAAUAUUUCAAUUUAUUUGAUUUAAACAGUUAGUGACCCUAAAUUUUAAAAAUUUGAAUGCAUCGUUUAUCUUUACAGAUUUGAUUAAUAUAUUUUAUGUAAUUUAUAUAGCUAUAAAUUUAUUGAAAUAAACAGUUAACUUAAAUUUUGUAUCGAACGAUUCAUCAAAUUAUUUAAUUAAAUAAAUUAACAACUAAAAUUAAAAUUUUAAAAGAUCAAAUAAUCUUUUUUUUUUUUUUUUUGAGAGAGAUAUGUAGCACGCAACCCGCUUCAUUUAUUUCAUUUAGAAUAAACUUAACUGGAAAUGUGAAUCAAUUAGGAUUUGAACUUGGGUUUCGGAUAUUAACCACUAAAUCCUUUGCCACUUGUUGUAGGGACGGUCGGUAAAAAAGAUGAGAAAAUUGAUUCAAAAUGACCUAUAGUUCAAAUAAAUUUUAUACAUUUUUAUCGGGAAUAUAUGGUUUUUUUUUACAAAUAGUCCUCUCACAAAUUUUAUUUGCAAAAAUAGUCCUGUCCGAAAAUUAUUUGCAAAAAUGGCCCUGCCCCUGCCACGCCAGAGCCACGUCAGCGCCACGCGGGCAGAGCGGGCCCAGAUGUUUAAGUUGAACACGGUGAACCAUUCACCGUGUUCAAUACAAGAUUUUUGUAUUGGACACGGUGAAUGGUUCACCGUAUCCAAUACAAAUAUCCAAACAAUGGCUAAGUUGGAGGUAUUUGUAUUAGACACGGUGAAUCAUUCACCGUGUCUAAUUAUUUGUAUUAGACACGGUGAAUGUUUCACCAUGUCCAAUACAAAUAUUGCGAUCUUAGCUAUUUUGUAUUGGACACGGUGAAUCAUUCACCGUGUCCAAUACAAAAACUUUGUAUUGAACACGGUGAAUGGUUCACCGUAUUCAACUGAACCAUCUGGCCCAGUCCCGCCGGCGUGGCGCUGACGUGGUGCUUGCGUGGCAGGGUCAGGACCAUUUUUGUAAAUAAAUUUUUGACAGUACUAAUUUUAAAAAAAAAAUUUAUAAGAGGGCUAUUUGCAAAAAAAGCCCGGAAUAUAUAUAUUGCUAACUCCUCCUACACAUAUAUAUAUAUAUAUAUAUAUAUAUAUAUAUAUAUAUAUAAGAGGUGGCAAUCCAACCCACAUCACCCCAACACUCUCAUUGGCCAUCACUUGUUGACCACACAUUACAAAACCCUAGAAAUAGAAGCCCACAUCACCCUUAUAUUUCCCUUUUGCAUUUUUCUCACCCUUAAGAUAAGUACAGCAACAUCUCCAUCCUUACUUACUUGUACUUUCUUUUUCCCUACAUGUCCUUUCUCUCUCUCUCUGGUAUACUGUAUUUGGACGCAACCACAGCCACUUACACCCCCACAUGUCUCUCUCUAGAUUUAUCUCUAGAUUUUUCCAUAUUUAUCUCUCUCUCUCUCUCUUUCUCUCUCUCUCUCUCUCUCUCUCUCUCUCUCUCUCUUUCCUAAUUAAACUUAAGUUUUUAUUAAAUGUGUAAGUUAUUCAAGUCAAGGAGGGGUGAGUAGUUUUAUAUUUGUGCGUCAAAGUCAGAGCCUAUUCAUCACCAUAAAUAGCCCACAGGGCCAUAACCUUUUUAUUUUUUUUUUCUAAAAUACCUCUUAUAUGUUCCACCGUUAUUAUAAAUAAAAUACCUCCGCAGUUAUCUCCUGUUAAGUAACUUAAGUUAAACGUGAGUUAAAUAUCUACCACAACUAAAAAACUUAAAAUACCAAUUUUGCCCUUAACUUUAGGGCAAAUAAGAAAUGUUGGUGACAGUAGAGGGGUAUAUUAAAAAAGAUCAAAAGUUAAAAUACUUUUUGUGCCCCUGACUUUAAGGACAAAUAAGAAAGUCGGCGAUGGUGGAAGGGUAUACUUGAAAGGGCAAAAUAGUAAUCUUACAAAGAUAACAGAGUUAAUAAACUGAUUUUAACUCUAGAGAUAUAUUAGAAAUAGGUUGAAACGUAGAAAGGGUAUUUUCAAUAUUAGCCUUCUAAGAGGAGUAAAUCGCGAGUCGGAAAUUUUUCACGGGUAUAUAAACAAUUGCCCCUUUUUUUAAAUAGUAGGGAACAAAUUUUUUUUUUUUACCAUUAUUUAGUUGAAAGGAAGAAAACAAAAUUAUUAUAUAUAUUUUUUCUUAUUAUAUAUAUUAUAUUAUUAUUAAUUUAUAAUAAUUAGUAUACUAUAUAUAUUAUUAUUAUAUUUUUAAAAAUAAAUAUAUUUAAAAUAUAUUAUAUAAUAAGUUUGUAAUAUAAUACAUAAUAGUAUAUUAUAUUUAGUACUAUAAAAUAAAUUACUAUAUAUUUAUAAAUAAUAUUUAUAAAUAUAAUAUUAUAUAGUAAUAUAUUAUAUAAAAAUAAAAUAUUAUAUAUAUAUAUAUAUAUAUAUAGAGUGAGGCUACUAUACUUCUAGAAGCACGGAGCUUUCCGUGCUUCCAGAUCUUUUUCCAUGUUGCGACUUUCGAAUCGUCGAUCGGCUCUAUUAAACUUAAUCUAGAGUAUUUAAAGUAGCUAGAAAAUAAAUUUUGCAAUUUUUCGAUAUCAUUUGUCUAGUGAACAAAGGGGCUCAAAAUCAACGGCUGAAAAUAAAAAUCUUACAAAAUGUAAUAAUAUGACAUUAAAAUUUUAGAUCAAAAAUAUUGAUCUUAUUUUAGAUCUGGAUAUUUCUAUACCGUUAAACUUGCAAACGGCUCACUACGGCCAUUAAAAUUAUUGAUUUUGAGCCCCUUCGAUCACUAGACAAAUGAUAUCGAAAAAUUAUAAAAUUUAUUUUCUAGUACUUCAAAUACUCUAGAUCAAAUUUUACGGAGCCGAUCGACGAUUCGAAAGUCGCAACAUCAAAAACGACCUGAGAGCACGGAAGGUUCCGUGCUUCUAAAAGCAUAAUAACCUCAUACACUAUAUAUAUAUAUAUAUAUAAUGAAGAGAGAGAGAGUCUGCAGGCUCUAGGUGUGGACUCUCCCUCAUGCGGUCCACGAGGUGAAGUUCACCUUGGGUACUGUGUGUUAACACACCUGUGCCACGAUUUUUUAGGACGAGACUUGAAGAGAGCAAAAAAACAAAAAUUCUUCUGAAAAUCUGUUACGAAUAACCAAAUAAUAGAAAAAAAAUUUCAACGAAAAAUAUUUUUCAGAAUGAUUUUACGUGGAUCCAAGCACACCCUUACUAAAUUUAGAUUUAUUAUCUUUAAUCCACGGAUAUAUAGUAAAUAUAACUUCAGUAAUUUAAUUUCAAUCAACAGUUAUUUUUAUUUUUGUAUAAAUCACAAUGAUUAAUGAAAGAAAUUGAAUAGUGGUGAGCCCACUACCAUCUCGUAAUAUUACUUCUAUAAUGAGAAUGAAUAAAUCACUCUAAUUCUUCUAUUUUUUUUUUCUUUUACUAGCUAAGAGUAUUCUUAUUAAAAUGUUUGACAAAUUAAUAAGAAAUCUUAAAACUCUACUACCAUUCUAAACCUUAAUAAAACACAAAACUCUAAAAAUUAAAAAGCUCUAACUUAUUGCCAAGCCAGGUAAUAAUGUUCACACAUGCAUGUACUCAACGUUGUACGUACGCGCGUACGUAGUAAAUUGCUCCGACCAAGGAUUGUAGCAUAUCCUUUCUCACGACUCUCUCUCUCUCUCUCCCUCUUCAUACAUUAACCAACGAAUUUUAAGGGAAAAAAUAUGCCAAGCUUGUCGUUUUAUGGCGACAUUAAGAAUAUCCUGUUUCCCGUACACCAACGUGUUAGCGUACAUCUCUCUCCCUCCUUUGUCAACGCACCCCUCCUCCAUAUAUAUCCUAUCCUUAGAUGAAACAAUAAUAAUAAGCAAGAGAGAGGAAGAGGAGGAAGAAGAGGAAGAGGAUAAAUCUAUCAUCAAUAUGAAGUUGGUAUGGUGCCCGGAGAUGGCGUCGAAGGCGUACAUCGACGGCGUGAAGACGCUGGCGGAGCGAGAGCUCGCCGACACCGACGUUGCCGAGCUCGUCUCCGCCAUGGCCGGGGGCUGGAACGCGCAGCUCAUCGUCGAGGCCCCGGCCCCGGCACCGCACGACGUCGCCGCCAUCACCCUCGCCCUCUCCGCCGCCGCGCGCCACACCGGCGCCCGCUACGUCUGCGUCUACCCAGACCGUAACUCGGCGGCGGAGCACCCCGCGGAGGUGGUGGUGGGGGAGGCGGCGGAGGCGAUGGGGGGGCUGGAGGGGGUGGACCUGCUGGUGGUGGACGCGCGGCGCGGGGACGCGGCAGCGGCGGUGGCGGCGGCGAGGCCGGGGCCGAGGGGGAUGGUGGUGGUGCAGCACCACGCGGGGCGGCGGAGGGGCUGCGGCGGCGGCGGCGUCGCGUUGGUGCCGGCGGUGGAUUCGGCACGUGGAUCGGGACACGGGCGAGGAGCACGUGUUCCGACGCUGAUAUCCUUCUGGAUAAUUUUCAUGUCAUACGUCAAUAUGCCAGCACAGCAGCAGAACUUAUCUCCAAACACGGAUAUCAGCUGAACAUGUGCUGGCACUUUGAAAAUGUGAAUAGAUAGCAACGCAUGAUAGCAUAUGUUCAUUUUGACAUAUUUUUUCUUUUCUAAUUUUGUAUCUUUAUUAUAUGUAAGAUAAAAGUUUGUAAGAUGACAAUGGAAUCCACGCGUUGUGAAUUUUUUGGUUAGUAAUUCCAUUACGUAUUUACAAGAGCCGUUAUACCACCAAGACUUAAAAUUUUCGACCUAAAAUUUUAGUGCAGAUUGGGAAAGAAACUAAAGCUUAAUUCGCAUGGCUAGUCCUGCAAAUGACAUAUUAUAUAAAAAAUUUCACUAAUAUUUAAGUAAAGAUCCAUCACUUUGAUAAAAAUUAUCGAUCGGCUCUAAAGCAGGUGGCAAAGGAUUUAGUAAUUGAUACCCGAGACCCAUGUUCGAAUUAUAGUUGAUUCACAUUUUCAACUAAGUUUAUUUUUAAAUAAAAUAAACAAAGCAGAUAGUGUUCUACCUAUCUUUUUUUUUUAAAAAAAAGGAUAAAAGUUGCGUAAAUUGGCAAUUUCACAAAUACUUUUCCAUGAAUUCCAUUAUCAACCAAUAUAAGUUACUUACUAUUUACAUGAAUAAUAUUAUGCUUACAAAUUUUUUACAAACUUUCUGUAAGCACGUGUUUCUAUGGUUGGAUUUAUUUAUUUAUUUAUUUUUUCUCAUUUGUGAACACACAUAAAAAAAAAAAUAGAACCUAAAAUUCUGAAAAAUUAAUUUUAUGAAAUUUUAUGGAAAAUAUCAUUUCUAUAGCUUUAGUUUUCCAGAAAAAAUAAUCAAAAAACCAUAAGUAGAUUCUUCCAUAAAAUCUGUAUAAAAAAAUUUAAAAAAAUUACAUUUUCUGAAACCAAUCAGCCAGAAAACUAUUUUCUAUUUUUUUUUGUUUAACCAAAUUGUAGAUAGUUUUGUUCCUAAGCACAGUAUUAGUGUAUCUACAUAAUGCUUUGUACUCUUUGGGAAGGAAAUUUUUUUUUUUUUUUCCAGAUGUAAACUUAAGAUACAUCCCAAUUUCUUUCCUUGUUUUUUAAUUUCCAUCUCAUUAGUACUUUACUAGAUUGAAUGAGUAGUCAUAGAUUAUGUUAAUGUUCAUUUGAGAGCAUAUCUAAACAACUUGUUACUAAUUUAAGUAAAUAAAGAGUUAGGCUUACUAAUUUGUGAGAGAUCUCUCCAUCACCCAGAAUAAAGUAGCACUAGAUCGCAUAAUAGAAAAAUGAAACCGACAUACAACUCCUAAAUAAUUAAAUCCUGAGUUUAGUUGAUCAGUAUUAUAAAAAGAAAUUAGUAACCAAGUUGAUGUUCGAUCAGUGUUUGACGUUAACUUAGCCUUAAUUAACUAGGAGUUCUACCUAACGAGACGAAUAAUUUGACGACAAGCAUAACAUAAGUGAUAAGCUUAGCUUAGCUGAUCAAAAUCGAACUUGAAAACGCAUGCAAAAAUAGCAAAACAUGCCAAAGCUUUAAUUUUAGGUCGAUAAUAACACCUAUUUCACAUCUUUGAAAACAAAAACUCCCUUAAAAGACGAAGAAAAAAGGCAAAGAUAAUAAGAACUAUUCGGACGAGGUCAUAGUUAGGUUAGGUUCAAUUAAUAAUGUCCUCAUCUAAUCGCCACUUAGUAGUUCGGUUAGUAGGUAUUCUCAUGGUCGAGGUGAAGCUAGAUCUUGGAUUUCUAAUCCAGUUUGGUGCCCAAAAAAACAGGUGGGUGCGCAGGCCUUCGAGCAUAACUUAAAAAUAAAAAAAGCGAUAAAGCGCCAGUGAUGAUCUUAAUCCAACAUUGUUAGCUAUCAAAGUAAAAUUUACAAAUUCAGAAAUCGAGUAAGUCAAGUAGGGAUAUAAAGAGUGCAUACAUUCAUGUAACAUUUCGAGUUAAUUUGCAGCAACAGAUACACUUACAGAUGCAAAAUUCAACAACAAUUACAGCUACAAAUGUACAAGAUUUUGGACUAAAAGCCUCUGGCUAUUUAUAAUGGUAAUCAACACAAAUCACCCUGAUUAAGGAGAGAGAGGAGCAGUGAAAUGAAACCGGGAUUGUUAACUAUACGAAAGAUUGCGCUUCUUUACCUCGCAUGGAAAUGGAUGGACUCGCUCGUUUAUGCACUGUAGAGGUAUAUUUUUCUCCUCAUAUGUUAAGCCAGUGAUUUCAAUUUAUUCUUCUUCUAUUCAGUACUAUUCAGUAGUGUGUUUAGAUCAACAGGAAAAAGAUCUCUCUAAUUGUGAUCUGAAUUAUCCUGAAAUAGAAGAAAAGGAGAACCAUCAACACAAUCUUUAGCAUCGCCUAAACAAAAAAGAUGAAUCAUAUUUGGCAACUACACCGAUCGUCCCUAGAGCAAGUGACAAAGGGCUUGAUGGUUGGUACCCGAGACCCAAGUUCGAAUCCUAGUUGAUUCACAUUUUCAGCUAAAUUUAUUUCUAAAUGAAAUAAACGAAGCGGGUAGCGUGCUACCUAUCUCUCAAAAAAAUAUUUGGCAACUACUAAAAUACAGCUUUCAGAAUCAUGAUUUGAUGAUUAUCAGGACAACCAUCCAUUACAAGCAAAUGAAAAGUCGACUAGUUACAGCUUCAGGAAUUGUACCUUAUAGUCAAUCCCAACUAUCUCUAUUCCUCCUGAAUGUUUUCUUUUGUGAGAGAGCUUUUUUGUUCAGAAUCCUCUUUUGCUCUCCAACAGCAGCCCUUCAAUAACAAAGGGAACGAGGUAACUCAUUCAGUUCCAUUAACAUAGUUUAACAGUAUAUCAUCUUCGAGUCUAAACAGAACAAGUUGAAAGCAAAAUGACAUCCUUUUCUUAAUAUAAAGGAAACCGUAGAUAAAUAUGGCUUACAAUUUUUCAAUCCUUUUCUUUUGCUCUUCUGAAGGAGGCGGUGGAACAUAUGAUGCAGCAUCAAUAAUAGCCUGCUCGGAAAAAAGAAAGGAUUUAGAAAAGAGUAAAAGGAAGAAGCCCCCACAAUUAAGAAGGGCAAAGAACAAAAGACAAAUGAAGUAAAAUUUUGUGUUCUGCUAGAUAAAGAAGCCCAAGUUCACUACUGGACCUGCAAUUUCUCGAGAGCGUCUUCGAUGUUACCCCUGCAAAAGAUUAACCAAUCGAUUGAAUUCACAACCAAUUGAAAAUACGGCAUACUACAGCAAAAGAUGGUAGUUUACUUUUGGGUUCUUGUCUUUGUAGAAGAAAUUACAAGCUCCCCAUCCUUGUUGAUACGAUUCUUUUCCUGUGAAAAAGACCCCCAGCUAUCAGGUUGGAAUGAUUUAAGGACCAAAUGAACGGGAUGAUAAUAUUCAGAAGGUUUUGAGAGUAACCAUUUGAAGUAUUCUCUCCCUAAUUCUCUCACCCAACCAAUUUGCCUGCUUGACAUUGAAGCGCAUGUCCACCUUGGUAUUCACUGCAAGAAUAAAGAUUAUGCUACAAAUUUAGAAAGCCAAAAAAUGAAAAUUAAUACCGAAAAGCAGCAAAUUGCAGGAGAUUAAAUAAUUGCAACAACAAAACGCAUGUAAAAUGUUAAAUAAUAGGCACAAACACCACGUAUAAGUAGAAGCCAAUCUGAUACAGAGACAAUAUAUAAACCAAGUUAGGCCCUAACAUGAACCAAGGGAUGAAUAUUCCUCAAGAGCAAGGGUAUUCAACAGAGCACAAAAAACAAUAAAAUCUAUUAUAGGAAGUUGUGUGUCCAGAUGUCUACCAUGUAACAUGAUUAGCAGUUAUUGCCUCGCAAAGAGGCAGAAAAUUCUACAUAACACAAGAAAUAUGGUGGAAAAAACAAAUAAAUUGUUAUAGCCUUAGAAUGAGAACGGGUAGGGAAGGACUAAAAUGCACCAUCACAUCCUAAGCAAUAAAAGAUAGAUUUCUAGAGACAUUUGAAAUAACGAUGAAAAAGCACCUAGAAAAUUGAUAAAGAUAGCAAAACCAAAGCAAAUAAGAGUACAAUUAAUAGGUUGCUAGCCUGAGUUGAGAUUAAAAUCCACCCAAAAAGAAAAAAGAAACCGAAACAUUUCAUGAGUUGCACUUCUUAGAGUAUAAAACUUUAUUUGGUACUUUAACAAUUAUAUUUUAGAGACCAUAAUAAGAAAAUAAAUGAUAACAAUAAUAAACUCAUCACACCUUUGUUGACAUUCUGACCACCAGGCCCACCACUUCUUGCAAAGCUAACAGUGACAUGAUCUGCAGAAUAAAGGAAUUUCAAAUUAGACAAGAGAAAACUGAAAAAUGUUUAAUUUAGACAACAUAAUAUGCCCAGUAAUCUUGAACAAAAGAAAAACACUAACAUCAAAAUGUGUCAAAUAACACCUGCAUCAAUAUUGCUCAAUCUUCCUGUCAAUAUCAACAUGUAUAAUGUAUAAAGUAAAAAUAUGCCAAAUGUAAAGUCAAAGCAUGCCAACAAUUGAUGCCACCACAGUUAUCAGAGGCUACAAAGCAGGGUUUGAGUUUUGCCGAAAACAGUCCGAUGUCCAAAAUAAUGAUAUGCAGUUAUUUAUAGUACUCACUGAAAAUUAACAAUUGUUCUGUAAAACAUGCUAACAAUUAAAUGUUACAAGUUACAACUUGUAUCAGCUUAUUUGCAAGCUGAAAGGUUAAAAUUCAACAUAGAUUAAAUCCUUCUAAACAGAGACACUCCGCAGCUCUUCCUCCUUUCUCUUAGCAGGUAUUUCAAACAUUAAAUAAAUUCCCCCAUUUUUAAAAAAAAAAUCAAAUGAUAUUUUUGCAUUCCCAUGCAACACCCAUUAGAAGUAAAUCAAUCACUCAAUUAUUAUCCAAAAUUUCAUCAUACAUUGAUCUCUUGUACCUAAAAAGCUAUCACAUCUUAUUUCAUCAAUACAAAGUUUCUUUCCUAAUCAAGGACUCUAAAAAUUUAGCAACAAUCAAAUUAUUUUAAUAUUCUUCAUGAAAAGCUAAAAUGAGCCAAUUUACAAAGCUUCUAAACCCCACUUUAGAAGAAAUCAUGGAUAUGCCUUACUGUGUAAAAAGGAUCCUAUUAGGGCUGGAUUCAUUUACACAAGACUACUAUACAAUUUCGUAACUGAUUUUUUAUCAGCCUCAUUUGGAGUCUACAAAAUAUAAGAAAAAUAGAGGCAAAUAUCCGUCUGAAAAUCCUAAGGCAGAAUAGGACGUUAACUGAAACUAAAUUGACCCCAAUUGACUCAAUCUCGACCAUUUAUGGACUCAAUUUACAAGACUUAACUACAACUUGGCUCCAUUCAUGGCUAUGAAGACCCUCAGCAAGAAUAACACUCCUGUCCAAACUGAAAUCUAAUUACACUUACUCAGAUUUAGACCCAAAGACUGGCUAAUAUUUGACCUACACCAAUUGAUUUCGAACCGGCUCAAACUUGACAAUCCAUAGGCUCGAUUAGCUAGACUAAAACUGAUCUAAUUUAGUCACACCAAUGAAAAUCCUUUAAGAAGAAUAUAAGAUCUGCCCGAACUGAGACCUACCCACAGUUAUUCAGAUUUUAGAUCCAAAUACAGGCAACGCUGACCAGCCUUGAUCAAUUCGAACUGAUUCAAUCUUGACAAUUUAGCCACUUGAUAACCCAGUUCACGCCUAAACUAAAUCAAGCGUAGCUUAUCCGCCAGAAAAAUAUAUUUCCUACAGAAAAGAUACUAAGAUAGCAACUAUAUAUAUCAAAUUGAACAAAUAUCAGAUGCAAUUUUCAAUGCAACAUUACUAUAUGCUCAAAAUGGAGAAUAUUUUUGGCAAUACUUCUACUAUUUCAUAAUAGCUCCCUAGAUUGGAAGGCGAAACAAUCCAAUCUUGCUCACAUCUAACAAUUUCGCUGAGAUUUACAAAAAGACCAAAAUUGAUUAACCAAUACAAAUUAAAAAGGGCCCUAAAUUGCAAAAAUUUCUUCCCUUUCAUUUCCAUUAGCAACCAUAUAUUCGAUUAUCCAAACACAACGCUAUGUCCUUUCACUGAUAACAUAUAUUAGCAUACUAAUCGACAAGAUAACCCUAAACAAAUAUGGCGAACGAUUUAUCCAUCAUUUCUCAGUCCAUUUUCGUUAUUCUUUAGAUCGACACGAUCGAGAAUAGGAAUUUACCCAGCGUGAUCUUGGGGCUGGGCUCGGAUCCCGCGGAGACGGCCCGGUCCUCGGCUUCUCGGAGGAUCUGCUGCAUCAUCGAGAGCCGUGCCGACACCUUCUUCCCCCCAUCCGCCUCCGCCGCCGACUCCGACGCCGCGCAUCGGACGUGCCUAAUCCCGAAGUGGAUGCGGCUCGGAAAGAGGAGGAUACUGCUUCGGAGAAUCGCCAUUGUUGCGAAAAGAGAGAGAGAGAGAGAGAGAGAGAGAGAGAGAGAGAGAGAGAGAGGGGUUAGGGUUAAGGUUAGGGUUAGGGGAUUUGAUUUGCCGUGAGAGAGGUGUUCGUGGGUGUUUUGUGGACGUCGCGGAGAGUGGAGGUGAGGGAGGGAACGAACGAAAGAGAAAGCUCGAAGCGGAUAUACUCAGUAGUGGUUCGUGGGUCUAAAUAUCUAGAUCCGACCCGUCAUAGAUCCGAGGUUUUUUUUCUUUUUCUUUUUUAUUUUUCUUUUUUGACUUAUAUUAUUAUUUUAUUAUAAACAUAAUUUCUCAAUUGUACCAUAAAUACUAAAUAAAUAAAGAAAUAAAAGGAACUGUCCCCAACGUUAAUAAACUGCAUAAUCUAAUCCCCCUUAACAUAGUUACUGUAACAUUAGAAAAAUAAAAAAUAUAUAUUUUUUAUUUUGAGGGUUAUGUGCAAUAUAUAUAUAUAUAUAUAUAUAUAUAUAUAUAUAUAUAUAUAUAUAUAUUGCAAAACUGAAUUUAAAAUUGGAUAAAAUUAAUAACUCUAUAAACUAUUAAUCAUGAAUAGUUAAGAUAAUUAAUAGUGUCAUCGGCUAAAAUGCCAUGUUUCUUGCAGUGAAAUCUAUUAAAUUUAUUGUCAAAUUUGAAAAAUUCAAUCCCCAAUUUGAUUCACACAUAAGCAACUAAAAUAAUUUUGUUUUGAAUAUUUAUUCACAAUGGCCCAUAAUUAAAUAGGUCACUAUAUAUACAUGGAUCGAUCGAUUUUACUUCCCACAACUCUUAUUAAGCACUAGUUUGAUAAUGUAGUCUUUAAAAAUAUCUUUUUUAUACUUCCAAGGACAUAAAAUUUCAAAAUGUUUCCAAUAUUUUAUUUUUUUAUGCUAUAAAAUUAUAGUGUCAACCACUACUAGAGAAACAUGUGCUUGUGUAGCUAAAUAAUGGGAUUAUUUCUUAGUAUUAGUACCAUUAAAAUAAGUAGUUAACUAUAUAUAUUCUUCUAAAAAUUACUGAAGAAGACAUGUAUUUCCAAACUCCACAUAUAGAAAUAUAAAUUUUGUACUAUCGUAAGUUCUUUCACAUUAAGGGGCUGUUUGGUUGCACGCAUUUGCAACUGCAGUGCAGUUGCAAAUACGUGCAACCUCAAUUCCUUUGUUUGGUUUAGUGUAGUUGAGUUCAACUGCUGUAGUUCCAACUACACAAGAAGGUCCAAAUGCUGCAGUUGAAACUACAUCCAAAUUGGUCGUAGUUCCAACUGCAGCAGUUGGUGAGGGAUAGGAUCACCCACAAAUUAACAAUAAUAAAUAAAUAAAUAAAUAGCUAAAUAAAUAAAUAAUAUAUGUAUAUAGGUAAAUAAAAAUACUUGUAAAUAAACUCAUACUAAUAAAAUUUUUUAGACAAUACAAGCUUUGUGCAAAAAAUUAAAUUUUUUAAAUUUAUUUUAUUUAAAAUAUAAAUAUUGUUUUUUUAAAAAAUUUUUAUAGAAUGUGAUCAUGUAUGUUAAUUUAAUAAGUUUUAAUUAAUUAUAAUUAUUAAAUUUGAUAAAAAAAAUGAGAGAAUCGUUUAAAUUUUAAAGUUUGAUUUACAUAUUAAAAUUAAAUAAAUUAAAAAUUUUAAAUGUGUCGAUUAAUAAGUUGAAGAAUAUUAUAUAUAUCUACUUAUUUAUUUAUAAAUAGUAAAUUUAAAUGAUUAAUAAACUUAUACAAUUAUUUUAUGUUUAGUGAAGGUAAUCUCACCACUCUAUCUGAAAAGGUGACAAAAUUCACAAAUACAACUAUCAGCUUCAUAUUACCAAACAGAAGAAAUGUAACUGCAGCAGUUGCAACUGCGUAAAACCAAACAGACUAGGUGUAGUUACAACUGCAGCAUUUGCAACUGAAUGUAUUUCCAACUACACUGUUUCUGCAACUACAUCCAACCAAACAGCCCCUAAAUGCAUGCAUAAUCUAAUACGUGAAAUUAAGAUUCAAAACCACAUUUUAUGAGAAAAUUAAAUCACCUCCCCCAGUUCCAACGAUUUGCCAAUGAUUUUCUUUUGCUUACUAUAUAAGGAGUAAUAACAUAAAAUACUUAUAAUAAUCUUACAUUAAUAAGUAUAGCUUCAGAAUAAGAAGCAUGUCCCAAUUAAAACGAUAGAGAAUCGAAUAGCUAUACUUAUAAUAUUAUUGAAAAUAAGAUUAUAAAGAGAAAUAUUACAAAGAUUACAAGUUACUUCUCUGGUCAGAAACAAACAUAUUAAUUCCUCGUGUCCCAAAAUAACUCAUCACGAAAUUAGAGCGAAAUAACAAAAAUUGCGAUCCGAUUAGUUAAAAAAAUUAUUUAAAGUGAACUUUAUAGAACUUUAAAUCUCGAUUUGCUACAUAGUGCGUCUUUCAUCUGAGCUGAAGCUAGUGUAGAAAAAACAGUGCCCGCCUGAGUAAUGCUGCGGCGGUGCCCUCCAAGAACCGGAGGACGGUGCUGCACUCCAACAAGCGCGCGUCAACCCCGCUGCUCACUAGUGGCUUGAAGAAGAGCCCCAAAGCGGUGGCGAUGACGAACCCCACGGUGAUCGGCGUCGCCAACAAUGGCGGCAGCGGCGCCCACCCCCUCAGGCGCCACCACCUCGACCUCUUCACUGCUCCCUCUGCCACCGUGACCAUCCCAUGCAACACGAAAAACGCCGCGGGCUCCCCCGUGGGGGGCCGCAGCGUGGCGUAGCAGAACAUGGCCUCGUGCAUGACCCCGGAGACAAGGAAUGCGGCGAGCGCAGCAGUGGUGGGGCCGAGGCUGCGGCGUACGGGGUCAUAAACGGCGGGACGGAGCACGGCGGAGACCGUGAGGUUCCACCGCCGGCCCCAGAAGUCGCCGAGGGAGGUGGCCAAGUAGGGUUUAUUGAACUGGGGCUCGAGGUCCACGCGCAAUGCUCUGCCAACUACGACGGCAGAGAAGGCGAAGACGAGAUCGAUAGCUAAGUAGAAAUGGGCGCAGUAGAGUGAGAGGAGGAGGUAGGAGUGCAUUUGGGGCUUGAAGCGGUAGAGGGGGAUGAGGAGGGCGAGGAGGAGGGCUUUAAUGGCGGAGGAGAGAAGGGUGAGGGAAUUGUGGGGUGGUUUAGGGUUACGGUUGCGGAGAUUGAUGGGGAGAGAGGAGAGGAGGAGGAAGGGGAGGAGGGGGAGGGAGGGGUGGAGGGGGCCGACGCCGAAGGAGAGGAGGAGGAGCUUGAAGAGGGAGAGCCAUGAGAGGAAGAAGGCGGAGAUGCCGCGGAGGAGGAUGGAGGAGAAGGAGAAGGGGAGGAGGGGGAGGAGGGAGAUAACAGGGAGGAGCGCCGCGAGACGGGGGAUGCCCGCGGGGAUGCGGGACGCGGCGAAGCGGGCGUAGGACAUUGCCAUGGCCACGGUGACGGAGACCGUCGCGAGGGUCCGGAGCUCCGAGUAGUGAUCCAUGGAGUAGCCGAGAGAGAGAGAGAGAGAGAGAGAGAGAGAGAGAGAGAGAGGUGCAAGUGGCCAUGACCAUGAGAGGAAGAAGGGUUAUGCAUGGUUCACGUGGAAUGUACGUAAAAGUCAUGCAAAGAACGUUGGCAAUGAGAAAGUCAUUUUUGGUCGCAUAACAAUUAACAGAUUAAAAACUUUCACAUUACACAUAAAUAUGACAAAAUUUCAUAUUACUUCUGAUAAAUUUUUUUUGUCAUUUUACAUAUAUAGCAUAAGAUGAUUGAUUUAUAAUUAUAUAUUUUUUGACAUAUUUACUAUUAAUAAGAACUUUUUUUUUUGGCCACAAUGCUUUUGUGAGAAGAGAAAUUUUACCGGAACUGGUUAGAUGAGAUCGACAAAUAUAUAAUCUAUCAAAUUAUGAAUUUAACAAUGUAAAACAAUGGUCCUUAUAAAAGUUUUGUUAUUUAAAUUUUGUAUACUAUAAUGCAACAAAACAAUAGUUGAAAGUUCAGGAAUUAUCCCAAUGUGAGAUCACACAAUUCGCCGUCUAUCACGUGAAUGGAUGAACUAAAUAUUUUACUCCAUGUUCUUUCGAUUUUGUAGUAGAGAAUAAACAUGAUAUAUUUGAAAACAAUAAAAUUCGGAGCGUAAAGCAAUUAAAUAUUUAAAUUAAACAAAUGAUUCAGCACUAGAACAGGAACAAAUUAAAAUAACAAAAACAAACAUUAGGCCAAAAGUUUAAAUCAAAUUUGAUUCCAAUAAAUUAAAAUCACUGGAAUCAAUUUUUUUAAUUUCAAUUAAAACCAAACCCCAGAUUUAUAUUAACUGAGGUAAGGAUCAAUUGACCCAAGGCUUCUUCUUUCUCAACCUUACAAGAAUAAAUAUAUAAAAAUGCAUUCAAACUCUCUCAACAAUAGGCAAAUUCGGAAAUAAGCCCCUAAAGUAUAUCUGUAAAUUUUUUAUUGAGAUCCCUUAAUAUUUCACUUUUAAGAAUUGAAUAAUUAUAGGCAAAUAAAUUAAAAUUUUAAUUACUAAAUUGAUUGAUAAAUCUAGCAAAUAACUUAAUAUUUUAUACUACUUUAUAGCAAAUAAAAUCAAAUAGAAUAACUGCUAAUAGCUAUUAUUAGCUAUAAAACACAACUUAAUUAACUUAAUUUUUUUUUUAAAAAAAUUAUAGAGGUAUCAAUUAAAAAAAAAAGUUGGAGGUGUCUAAUUCAGAAGCACUUUUACCAAAUAAAUAUGAACGAACGAGUAUUACCACAAGCAAUUAAUCAAAGCUCCUCAUUUUUCCGAGGUGGGGCCCCCGGUCAACUCCCGGUUCGGUUAAUUCGGUUAACUUGAACCGGACCGGGUCGAGAGGGAGAGGUCAGAGGAGGCUUCGACCGGUCUCCUCCACGAAGGCGACCAUGGCCAUGCACUCCUCGAGCAUCCUCUCGUCCGUGCCCCCGCGAAACAACGGGGGCACGAAGAGCCACAGCCCCGUCCCCACCACGAACCCCACCGUUACCGGCGCCGCCACCCACCUCGGCGGCGCCGGCGCCGCGCUCCGCCGCCGCGCCCACCACCCCUCCGCCGCGGUGCAGAGGCCGUGGAGCGCGAAGAACGCGGUGACCUCCCCCGUGGGGGGCGCCGCGAGGGUGAUGUAGUAGAACAUGGCCUCGUGCAUGAGCCCGGAGACGAGGAACGCGGCGACGACCCCCGCGGCGCGGCCCAGGCGCGCGCGCACCGGGUGGUACACGGCAGGGCGGAGUGCGGCGGAGACCAUGAGGUUCCAGCGCCGUCCCCAGAAGUCGCCGAGGGAGGUGGCCAAGUAGGGCUUGUUCGCCUGCGGCUCGAGCUCCACGCCGAGCGCCCCGCGCGCGGCCGCGGCGGAGAGGGCGAGGAGGAGCUCCAGGGACACGUAGAUGUGGAAACAGAGGAUGCCCAGAAGAAGGUAGGGGCUCAUUCGGUCUCUGAAGCGGUAGAGGGACGCGAGGAAGGCGUAGAGGAGGAGCUUCGCGGCGACGGAGAGGAGGAAGAGAACGGUGGAGGAGGAGGAUGUGUGUUGUUGUUUUGUGUUGGUAAAGGAACGGAGCUUGACGGGGAGGGAGGAGGUGAGGAGGAAGGGGAGGAGGGGGAGGGAGGGGUGGAGGGGGCCGAGGCCGAAGGAGAGGAGGAGGAGCUUGAAGAGGGAGAGCCAUGCGAGGAGGAACCCGGCGGUGCCGCGGAGGGUGAUGGAGGAGAAGGAGAAGGGGAGGAGGGGGAGGAGGGAGAUGACGGGGAGGAGCGCAGCGAGGCGGAGGGCGCCGGGGGUGACGCGCGACGAAGCAAAGCGCGCGUAGGACAUUGCGAUGGAGACGACGACGGUGACCCUCGCGAGGCUCCACAGCUCCGACGGUAUCGCCAUUGUCGUCACCAUUUUAUUCUUUUUUCUUUUUUAUGAGUUCUUAUUUUUUCUCCUCCAAUACUAUGAAAUAGUUUUCCAGUGCGUUGACUUUUUACGCUAUUGAACCAAGGGGUACAUUGACUUUAGAGAGCUCAACAGAUUUGGAUCUUACAAUUUAUCCUUAAACGAGAGAAAGUAGUUGGGUGGACCUUGUCCACCACGUCAGCAAAGAAUGAAUCCAUAUUCUUACUCGUAAAAAUAAAAAUAAAAAAUGAAACACUAUUUUAAGUCAAAGAGUUCGUAAAAGAAAAUGUUAAUCAGGUAUUUUUGUUUAUAAUAAAAAAAACAUAAUAUUCUUGGAGAGUAUUAAUUUAUAUAAAACAAAUUCGUUAUUUAGAAAACAUUUUUUUUUUUUAUAAUUUAGUGUACAUAGUUUGAUUGGUACCUUUGGUAUUCGAUCACGAGAUCGAAUAUUCAAUCUCUUUUAUGAUUAUUGUAUUAAUGGACUGAGAUGAAUGAGAUGUAUGAUCUUGUUAACAAAUAAAUAAAUAAGUAAAUAGUUAGUAUUUACAAGUUAUUAGGGCAAUGAGUUGACUAAUUAGCACUGUAUUAUACGUAAAACCUUUCUUUAUGUGUACGUGGAUCACAUGGCUUCCUCUACUAGUCUGAAGGUCGACAUAAAAACCCAUUUUAUUUUUAAUUUUAAUCCUCAUCUCUUACCAUUUUUUUACAAAUUUUUAUUAGAUUAUUUGCUCGACCUCACAUUUCUUAUUUGAUAGUUUCAAUUUAACCAUUUAAAUUAUUUUAAAUAACAAUUUUUUAGUUAAUAAAUAUAAUCUACUUAAUUUGUGCUAUAUAUGAUAGGCACUUAUAAAGGUCAUGAAGCCCCCCCNAUGAUUUUUUUUAGUACAAUUAACACAGCCACUGUUAAUUAGUUACAAUAAAAUAUUUAAUUUAAUAAAUAAAAUAGGUAAAAAUAUACAUUGGCCUCGUCAAAGUAUAGGCCAAUUCAAUUAAUAUCUUUGAUUUAAUACUAUUUUAUUUAUUAAAUUAAAUAUUUUAUUGUAACUAAUUAACAGUGGCUGUGUUAAUUGUACUAAAAAAAAUCAUGUUUCAUAAUAAAAAUAAAUAAAUAAAUAAAAAGGUUCUAUAAAAAGAGAGUAAACGCACUCACUUUGUGCCUGAUCAUGUAAUGUCACUCCCAGCUCAGAAUAGCAACAACUCAGCUGGGGAUUAAUUGUUUAUCAUUUGAUAAUUUAAAAAGCUAGAUCAUUUAAAGACUCAAAUAAGUUUUUGUUGGCUUAAAUGGGCUAGCAUCAUGUCCUGUGACGAAAUGUUAUGUUGGGCCGAGUCAUGUUCGAAAUGGUGUGAGAUUGAGUGGGCCAAGUCAUGUUCGAAGUGACGUAAGACUGAUUAGGCCGAGUCACAGUUGAAACCCGUGGGCGCUGUAUUUGUAUGUUUUUAGUGACUUGGUUGCGUAUUUCUAACCGUUCGAGUUUUUGAGAUUAAUGAUUAGCGCCAAUAAUCUGACAAUUUUAAGUAGUGUGCAGCUCUAUAUAUUAAAAACCCAAAAAAUACUAUUAAAACAUAGCUUUAGACAGGCCUAACACAAUUUUUACUACUUAAUAACCAAUUUAGUUCCCACGUAAAGAAUAAUCAACUAAACCAAAAGAUGUAGUCAUUAAAGCCAAAACAACAAUUGUAACUCAAGUUAAUUUGUGGGGAAUUUUGAAUCCACCUUUCAGAUACACAUGUAUAUAUAUAAUUCACUAGCAUAUCUAAAUAUGAGUAUUGCUAGAAUACUAUCGGUAGUAAACGGCUCGAUUUACUAUUGAUUUAUUUUCGAUGAUAGAGCUUUCAAAUUGACGAUCGGUGCUGUUAAGCAUGAUCUAAAGUAUUUAAAUUACCUGAAAAUUAAUUUUUAUAUAUUUUCGAUAUUGUUCUUUUGUUCAUCAAGUGAACAGAAAAAUGAAUGAUUGAAAAUGGAUAUCCUUAAAAAAGUGAUGAUACAAUUUAUGUAUUUAAGAUCUAGAGUCUAGAUCUUAUUUUAAAUAGUUUAGAAAAUUUACUAACAAAAAUUUAGUCGAUUUGGACUUUUCUAUACUGAACGAGCGAACCAUAUCGGCCAUUAAAAUUACUGAUUUUGUGAUCCUUUGAUUGUUCAGUUAGUGAUGUCAAAAAAUUGAUUUCUAGAUAAUUUAGAUAGUCUAGAUCAUAUUAACAGUACUGAUUGUUCAUUUGGAAGCUCUAUCAUAAAAAAUAAGUCGAUAGUAAACCGAAUCGUUUGCUACCAAUAAUAGCUCAGCUCUCAAAAUAUAUACAAAAUGCAACGUAUAUGCAUCAUCUACCACCCACACAAAGGUAUCUUUAUGAGAUAGGGCCUUUCUGAUUGGCAUUCUUGUCGUGCUUUUAUUUUCUUAAGCAUAAAUUCUAUGUGAUUGAUCGAAUGUGUCGGUUGAGUGAAUUCAUGUUUUCGUUAGUUAGCUUGCGAUGUCUCUUAAUGCAAGUACAAUAACAAUAUCUCCUUUUGAGAAGCAAAAAUUUCACCACUCUAUAUAUAUCCAUGCUUUUUCUUGUUAAAUAAACUCCGUAGAGAUAUAGAUUGCGAGCAAACCGCUAACCACCACCACCGUGCACUCGAUCACAUAGAAUUUGUGUUUAAGAAAAUAAAAACAAGGAAAGCUCCAAAAACGAGGCCAAGCUAAACUAGCUAGUUUAGGCACUGUUACGUUCAUCGAUCCAUAGCCCCUUUAAUUAGCUCCUUAUAUAACAAGUUACAUGUAUUAGAUACCAAACCUGCAUAUAUGAAAAACAAAUAAUUAAUUACUAAUUGACACUAUUAUGCAACAAAUAUAUACGAGUCGAACUAGAAUAUUUUUAAAAGAUUCACUCUUGGAUCUAUUGGGCUAUUCCACUUACAAAAAAUGAAAGCACAUGAAUAAUAACAAUUUUAAAUGUACUACAAUACAAUUCUAUACUAUAUAUAUAUAGAACUAGACUGGAAUACUAUCAACAGCACUAAGCUAAUGGUGCUAUUAGAUUUUCGGCCAUUGGAUGAAAAAAUAUACGGUUAGUAAGAACGAUAUGAAUCCCUUAGGACUAAGUGAGUUACUGAUUUAAUAGUAUAAUUUAACGAAUGAAAAUAGUCAAAGGGUUAAAUCUAACAGCAAAAAACUUGAUAGAAUCAAACACUUGGUGCUAUUAUAGUAUUCCAGUCGGACUCUCUCUCUAUAUAUAUAAACCAUCUACUAUUCUAUCAACAAUAAUUAGAAUGGCGCCCUUUGUCCUACGAAAUUAUGUUGAAUGAUCAGAGAUCCAAACUAUGCACUACCUGAAGAAUCAAAUUUAAUUAGUAUGUUUUAUGUUCAAAAUUAAGACUUUAAAAUCGAUGGCAUUUUACUCUGUAAGAAUUUUCAAUUUGUUUGUUUUACAGUGUAAGUAGGACGAUCCAAAUUGAUUGAAUCUAGCAAAAUUAAAAAUCACAUUCGAACAAUCCAUCACGACGUUGAAAUAAAAAAUGCUAGCUAACCUUUAUUUUCGCCUAUUUAUUUGUGAUGGUAUAUUACGUAAUAAUUUUUUAAAAUUAUAAAAUAUAAUUUUGGGACAUUUGAAAUGAAUAAUGUUUCAUCAUUAUUGCUCAUUGGUUUUAACCAUUCGUAAUCGAAAAACGAUUUGAUAGGACGAAAGACGUUGAGAUAAUAUUGCGGUAGUGUACAGUUAAAUAAAUGAUUUACCGUGUUCAUCGUAUGUAGUCAUGCAUCUAAGUGGCUCCGCGGUCGGCGAGGGUGGCGGAGGAUUUGAGAAUCAGCUCCUCCGAGAAGCGGCGGCGGAGUUCGGAUUCUUGUCGCUGGAGCUUGAGGUGGUCGUAGUGCUUCUUGAUGAAGCUCUCCACCCCCACCGCCGCCUCGUCGAAAUUCCUACCAUCCCUCCUCCCUUCCCUACACGUCGCCGACUUCCGCAGCACUGCCGCCCCCGCCUCCACCCCCCUUUCCAGCCGCCGCUCCCACGUCUCGCUCUUCGUCAGCACCGGCCUCCUCGCCUGCUCCACCGCACUCUUCUGCACUAUCGCGCCCCACGUAUCGUCAAAGGACGCGUCAUCGACUGCAUCAUUCUCGGUCUCUGCGUACUCUGCCUGCAGCACCAUAGGGUAAAAUUAGCUAGCAUACUAUCUGCUUCAUUCAUUAAGUAAAUAAACAAGACAACAAAACUAAGACAAAUGCCUCAUCGAAAAAAGGAAAAGUUGAUAUAGUGAUUUUAACAGUUCAGAUUUUUAGAGACAUACGAUUAUUUCAUGAAAUGAACAUAUGUAGGUACGUACCCUUCUUGUCGAUUCUACGUGAUCCUCUUUUCUUGUCGAUUCUACGUGAUCUGAAGAGGAGUAAACUCUCAUCUUGAACUCGAACUCGGGGACGGACGGGACAUCGUGCCAGGCACCGUCGAUGUCGGGAGGAGGGAGCAGUGCUGGCGGUGGUAUCGGCGGCUCGUGGUCGAGACGGUGGUUGCUGGCGGCGGCGGUGGCGCCGGAGAGCCUCCAGACGGCGAAAAUGAUGAGGUUGGCGGCGAGCCAGCGGGCGCGAGGGGACGACCGGAGGACGAAAAGGAGGGAGUAAGAAAGGAGGAGAGCGGCGGCGGAGGAAACCACGAGCAGGCCAGCGAUCUUCGCGGCCCAGAUUGUGGUGCCGAGGCGGCUGCCUGCAGUGUUCUUGGGCCGAGAUAGAGUGCAGAAAGAUGUCAUGGCCUCCAUGCAAGUUAUGUGAGGUGAAAAUGGUCUCAAAUGGUAAUAGUGGGGAGAGAGAGCGAGUAAUACGUGUGUGUAUAUAUAUAUAUAUAUAUAUAUAUAGAGAGAGAGAGAGAGAGAGAGAGAGAGAGAGAGAGAGGGUUGUGGAGUAUAAGGUUGUUCGGUGGAUUUGGAAGGGGAAUUAAUAGGGGAGGAGGGGGUGAGUGAAUUGAAUUUGAUACCGUUGCCGCAUCCGUGGACUCCCCAAACACAUUGGCUUUUUAUAUUUUAAAAAAGAGAUAAUUAUCUAUAUACCCCUAAAAAUUUUAGAAAUAUCUUUUUAUUCCUUUUUUUUUUCUUUUUAAUAUACCCCUCAUAUGUUUUUUCAUUAUUUCAAAAUACCCCUACAGUUAUCAUCCGUUAAGUUAACUUGGAUUAAACAUGAGUUAAAUAUCUAUCACAGUUAAAAAAAAUUAAAAUACUAAUUUUGCUCUUAACUUAAGGACAAAUAAGAAAUGUUGGUAACGGUAAAAGAAUAUAUUUGAAAAGACCAAAAGUCAAAAUACUUUUUAUGUCCCAGACUUAAGAACAAAUGAGAGAAGUCAGUGAUGGUGGAAGGAUAUAUUUGAAAGUCUGAAACUUUUCAGGGUAUAUAAGCAAUUGCCCUUUUAAAAAAUUAAAAUAUUUUUAAUUUUUUUAAUAUUAUAAAAUAAAUGAUAAUAAUUCUAAUUAGGCAUAAAUGACUUGAUAAUUGGUGUCUGAGAUUUCGUAUUCUCAAAUCCGGCUCUUCUUAUAUAGUGAACUUUACUGCUCGUAUAUAUAUGAACAUGAUAGAGAAUUUUUUCUUAAAAAGAAUUAUUUAAGAUUUAUUCUCUUUUUCUAUUAUUUUUUUAAUUUUAUUUGAUCUUUUUGUCGUCAGGUGUUCAAAAAAGCUCUGUCAAUCUUCAUCACGAUCAUACUUAUAGGAGAGAAUUUCGGUCGUAGUUUGGAAUGGUAUUUUCGGUUAAUCCUACAGGAAGAACGGGAAUAUAUCUUAGUAUAGUGCUAUGCACGCUUCCGGAUUGAGUGGGUGUUCACUUCCUUUUCUUCAACAAUUUUAGGAUUUUUCUUCGAGUUGUUUCAUAUUUCUAGCAAAAUAGCUUGCUAUCGUUUUUCGAAAAAAAAGAAAAAUACCCUAGAAUCUUUAACGCCGAUUUUUAUUAUUUUUUUACGCUGUUAGACGAGAAAAAAUAUAAAAUAUUUUAAAUUUUUUAGAUUCUUCGAAACAUGAAAGUGAAUGUGCUCGUACAACUUAAUUUCAAAUUAGUCCUCAUAUAUAGAGAGUUCUGAUACAUUAUUAUUAUUCUUUAUUAAAUUGAAGAUGCCUGUAGAUCAAACACAUAUACAUAUAUGUUUUAUUGUGUGAAAAACAAAACAUUAGUUAUAUAUUGUUCUUCAAGUCAAAUUAAACUAAUAAGCAUCUUCACUAAACCACUAUCCACAUAAAGGAGUGUGUUAACUAACAUGUACAAGAACCAAAAUGAUACAUAUAUAUAGUUUUGUCCCAACUUGAUAGUAAAGCAAUCAAGUGAUGUGUAUCCCAUUAUUGAUGGUCCAUCACAUGAUCCCAACCAUGAUUAAUUUAUUUACAUGAUCACCCCUUGAACAUUAAAUCUAAAUAUUUAGAAGGCCUCUUUCAUACACAAAACUACAAGAAAAAGUACCUCUACAUGAAGAAGAUCAUAUUAAGGAAACAUAUAUAAUAAAAGUAUUAUUAUUUUCUCUAAUUUCUGUCCCCUAGUACAUGCAUGUACCAACCUUUAUUUAUAUACAAUCAUUCCAAAUUGCCCAAACCACAAACUUUGUCCUACUUACUCUAAUAACUUAUCCAAUUUCUUUUCUUUUUUUCUUUUUUUAUCAUCCCUGUUUAAUAUAGUUGGUUGAUAUUUCGAAUGCUGAUCAUCAGAAAUUUAAUCCUUCACUAAUAUAUUUAUUAAUAGAGUGAUCGAGUUUGCAACUUACGCUUACUCUGAAAAGGUAAUUUGGAUGAGGCUUUAGGACUAGUUCAAAAAACAGGGGAAAAGAAAAAGGAGAAAAUUUUCUCCUUGUGAAUUUAAAACAACCGUUGUACUCUAAAAGCUUAAGCUGUUAGAGAACGGUAUUUUAAACAUUUUUAUAUUUAACACUUUCCCUCCUUACAUCUGGGCUCGAGACUUUUUUUGUCGGCCCAUGACGUGAGCUUGAAUUAAAUGGGAGGAAAUUAAUAUGCUAGGAGCCUGGCAUGACUCGAACUCAGAACCUGCUGCUCUGAUAUCAUGUAAAACAACCAUUGUACUCUAAAAGCUUAAGCUGUUAGAGAACGGUGUUUUAAACAUUUUUAUAUUUAACAGUGAACCCUAAAAUCCAAAAAUUUCCUCAUCUCAUUUGGAGCCCAUCUCAUAUUGAAUAUGUAAAGCACUAAAAAGAUUCUCUUCCUCCUCCCACUUUUACCUAUUUUAUAUAGGUAAAAAAUAUAAUGGGACACCCCAACUAUGUAUAUACCAUUUUUUUAAAAAUAGAACUUUCAACUAAUUUAUUUAUUUAUUUUUUAAAAAAAUUGAUUCUAUCCACUUUUCAAAUUUGAGUUGUCAAUUUGCUAAAACUAAUGGCUCAGUUAGCUAUCAUCGGUUAAAGAGUUUAUAACAAUCAAAUUUAAUAGCAUCACAAUUAAAUGUAAUAACACUUUCAAUUUUAUUCAUAUAUAUAUAAAAAGAAGAUAAAAGUCUAAGAAAUAUUAACAUGGAAAGGUUGAGGUACCAGUUUCAGAAGAGCACCAGAUAUGAAAAAUUAGGUAGUUUUCUCCAUGGCUAUCUAAAGCAAAUUCUGAUUUAUAAAAAAAAUUAAAUCAUUUUUUUUAAGAUAUGUUUAAAAAUUAACAUAUAACAGUGCAUCACAGAGGCCUUUUAAUGAGUGUACAGCCACAUAGCAGCAACACUACAUCAUCUUUAUCACAAGUCAAUCAAAACUCUCCUUUCAAAAAAAAAAAAAAAGUAUAACAAAAAUAUAUAUAAUUUUUUAAAUUAUGAUGGGAUAAGUGAACUUUACUCCCCAGACGAACAAUUUAAUUGAUUAAGAACAUAGAUGUGGUGAUAUAACCGUCACAUUUUAGACAUUUUUAUCGCCGGUGCGGCGAGCGGCUGACAAUUUUGGAGGUUGCAAGGAACCACUACAAAUAACAAAAGUUUUUGUAGGGACGAGUCAUCAUUUCUUUUCCAAAAAAAAUAUUAAGAAAAAUACUUUGCGCACUUAAAAAAGUUUAAUAAUAUUUUAUUUACACUAAUCCGGUAGAUUUUUAUCAAUCACACAAUAAUUUUCGUAACUUACACUAACUAAGAAUAUGAAAUUAGGCUUAAAUACUUCUAAUUAGGGGUGGCAUUCCAGCUCGCUGUUCGUGAGCCAGCUCGUGUUCGGCUCGAAAUGAGCUCGAGAUCGGCUCGCUCGUUUAGUAAACGAGUCGAACACGAGCUGAAUUUUUCAGCUCGUUUAAUAAACGAGCUGAACACGAGCUGGGGUCAGUCGCUCGGUGUUCGGCUCGAUAACAGCUCGAAUACAUAUAUUUUAUAUUUAUAUAAUUUAUUUAAUUAUAUUUUUUAUAAUAAAUAAUAAUUAUAUAUAAUAUAUAUUUUUAUUAUUUAAUUUUUAGCAAAAUAAAAAUAUAAAUGCGAGUUUAAUUAUAAAAAAACUCAUUUAUAUGUAAAGUUUCAACUAUUAGAUCAAAGUCUAAUGGAUAAGAUUUUAUAAAUUUAUUUUUAUAUAUAUUUAAUCUAAUCUUUUUUAAUUUAUUGUUCGUUAGCCAGCUCGUGAACCAGCUCGUGUUCGGCUCGUUAAUAAACGAGCGAACACGAGCUGCAUUUUUCGGCUCGAUACUUUAACGAGCCAGCUCGUAUUCGGCUCGUUUAAUAAACGAGCCGAACACGAGCCGACUCCAGCUGCUCGUGGUUCGGCUCGUUUACACCCUACUUCUAAUAACACAAGUCAUUGAUACUAUUAGAUUUUUUGUUCUUAAAUAAAGAAAUAAAGUAAUCCCUUAAGAUUGAGUAGAAUUAGUUAAAUAGUAUAAUUUAAUGGAUGAAAAUGACCAAAGAUAUAAACCUAACAGUAAAAAAAUUUAGGAGGUAUUAAAAGCAUCGUAGAUGGACUGACGAAUGUGCAGCACUUCGUUUGUCACUGAAUUUUAAGAAGUUUUGUUGUGGGUCCCAUGGAAGGUUCCGGAAAAAAUAAAGCUGUGAAAUCGUUUGAUAUGGCCGGUGCCUUUGGAUAGAAGAUUAAUUGGAGGAGGUGGGGAGAUGGGGAGAGUAUGGAGGACAUGGAAAGGUUGCACGCCAAGCACCAUUUUUUUUUGUUUUGUUUUUUUGGUUUUUUUUUGUUUUGGGGCCCCUCCAUUUCUAUCAUGAUGUAUAUGAAUCCUUUGUUGAUCCCCUCUCUUUCUACUAAAGGUCGCAAUAGUGGGACUUACAGUGCUUUUGUAUGUGUUUCUCUCUCAGCUUCUGUCCUCGUGCAGAGCACACUAAUAAAUACAGAAUCGUAUAACCCGAAUAAAAAUUCAUAAUAUAUCAUAUAGAUAUUUCAAGAGAAAUACGUACCAUGGCAUUAUAUGUAUAGAAGUGGCAAAGGACUUGGUGAUUGGUACCCGAGAUCCCAAUUUGCUAAUUUUAUUUCUAAAUAAAAUAAACGAAGCGCGGGUAGCGUGCUACCUCUCUCUCUCUCUCAAAAAAAAAAAAAAAAAAAACGAUUCUGAAUGAGCAUUCAAGCUUGAAUUUACAAGAGUGCGCCGCCGCAUGUAAGCCAAGUUCUUUUAAUAUUCUAGAAUAUACAGAGAGCAGAAUUGUUAAUGUGUUAGCAAAUUCACAUAUUGUUUUGAACUGUAGGAAUAAACCAACAACACUUGCAGCAAGUGUUUUCUUCUGUAGAGCCAAAUCAAAAGAUAAAACAACACAUAAUGCUAUAGGCAUAUACCUAUUAAGAGUAUAGAUCUUUUUGCCAUUUCUGUAUGAAAGGUAGGGCCAUUGUGGUCUAAGCAUAACCAUUAUUAUAUUGUGCAACAAAUAACUCAUCCAAUACUUUGGGUAUUCUCUUUCUACUUUAAUAAAUUAUAACAUACCUUCAUUUUGAUAUUCAAAAGGUUUUCUCUAAUGAAAUGAGAAACAAUGACAUUAUGAGACCAAACAUAAUUUGUUACACAAUAUUCUAAAGAGGUGGUUAGAUUGGUUAUUAGUGCAAGUACCAGCAAAAGAACCAUGGAAUAUAAUUUGAAAGCACAAACUUCUUUAAUGGAACUUGAUAAGAUAGAAUAUCAAUUAGUACAUAGUUUAGCUUCACUAAAGACGACGCUAAUGGACAAAGAGUCAAAGAGAACUGUACUGCUUCAAUGCCUUAAUACUACUUCACCAACAAAGUCCCAACAUCAUGAACUUCUAUGAGUGUCUAAUAUAAUUCAGGUUAUAAUCUGCUUUUCUAGUUGAUCAUUGUCCACAACUUGCAACCCCCAACAUCAUGAGCUUUUAUAGUGCUAAUAUAAUUCAGGUUAUAAUCUGCUUUUUCAGUGGAUCAAUGUCCAGAACUUGCAACUUUCGGAAUUACUUUGGCUUCUUCAACAACACAAAAAAAAAAAGGGUGAUGUUUAGCAAAGCAAAACUUUCUUAUUACGCGACCCUACUCCAUCCUAUACUGAAAUACUGUCUUAUAACCCAACAACACUCCAUUACGGUAGUAAAACUUUAUUAUGACUUUGACCAGUGACUAAAGAAGGAAUAGUUAAUUAUCAACUCUUAUUAAACAACAUUUCUAGCAGUGCCAAAUUGAGAUAAAUAAUGCUGUCAAAAUAUGUAGUUUCAAAAAGAGCAAGUAAAAUUUUCUAAGGUGGGACAUAAGAGUGCUAAUAAUGCCUAUAAAAAUAAAUCACUUGAAUCAAUCUCCACCCCACAACUGCAACCACUAUCAAUGAUAUUUAAAGAGAAUGAUAGAACUUAAAAAAAGCUCAUGUAGCUUAACGCUAUUCAGAUAAUAUCAAAACAAACAAGGAACUACAAGUCGAAUUUUUUUUCGAAGAAUAUUAAACACAAAAGUAGCAUCCAUCCAUUUGGUGAAAAUAGCUAAACAGGUGAGACCUAAGAGGAAGGUAUGCAACUAAUUCAAUAAUUAGUAGCAACUUUAUUGACUAAUGCUCACUCCACACUUAAAAAGAAUAUAAUGGACAUAAUUGGCAUUAGAACAUCUCCAUAAUUGAUGUAGAUCACUAGAUUAGCACACAUGACACUUAAUCUUGGAGGGCCCAGAUAUUGGAAAAAGGUUGUGUUGAUAGAAAACCUAUAAUGCUCUUUCGCCUUUCAAUACUAUAAUAUAUAACAAAAUGUCAGGACCGCGAAAUAUGGGUUCAACAUGAAUGGACAUACAACAAGGAUCAAUUCAAAUGAAAGAGGACUAAUGUACGAACAUUAUUUAGGAGGAAUCCGAAGGUAAACCUUUGCUAUUUAUCAAAGUGAUACUUGAAUUCUACUGAUAUACAUAGAUAUGGAAAGUUACUGAUAUCAGAGGAAUCUCCUGAAACAACAGAAAAUAUGGGGCCUACAAAAAGUUCCUAACUUCUUAUGCAUAAAAUUCUUUAAAUUCACUUACAUUAUAACUUUACUUUUCAAUUUUUUUUUUUAAAAAAAGAAUCAGAUAUAUUAAAUAUUAACAAAUAAAGAAUCAGAUAUAUGAAAUUCACCAAAGUAACUUCUCUAAAAAAAGAAAUAAGUCUGAACACCAAAGAACAGAGAUCAGGGUCUAGUUAUUGGGCAAAUGCACUAUUUUUUAUUUUUUGGAAAAUCUCAAGCAGAAGCAUUGUCAUUUACUAGUAGAUCAUAAAAAAAAAUAUGUUGCAUUAUGAAGAUAUUGACAUGGAAUUCAGAGAUUAAUUCUAAAGGGACCCUGCACUUUCAACUGUAGGAUUUUUUUAUCAAUACUGCUUUGACAGAGUGGAUUCUUCAAAAUUUGAAAGGCAAAAUGUAUGGAGACCACUCACCUCUAGGCCAUUCUGAAAUGGACCCCUUAAGUUUUGACCUUUUUGAUUGACACCCUAACUUCUAUUUUUUUAAAAAAAUUAAUUUUUUACAGUUAAUUAAGAUAAAAUUUUGAUUGAAUUUCAUAGCUUAAUUUGCUAUUAUCAACAGUUAACUAAUCUAAUAUUAUUCACCACAAAGUAGUUUAAACUAUUAAACUUGAUGAAAUUAUCAAUCAAUUUGGUAAAAUUCCCAAUUUAUUUGGCUAAAAAAAUCACUUCUAAAAAAUCAAACGUUUGAGAGGUCCCAAUAAAAAAGGAGAAAAUAUGUAGUUCAGGGGUUUGUUUCAGAAAGGCCUAUCAUUGAGGGGGUCUCCAUACAUUUUUACCAAUUUAAUAUUUUCACCAGUGGAAACCACGUGGGUGGGACCAAAACCCCCAACGGUCACAUACAAAUAUGGCAACGCUCCCCUGAAUUCAAAUCAAAGCAAAUCCGAAAUAAACUCCCCAUUCCUUUUCAAAGAGACCGAAUUUCAUACCUACCAACUGAAGCUCAUAUUUUAGCAAACCCCUCUGCAUCCAUUUCAAUGAUCAAAACACUGAAGAAGCUCAAAAUCUGGUCUAAACUGAAGAGGAGAAAGAAGAAUAGGAAGCCCAACACACUUACCCAACCAGCCGAUCCCUCCUGCCCCCGCUGCAAUUGCCCAGUAUGGCCGUGGCCUGAACCCUCUGCUCCGCCUUUGCCACCGUUUGUGAACCUUGUGAACUCUGCCGAGGCGACCCCAUUCUCGGAGAUUACUCCUCUGUAUGCUUCUUCAUAUCAGCGCUACUUUGUUCCGUCUCCCACGUACGGAAUGCCGAUCCAUCAAGAUGCUGUUCAGAAAGACUUUGAUUCAAGGCUUGGUAAAUGUGUUCGCCGGAUUGCUGCAUUGGUAACCAGUUGUUUCAGUUAUUGUCUUCGUUAGUUCCAUGAAUUCCCUCAAAUUCGGCCUUUUCUCCAUUUGUAUAUUGUUCUAGACUGAAAAAGCACUUUUGCAAAAGCUCCAAUCAGGCCCACACAUGCCAUUAUUUUUAUUUCUUUUUUGAAAAAAAAAGAAUUAGGAGGUUCGUGAUAAGAACUGAAUACUGCGCUUUAAAACAAAAUCGCAGGAUUCAUGAGUCUAGAUGAUUAAUUUUCUCAUUCAACUACUUCUGUAACUUAAAAAUGUUGCGAGCAUGCUGACUAGAAUGUCCUUGAGUAUUUCCUGAUUUCGUAGGAUAUUGAGGUGAUGGAAACCAGGUACUUGUUUAAAGUUGAACUGCGGGGGAUCAUCUUCACGCAUUCUGAGAGACUGUUAUAGUAGUUCAACAACUGCGCCAUCGCAGCUUUUAGAAUUUCCAUUCCACAUGAAAGAUUGCUAAAUGAAGUAAUGACAUCUUUAUGCAUUGCCUCUAGAACGGCUUUCCACCGCAUUGCAAAGUCCUUCACCAAAGGUUCAACAUCAGCAAUUGUUGGACUUCCUGUGAAGGAAGUUGACUCUUCAUCUGGGAACAUGCAUGAAUAUCACUGAGUCGCUGUUUUAAGAAAUAAAGGUUCAUGAUAAAUGGAAAUAGUCUCAGCUUUACCGUCGUAAGCCUUCACAAACUUGAUCAGAUCAGUAAAAUGCUCCGAAAGCAAUUCCUCCUGCAUUAAAUGCAGGAGUAAGAGGAAAAUUCAAACAGUAAAUUUCGGAAAAUUCAAUAUCUGCUCAAACAAAUAACAAGUUGAAGGCAUCAACUACAGGAUGAAGCCAAUCUACAAAUAGCCAAUGAUCACAAAAGAAAGUUCAACAUGAUUAAUUUUUUUUAACAUUUUUUUACCCCCAUUAUAAAUUUCAGAGCAGUUAUGCUAACUAAAAGGGUUUUGUAACAUCUCCCUUUUCAUACUGUACUUCAGGGGUAAUACACACUGCUCCUCACACCUUUUCUUUUUCUUUCUACUAUCUGAAAAAGCUGAAAUUGCAAAAAGUCAGCAACAGCCUCGCUUUAUUAACAUUUAUGAUGUGGAUGAAUCCUCGAUUUUAAACCAUUGACAAAGGGAAUCUCCUUUUCAACAUAAAUAAUCUAUAGAAUUGACUUAGUUAACCAGGUAAUUUAUCAUAGAAGACUUACUAAUGCAUUCAGCAUGUUAGACAAGACAACUCACUUCACCUAAGGCAUCAAAAAAUUAGUGAAAUAAAAAGUUCAUGGCAAAAGUUUAUGCAUUAGCUCGCCUCAGCAGAGAGAUGGAAAUUAUGAUGACAGAUUUGGAAAAAGAUGGUAGUAGCACUUGUUGCUAUCUUCAGAAGUAUCAAUAGUAGCUGUGUAAACCUUUAGGGGAAAUGAGUUGUAUUUAUCAAGCAGAAUGGAAAUUGUAGAAAUUAUUUCCAUUGCUUCUGAUACUGGCCAAUAUAGCUAUCCAUAUAUAGUUGGACAAAGGAGCACAGUAUUGUGGGUUAUUAGGUUUUUACCACAAACAAAGAAAUAUUGCUUUCAAGCUUUUCUUCAAAGAAUGUUGGAAUUUUUCCAAUGUCACCUGCCUCCUGCAAAGAACACACCAUAUUUAGACAGGACGAUUACUUAUUAGGUGUUAGAUAAAACAGCAAAGAGACAAAUGAAAUGUAGCAGAGUUAUGCACUUACCUUCAAGACAGCUAUAAUCAUAUCAUAGUUAUUAAGAAGGAACAAAGCUUGUGAUUUUGGUAUUCUAAAUCGUUCGGCCAGCCUGACAAGUAGGUUAUCAAUUGCCAUAUGCAAUUGCUCCAAGUUCAUAUCAAGCUACAAGGAUCACAUAAGAAAUAUAAAGGUAUAGUCAAUUUGCUACAGCAUACAUAAAGCAAAGUGAAGCUACUCAGAAUUAUCAGUUCGCGGUUUCAGAUAGUUAAGCACUUAGUGAUUCUGUAGUGCCAUAUAAAGUAAAUCUUAAAAGGCAAGUCUUCUUCAAAAUAAUCUCAUAAAAUCACAUGGCUUUUCAUUAACGGUCAACUGACCUGAUUAUUUCCAUAUUCUACAUUGAGCUGAAUAAGGGAGGCUGCAAACUCAGCAUAGCACCGUAUUGCAUAGUGUGGGUGAGUGUCAUCCUCCCAUAAUGUUUUGACAUCACAAUUUUUCAGACAUUGCAGAUGCAUAUCAAUUACUUUCUUGAAACAUGGCCAAAGGAAAAUAUUGACCUGACAAUUAUUAGAAUGUGACAAUUGUUAAUCUUUAAGUACAUGAGAAAGUAAGGUUAAACAAAGAAUAUUGCCAUGAAAACAUACUAAGAUAAGUAAGAGAAAGCAAAUUAACAAGAAACAUAGUUUCUUCAAAUCUUCUAGUCAAAUGACUUCGGACGAGAGAUGGAAAAAUGAAGAUGUUUUGGAUGGACCAUUUGGUAACUAAAAACUGAAUUACCCUAGUGCUUUUGAAAUGAGAUCCCAAAUCCAUUUGUACUUGCCUUUCGUCCAACCCAUGGGGCUGCGAAGAAGCACUCACAUCACAAUAUCACAUGGAAUGCAACACAAAGUAGUCAUGAUGACACAAGGCCUUUCCUGUAAUGAUGUGCAUUAAGCUGCUAGGAUGGAUCUUGGACAGAAGAUGACUAGCAUGAGAUAUGUGGAUAGAUCUAAUGUUUUCUCCUGAGGAUCCCUCUCUUUUAUUAUGCUUUGGAUUGCUCUCUAUCGGUUCUGGGUCUGCUUAAGAAUAGGAACAGUAGCCUCAUCAAAUCCCCUGAUGGAUCCGAGUCCAGAAAAGAGCCAAAGUUUACAAAAUUUAGAAAUGGCAAUGUUAAAUCCUUUGUAACUGAUGGCUGAUUGCUAGAUAUUCUGUACUUUCUGUUUUCAGUAUUCUGACAUAGGCAACCUAUUAAUUCAACAAAUUGAUUGAUAAAUAGUAAAGAGUCGAUGGAUUUGUACAAAUGUGUACAAAUGCAAUCCGAGUGGAGUAACCUUUCAGCCUGCGGAGCCAUUAAUCAAAACUAACCAGAUGCCGAAGCAGCCCUAAGCCCUAUCUAAAUGGAUUGUACUUGAAGCAAGCUAGAAUGAAUGAUCAUGGAUAAAUUGAACUGCCAAAGAUUUGCUUUGUACUUUUACAAUUCUCGAGAGUCUUGCAGUUUUCAUUGCAAUCAAUUUGACUUCCAAACAAACACAAGACUCACUUAGCACACUUUGUUAUCAAAUUUGACAGCAUAUUAAACAUAUAUGUGCUGCUAACUUUGGUGCCGUUCUAAUUUCAACCAAACAAUUCAGUUUGGACAUAAUUCUGAACCUGGAAGGGCUAUAUUCUGAACCUACAACAACAUAAUAUCUGAUGAAGAGCAAUUGAUGCAAGACGCAAAUCAAAUUUUCUUUUUGUACACCAACAAUUCCUUGCAAACCAUGACUUCCAGCAAAUUGCAAUCUAAGAAAAACACAUUACUUAGCUCAGUCAUGCCAAGUCCGUGGUAGAAGGUGGCAAGUAGGUUAUCGUAGUGAAAUUUUCUGUAAAUAUAAAAGAGUGUCGUUGCAUUUAAUUUUGCUUUUAACUCAAUCCCGGGAGCAUUUCAUAAAAAAACUUUCUUAUGAUUCAAGAUAAGAUUGAUGUCCAAUAUGAGUCAAAUUCAGGUAAUAUUUAGUGGUGUUUUCGACAGUGAACAUUAAUUGCAUUUCCAGUAUUGUUGAUCCUAACCUUAUCAAAGUACGAAUCCAGACAAGGAAUCCGCCUCCUGGACAUAAUUACCUGAAACAGAGAGAAUUAUAAUAUGCACACACAUCAUAAGAUAGAAUUUCCGUUACUAUGAAAGACAGCUAUUUAAUAAAGCUACAAGAUCUACUAAACUGGCCUCAUUAACCAACCACCAGUCGUAGGGCUGUUCUAAAACACAUGUAUAUUUCUAGCUCUCUUUGUAAAACUCUGUUCUAUAAUAGCAUUCCUCCACCGUAAGAAGUUAUAAAGAUCAAUAUAUCAUAAAGAUGUAGGAAACAUGUAAAUCAUGAAGAUCACAUGCAAAAGAGAACAUUCAUCUGAAACUGGAUGAACUCAAAAAGAAAAGAACAGAUUUUCUGAAGUAAAUACCAUCAUGAUUUACGAGUAAUAGUUAGAUUCAAAUGAAAUAGUUGACAAAAAGAAUUAGAAUCAAGAUUUCUUGAUAUCCAUGUACAUAUGAGGUAAUCUCAUAAGAUCUCAACAGCAAUACAAACAAAUAUUAAGCAGCAAUUGUCUACAUUCAAGAUAUAUAAAACUGAUAUGUUCUCUUGAAAUUUCAUGUAACUGAUAGCAAUCAUGGUUCAUUAGCAAUAUAAUGAUUAAAAUCCUAUGCACCUCAUUUUUAGGCAUGAACAUGUACAUAUGAGGUAAUCUCAUAAGAUCUCAACAGCAAUACAAACAAAUAUUAAGCAGCAAUUGUCUACAUUCAAGAUAUAUAAAACUGAUACGUUCUCUUGAAAUUUCAUGUAACUGAUAGCAAUCAUGGUUCAUUAGCAAAAUAAUGAUUAAAAUCCUAUGCGCCUCAUUUUUAGGCAUGAACAUGUAACCAGAAUUUUUUCUGAUUGUUGCAGAACUUUGAAUUCAUGAGUGCAACAUAGAUACAGAUCAAACUCCAAAUUUUAGAAAAAUAGAUGUGUGCAGAAACACAAAAUCAUAUAGAAUAAUGAAAAUAGAAUAGAAUUGCAAAGAACAAAAAAAAGAAAUGAAACGACAAUGAAAACUAAACAUAGAAAAUUUAUUGAGAAAAAAAAGGCUUGUCAGCUUUUUUACCUUUGAUUUUUACGCAAGGAUUAAAGUGCCCAUCAACACAGGCUAUAUCCACCAUGUCGUAUCGUGCCAACAAGAUAUUGACACGAUACAGCCCUCGUGCCGAUGGCACAACUCAAAACCCUUUAUUCUUGAAAUUUGUAAGUAAUUUUCUCAAUAAAAUUCAAAAGAUUUGAUAAAAAUACAUAAUAAAUAAUUGGCAUAUUUUGUUGCUAAAGAAAAUAAAUAUUUCAUGCCAUUACGUGUCGGCACACAUAUAUUGUUUGUGACGGGCGCGCAUCGGCAUGGCCCAGUAUGCACCAUGCCGUACUGUGCCGGUAAGUUUCCGGCACGACCCCACCCCACGGCACUUAAAUUCUUGUUUUUACAUAUUAGGGCAAAAAAGCAAGAAAUAAACCCAAUAUGACUUUGCUAAAAUCAGCACCAACAAUACCUGGUGCUUCCGUGUUAUGCAGAUCAUAAGCAUUAAGCAUAUCGCAUCAUAACAAUUUGGAAGUACUAGUUUCAAAUGUUCAUCAAUAACUGUGAAAGCUCCUGAAAGAAACAGCAGACAUAGGUAAAUAUUGUUUUAUUCUUAAUAUAUGAAUUAGAGUAGACGCUUUCCUUCAUUAUGAAAAUCAUAUACAUUAGAUUAAAUUGUUUCCUGGAAUAUGAACCAUCCUGUCUUUUCACGUGCAUCUACAAGUUACCUGCAAAGAUUUCAUACAAUAGUGAUGCUUCUCCAAAAAAGGCCUCAAGAAAAAGGUACCUGAAGAGCAAACAAAUGCAGAGCAAACAAAAGCAUUAUGCAGCAAAACAUCAGUGAGUGGUCUUGUUAUUAGAAAGCAUAUAAAGUUUUAGUUCAAAAAAAAAUAAAUACUCUGAACAGGAUGUAUCUAUCAAAAGCUUGUGUAAGCUCCUAAAGAGAGCUUCGUAUGGAUAUCUUAAAGCAUUGGCUUCUGAUAUAUGUGGAACCAAAGCCGGUUGAUCAACUUCCUGAGAAAAUUAAAAUGGAAUCAUAAUCUUUAAGAGAAAAUUAGUAAGCUGCUCCGAAUUAUAAAUGGCUCAGAAUCAAAUCCAAUUAAAAAAAAAAAUCUGUUGUUCACAUUUCUAAUAAGCACAGUCAUGGGAAUUUUAUCUAAAUAGAUACAAUCAUCCUCUAGUAAGGCAAAGCAGGCUAGCAUCUACUCUUUGUGUUCUAUUUCAAUUGUGUUCCAAAUUGCAAGCAUUUUGGCCUACAGUUUAUUGUGAAUGAGGAAAUCAGAGAAGUGAGAUUUCUUAUUUCGAAGCCAGCAGCCACUAGAGACAAUCCUGAAAUGAUCUAGAGAAAUGAGAAAGUUAGAACCUUAGAGCAAUUUUCCAUUUGGUGACUCUUUCUGCAUUGGAGGUGGAACCAUCAAUUUGCAAGCCCAAGAUAUUUUGACACAGCACACAGCAAUGACACUAAAUUAAAUUGCUACAUGUUCCCUUUGAAACAAUGGCCUCCACAUAGUUAAUUUCAUAUCUCUUUUUUUUUUUCUGGAGGACGUUGUCUCAAUGAUUUAAAAUAACAAUGUAACUCGUGCAGCCUAUGAGUUAAAGCUCCAAAAACUCACGAAAAGUCAAUGAUAUGAAACACAAUGGCAACAACCAGUAAUGCUGUCCACUCAAUUUCUAGAUAUAGAUAGAUUGUUAGGUAAGUCUUCAGUAAGAAUAUUCAACAAUUCAUUCAAAUGCAAAAUAAUGGUAUUUAAGAAGCGUAAUGUUUUAUAGCAGGGAAUGAAAGGCAAGAACAAUGGCUGCUUAUCCAAAUUCAAACUUUUAGUGGAGACCACCCAAGAAAUAUUUCAGAAAAGAAAAAGUGACUCAAAACAGGGAUUGAAAUCAAGUUAAUAGAGGUUUGGAAAUUAAAAUUAGAUGGCCUAGUAGAAGGACAUCAAAUUAAUAAUGAACAUUUCUGAAAUCUUGACUUUUUGAAAGUGGUGAAUCAUGACUGUUUUAUUCUAUAGAGGAGAAAUGAGAAUACUAGUAACCAAAAAGUACUCAUUAACAGCCUAGCCAAGAGAAGUGUAUGGAACAACUCAACCAAAUGGUAAUAGUUAUAUACCUUCAAAAUGUUUAUCCUCUCCCCUAAAGCAAAGAUUGAAGAACGUUUUUGGGAAUGUUCCUGCACUCUCAAAAGAACACCCAAGCUUUUAGAGUCACUUCCAAAUAAAUCAUUUGGUGUUGCCAUAUUCAUCUGCAGUCUCUCAAGUGCUUCUAUGUAGACAAAGAAAUGCACACUCAACACCUAGAAAGUUGGAGAAAAUUACAUCUGAAUUACGAAACAAUAAGAUUAAAAUAACAAGAUUCCUCAGUCCAAAUUAUAUAAAGAAUGCUGGUAACUUUAAACUUUCACAGUACGAACAUUAUUUUCUUGAACUUAGUAUUUAAGUUCCCAAAUACAGGUGCAUACAUGUAUGCUGCAAAUUCUCAUGCCCAUGCAUGAGUAUGACUGCAUGGUCAAUUUGUGUUCAUAUAUAUAUAUAUAUAUAUAUAUAUAUAUAUAUAUAUAGAGAGAGAGAGAGAGAGAGAGAGAGAGAGAGAGAGAUGAAGAGGCGGAGGGAGAGACAUAAGAACUAUUAUGGUUUUAGAAGAACAAAAGACUUUGUCUUCCACUUCAUUUUUUAUGAUCGGGCUUCCACCUAUGUCAAACAUGAUCUAGAAUAUUUCAAGCAUCUAGGAUACAACUUCGCGGCUCCUAAAAAUUUUAUUCCAGUGCAUCAAUACAAAACAAUCUUGCAAAUCCAUCCGCCUUAAAGAAAAAUAGAAUGUAAUUCUUCAAUUUAAGAUCAAGAAUAUAGAUAUCGAUCAAGAUAACACUAAGCUUUUGCAAAAAAAGAUCAACUAAUGUGAAUUCUUCUACAUCGUUAAAUAAUAAGCACUUCAUAUCCAGUACUAAAACUGAAAAUUGAAACAUAAUUAUCACCACCAAACAAGCAUCAAAAGAAGAAUAUAGACUUCAUUUAGAAUAGAAACACAAAAACUGUGAAAGCAUGCUAGUUAGAGGCUUAUUAUGCCAAUGGCACAUAGAUGGUGUAUGUUUGCACAGCAUUGCAUGACAUAGCAUGGCACUGUACGGUGCCAAACUGGGCUUGUCGCAUCCCCUGUACCAGCACUUAAAUUCUUGGUUAUGACUACUAGUGGCAACAUAUGCAAGCUACUAUAUAAUUUGACUUCUCUCCAAUGAAUUGGUUUUGACCUAUAGUCAAACCAAAAUAAACUCAACCGCAGGUUACAACAGAUGCAACCUACAAAGAGCUUAUUUCAACUUGAACAUGAUCACCAUUAUGUUAUCUUCUCUUCUUUAAAAUCCCUUGGCAUUUCUAUUUAAUUGUCUAAAGAGAGUACAAGGCAUAUUGAAGUACUUGUAGGAAAUCCGUAUUCUACAUUGAGCACAGACUAAAUUAGGUGGUAUGCAUAUAGACAAUAGAGAAUGAAGAAGUUGCAUAUUUGAACAUUUACCUUGUUCAUCGUAUCAAUAUAUGCUGCUAGAAUAUCUGGAUAUUUCUCUUUGCCAUGUUCUUUGAGAAAAAGAAUGAGAUACCUACAAAUAAAUACACACAAGUAGAAAAGUACAAUAUUGGAAAAAUAUUAUCAUAAGAAUUAAUUUUCAAGGAAAACAGGUUGCUUAGCAAUGUUAUCAAAAUAUCAAAAGAUUCAUGUAAAAUGAGAAUCAAAUGAAAAGUAAUUUUAUCGAAAGGAAAUUAAACAAAGUAUCAAACCAUACAUGGUGUCUUCUUCUAUCAAUUAAUGUAAUAAAUCAUCUUAACAGUGAUAUCAUCCCAUAGAUGACAGCCCACUCAUGUUACCCAGAAAGCUAGAGAUACCAAUGGCACUCUCUCUAAUAAUAGCAGCACAGACACUAUCAUUCCCAUAGAAUCCUAAAGGCAGCAGCCUACUUGUGUUUCCAGAAACUUUACCACAAUUGGGUCAGAAAUGAUCUAAAAUAUUAAUUUAUUUAUUAAAUUUUCUGGUAUUGUUUCAUUUUCAUUGUUAGUUUGUCCACCAUUGGCUUUAUUCUUUCUAUACAAAAUUUCAGUUUGAUAUAUCAAUUCCAACAAAUUUCUUAUUGGUCUAUAUAAUCACUUAUGCAUAUUACGGUCACUGUAAGAAGAAUAACUCACCUAUAUUUCAGAAGGGAGUUUUGUUGCAACAUUUGAAUAUUUGUUUUUGGCUUUCUCAAGGAAUAGAUCUUCUCAAUGAUGAAAUCAAAUACCUAAAAAAAGAAAAAAGAAUAAACUAAUGCAAAUAUAUAUUUUUAGUUUUGCUUACACAUGCGCACGCAUGCACACACCCCUAACAUUCCUAAUAAGAUGAUCUCAUGUAUUUACAGUAUAUGCAUGGAGGUGUAGGCUGUUAUUUGUGAACAAGUAAUUUUGUUAAAAAGUAUUUUGCAAAAACCUUUGCUACUGCCGUUUGUCGAAGUCUGUCCAUCUCUUGCUGAACAUCCUGAAAAACUUCUGAUGCAUUUAACAUAUAAUCAAUUCCAACAAAUUUCAGCUUUUUGCUUAAGACCUCCAGGUGUCUCAGAUAUUCCUCAUUCACCUGUAAAAGACAAGUGAAUUGAUAACUUAACCAAACAUGUCACUCUACAUGCACAAAUGCUUAGAUCUGUGUGCAGGUAUGGAUAUGUCGUUUGAAACAUUUUGGCAGACAUGUUAUAACCCCCAUUUUGGCAGAGAUGCUAACCCAUAGUACCAAUGCUAAGGUACCUACAUCUAGAUAAUAAUAGUCCAGACAUCCUACAAGGUGCACCAGUAGAAGCACAAUGCUCUAUUGAGAUAUGCCAUGGUGCACAACUGCAGACCUCAGACAGCAUCAUCAUAAAUUGGCUCUAAAGGUGGUUGUAAUGGGUAUGAUUCAUACUGAUGGGCAGUGCAAGAUUCGCCAUUGCUUAGUGACACAUACAUGCAUGGUUUUAUUUAUUCCCCAGCUACCCAUACUGAUUGGUUAUCGGCACAGUCGGCAGAUGUUGUACAGAGCAUCUUUAAUGAGUCAGCAGGCCUAAGGAACUGGUACACAAAAUGGUAAGCACAUGCCCACUAGCACAACAUUCCUCGCAUUUAUGCAUAUGUGUGCAAAACUUACUGAAUUUUGGUAGUGUUAGUUUGACAUCCAACGACUUUUAAUUGUUGCUUGCACAGGCAAGAACAAAUUCGACCCUAGCCUUGCCAGGCUAUGAGAAGAAGGCAGGAUAAUGUCCUUGAAAUAUCAAUCCUGGCCUAUUGAGAAAUGGAUGCCAACAGCUCAACCUACAAACAUUGCUGCUGAGCACAAAUGCAGGAAAGAAGUUUUUGCUUGAUUCUGACAAUUAACAGAUCUUCUUCAUUAUACAAAUCAAUCAACUGAAAAAAGUCCUACGUAUUAGUCCCUAUAUCCCAUAUAAAAUGAGGAGUGAUAGCCAGUUUUGGUAAAAUUUAUGCUUCAUAACCUCAUAUGCAUUAUCUGACUAAAACAAUCUUGUUAUUGUUUUGUCAAUUAUUAAUAUAUGCUUGCGCACUUUCAUAUUGGAAGAAAAUUGUCCGACGAUUAAACUUUUUCUGUAGCACAUCUGUCUGGAAAUGUCUAUUAAAAAAGAUAAACCCCACCUUGAGACAUCUGUCUGGGACUAAGUUAAUGAAAAAAAAAAAGAAGAAAAAAAGAAAAAGAGAAGGAAAGUAAUAAUGUCCAAGAAUGGGCUCAAUAUGCUUCAAGUUCUCAUAUCGAAUAACAGAUAAGGACUAAGGUUACCUCUCCAUCAAUAAUAGCUGUCACCAGACUGGGGGGAGCUAUAAUUUCUUCGAUGAAUUUUGCCAAUUUCAAUUCCACCAGCUGUGAAAGAACAUUCCUGUGAGCAUAUUAACAUGCAAGAGAGAGGAAAAACGCAGCAUAAAUAAUUUGGCGGUUGGUACUCGAGGUCCCAAGUUCGAAUCCUAGUUGAUUCACAUUUCCAGCUAAGUUUAUUUCUAAAUGAAAUAAGCGAAGCGGGAAGCGGGUAGCAUGCUACCUAUCUCUCAAAAAAAAAAAAAAAAAAAUUGUACACCUCAAUAUGCGGAUCAUAAAUAAAUGCCCACUCACUGGCAAAUGUUUGAACUACGCAGUCCUUCUGUAUGAAUUUUUUCAUAAAAUGUAUCCAAACAACUUCAACUAUACACCAUUUGAAAUGGCACUCUCAACUUUAUUUACUUAUUUAUUUUUGUUGGCACCCCCUUAACUCGAAUAAAGUAAGGAUUUUAUCAAAUUCACCAAUAAUUCCAUCAAAUUUAAUUGUUUUGAUCAUCACUUUCAAGUAAAUGAAACUGGAACAAUUAAUGUCUAAUAGAGCCUUUAAAUUUAACAGUAUUUUCAACUUAACUAACAUGAUCAAAUAAAAUAAUUAGAAGUUAAGGAGGGUGUCAAACGAAAAAGUGAAGUUGAGGGGCCUAUUUCGAAAUGCCAUGUAUUUGAGGCAGUCUCCAUACAUUUUCACCAAAUUGUUUUCCACUUUAGUUUGAAUUAUUUCAACAAAUCUACUAAAGUAAAUAAUGACAUGUCCCAAAUUCACGCCAAAAUAUUAGUGUUUUUAAAUGAGAUGUAUUCAUUAAAUAACUUAACGGAUAUUUGGCUAACAAGUUAAAGGAACACCUCCUGUGUUCAUUGGCAGCUUGUCUAGAAUCGAGUCAAACAGAAACAGGACAAGUUAUCGCACUAAUGGCACACUGCUAGCAACAACACACCUAAGUCUGCUACACUUGUAUGUUUCAAGAAAUCAUUAUUUUUGUAGUAAUCUUAUAGAUAUUCAUUUAGGAUUUUCAGGUUCUGUUUCAAGAGAUGAUAUCCUGAAUGUUUCUCAUAUUCAUGUCAACUUGCACAAUUACAAAUCUACAUAUAAAAUAGGAUUUCCCUACCUUACGGUUCUUUAGCUUCAUACCCAUCUCCAUAGAUUUCUCCUGAAGACUCUUUAUUUCUGCACUAAUGGAACCAAUCUCCACCUGUCAUAAGAUUAGUUUAUUAGUUAGUAGAAGAUACCUGCUCUGCAUGACAUUGAAUUUCAUUUAUUAAUUCCAUUCAAUAUUAAAGAAACUUUCCAAAUAUCAGAAAAAGGGUUAGAAAGCAAACACCUGGAACCCACCCAGAAGAGAACCUAUUUGUGACAAAAUUAUUUCACAAUCAUGAAACUGACCAUGCAGUAGGACCAAGUUAUCACUCUCUUCAAUAUAGGUCUGCACAUGGGUGAAAGGAAAGUAUUAUACACUAGGAGUGCACAUAACUUUUAUAAAGCCUAAUUAUGAUGAGAGACAACAAAAUUAAUACAAAUAUGGCAUAGAAGUUAUCCUGCAAAUCUAAGAGAAAUUUUGCAAUAUAUUAAAAAUCAUAGAAAGACAAGUAGAAGCAGCAUAGAAGGGGGAGUAAAAGAUUAUGCCAUGAAGCACAUCGAAUUUCCAACAAUUGUUGUGUGAUUAGCACAAUGCUUUUGUUUUGAAGCCUAAUUAUGAUGAGAGACAACAAAAUUUAAUACAAAUAUGGCAUAGAAGUUAUUCUGCAAAUCUACGAGAAAUUUUGCAAUAUAUUAAAAAUCAUAGAAAGACAAGUAGAAGCAGCAUAGAAGGGGGAGUAAAAGAUUAUGCCAUGAAGCACGUUGAAUUUCCAACAAUUGUUGUGUGAUUAGCACAAUGCUUUUGUUUUGAUAUCUGCUUUAAGUUUCUUAUUCUUUAGUUCAUUUACAUGCAUUCUCCUUGAAAGUUACUAAUAUAUGUCAAAUAUAAAGACAAAGAAAUGCCAUUACUUCAAGGUAUCCCUGUUCAUCUCUGCGUAAGUUGCUCUCAACUCCCCUUGUAUACUCCUGCAAGUUUGUACCAUUGGCAAAUAUAUUUGCUGGUACCUUCAAAACAAGCAACAAAUUUCUUAGUACAAAUUUACAUGGUAGUGGUUGUCUAAGGCUCUAAGCAGAAAUGAAAAGUCAUGCUUCUACCAUGCACUAUACAUAUUGUCCAUUUGGGAUUGAUUCCACUCACUAAAUCAGUGUAGGAGUGUUUAUUUUGAAAAUCCUAUUGUUAAAUACAAUUUAAAUUAUCUUGACAUUUGUUAAUCUAACAUCACAGUCUACAGGAAAGGAAAUAAGGGAAAUCAUCAUCAUUUUGAAGAUCCCAUUGUUAAAUAUGAUCUAGAUUAUCAUUUUUUCUAUUAGUCUAACAUCAGAGUCCCUUGAAAAGGACACAACAGCAACAGUAACAACAAGUAUAUGACUGCUCAGUUGUUGAGGAGUUUAAUUAACUAAAAAAUGUGUGAAAAUGACAUCAUGUUAGUCUCAGUCCAAACUGUACCAUAUUGUAAUAGCUCAAGACCUCAGGUACAUUAAGAACAGAUAUUCAUACAAUGCCAUCAAAUUAUCAGCGUCAUCCAAGCCUUUUCCCUCUGCGGUGGGGUUGCCUAGAGAAAAGCUCUUAGGUAAGAAAGUUACAAACUAUUGGCAAAUUUACACUCUGACAACCAGACACCAAUCUUCUAAAAUUGGCAUAUCUUUAUAAAUCCAUACGCAUGAGACAGUAGGAGGCACUUUACUCACAUCAUCAUUACUGCAUCCUUUAAGUUCUUCAUGUAGCCCAUCCAAUGGUACAUCAUCACUGCUGGAGAAAAGUUGAAAAUUUCAGAUAUAUAAAAAACAUUAGCAAUAACUGUACACCCUCCAAGACAUAAAAAAAAGUUAAUCAUAUGAAGCAAAAUUAUAUUUUCUUAAAAAAUGGUAAUACACUUCAUUAUUAAACUUUUUAUAUCCCCGAAAUAUUUAAUCUCCCUUUACUUUCAAAGUAAAUAGAUCCAGAUCCUCCAAUACAGUUGGAUAUGCCAAUUACAAGUUAUAAUGAUAUCUCAAAAGCUUGGAAAUGUAUUCAUAGCUAAAGCUCAUUAUAAAUGAACAUAGACAAAUUAAAUGCACAAGCUACAGAAUAUAAAAGUUCAAUUUGGAAAAGUCAUAAACAAACCCAUGUUAAACAAACAAAAAAAAAAGUGCUCUUAAGCUUUUGUUUCCUCAAAUAAUAUGUAAAAAAGUCUAUUAUUUUGGCAUUACUAAAGCCAAACCUUUCCACUUUCAUAUUCUUUCUGAUGUCAAAUGCAAUCUUAGUUACACACAGUGCCAUUUUUGACUGCCUUAAAUUACCAAUAAGGAAAAUUAGAGCAAGAUCUGAAUUCCAGAGAGAAAAGAUGUCAGACCUACUAGAAUCCUCAUCUAAGGAAAAAUAAUCAGUAAAUAAUUGUUGGUCAGAUCCCUGCUUAAAAUCCUGCAUCUCACUGUUAUAGUCACCCUGAAUCCAUGCCUACAUAAAAUUCAGACAGAGAUAAAGAAAUAGUGCAAGUAAUUGGAACUAGAAUUUUAGCUCUAACAAUAUAAUUAUGAUCAGAAACAGUGAGAUUGCUAACAUAUUAACUACUCAAAAAGAAGUGGCAUAGAUUGUCAUUGUUAAAAACUCUUAUUAUGUUUUUCUUGUGUUAAUGUACAAUUCUUCACCUGUUCUCUUUGUUUGUUGCUUUUUCAGCUCCUGGCUUCUUUGACAGAGAAUAGGAAAUGAAGUUCAAGAGAGCAGGCAGAGCAUUCUGAGCUAUCGAUCAUAAAGGGUUUAAUGCAUCAGAUAUACCCAGAAGCACUCCUCUCUUUUCUCCUUAUAUCUCCCUUUCUCAUACAAAUAAAGUCUUUUUAACCCCUAAUGCCGCUACAGCAUUUAGAAAUAGGCACUAGAGUUUUCAUUGCUAACUACUUUUGCAAAGAGAAAUAUAAUUAUAACAAGAAUGACCAGAUACUUCGGGAGGGAAACAAAAUCAUCAAGAAAUUGUAUAGACAACUUUCUGAAAGGUUUUUAACACCCUGUACAAAUACAGCAUUUACAAAUAGGCAGUAGAGGCACUCCCUAUCAUGGUUAACUACUUUUGCAGUAAGAAGUAUAAUUAGAACCAGAUAAGUCAGACACUUCAUGAGGAGGGUUCUUACCAUUCUUGAUCAUCCUACUUUUCUUAUUUACCAAGGCCACAUGUAAAUUUACCUUCUGACAGAUCCAUAUCAUACUGAAAAAGAAAAAGGAAUCAUUAAUAUCAUCAUAUAAACCUACUUUUGCAUACGAAUAAGCACGAUUAGACGAAGGAUGGAUAAGGUGGUCGAGGAAAGAAACAGAGCCAUCAAGAAACUGUAGAGGGAAAAGGGAGAAAGGAGGAGAAUGCUUACCGUUAUUGAUCAUCUUACACGUCUUAUUCAAACUAUAAAUAUCAAAAAUCCUAGUUUUCUUGUUGAUCAAGGUGACACCAACAUUUAACAUUCGAAGAGACCUAAUUUCACAUCAAGCAAGGAAAGUAAAAUAUUAAUAUCAUAUAAACCCACUUUCGCAAAAGAAUAAGCAAUACUAGAUCAAGGAUGGAGGAUUCUUACCGUUCUUGAUCAUCUUACACGUCUUUUUCAAACUAGGAAUCAGCAAAAAUCCUAGUUUUCUCGUUGAUCAAGGUGACGCCAACAUUUAACAUUCAAUGAGACCUAAUAUCACAUCAAGCAAGGAAAGUAAAAUAUUAAUAUCAUAUAAACCCACUUUCGCAAAAGAAUAAGCAAUACUAGAUCAAGGAUGGAGGAUUCUUACUGUUCUUGAUCAUCUUACACGUCUUUUUCAAACUAGGAAUCAGCAAAAAUCCUAGUUUUCUUGUUGAUCGAGGUGACGCCAACAUUUAACAUUCAAUGAGACCUCAUAUCACAUUGAACAAGAAAAGGACGAGAUUAGUCUCAUAUAAACCUACUUUCGAAGAACGAAGAAGCACGAUUCGGUCAAAGGUGAAUCGAAUAGCUGAGCAGGAAAUUGCAGAGGGAAACGGAAGAGAGGGGAGAGGAAUCGUACCAUUAGGGAUUAGAGCGAGCUAGGGUUUGGAGAUUGGAAUGGCGCCUCUAGUGGCGAAAUCGCGGAUCUAUGCGAAGAAGAGAGAGAGAGAGAGAGAGAGAGAGAGAGCCGAUCCUUUCACUCUGCUCCGUUCGACGAGAAAUUUGCGGGACACGGGAUGCUUCGAUGCGUAUUUAUUGGGCAAGAAUCGGACCGUUGGAUUGUGAACGUUUCGAAAAGCUGCGGUGACGUUACCGCCAUGGAGACGGGUUUAAUUGGAUCAGCACUUUAAAUGAAGAAAAAAAAAAUAAUUGUUUACAAAUUACAAUAUGAAAAUUUUUAAAACCUUUAUUUAGCUCCAAACAACUAAUAGUCCAUUUGCUUGCGAUGAAUGCGCAGUUAAAAUCACAAUUCCUAUAAAGUUGCUAAUACAUAUGUUUGUUACGUCACUAGAUACGCCACUAGAUUUACUAAAUUUGUCGAAUUCGUACUCACAAACAUAUAGACUUUUUUUUUUGAGAGAUAGGUAGCACGCUACUCUCUUCGUUUAUUUCAUUAGAAAUAAACUUAGCUGAAAAUGUGAAUCAAUUAUGAUUCAAAUUUGAGACAUCGGAUAUCAACUACCAAGCCCUUUCUUUUGCUUUAGGGACAAUUGCUCUAGAGAUGGUCGGUCACAAACAUAUAGACUUUAGUUCUUCAUCGUAGUUGAGUGGGGCACAGAGUCAAUCAAUUAGGAUUCAAAUUUGAGACCUCGGAUAUCAACUACCAAGCCCUUUCUUUUGCUUUAGGGACAAUUGCUCUCGAGAUGGUCGGUCACAAACAUAUAGACUUUAGUUCUUCAUUGUAGUUGAGUGGGGCACAGAGUCAAUCAAUUAGGAUUCAAAUUUGAGACAUCGGAUAUCAACUACCAAGCCCUUUCUUUUGCAUUAGGAACAAUUGCUCUAGAAAUGGUCGGUCACAAACAUAUAGACUUUAGUUCUUCAUUGUAGUUGAGUGGGGCACAGAGUCAACUUUGUGCAACUCACGAAUCUGAAUCGCUCUCAUCUUUACACUUCCAAACAGUUUCUUCUAAGUACUACUACCAAAAAAUGUUUGGACUUCUUACUUCGACACUAUGAAAUGACAUAUUCACAUAUAUGAUCUCGUCAUGUCUCGGGGCUUGAAUUGAAACAUUUUUGUUGGUGUGCAUAAGACGUUCUCUCUCAAACACACAAAAUGAACACAAUAAUAAAAACUCAUACAAACAAUAAGAGUUUCAUACACCGACCGUCCCUAGAGUAAGUGGCAAAGGGCUUAGUGGUUGGUAUCCGAGACCCAAGUUCGAAUCCUAGUUGAUUCACAUUUCCAGCUAAGUUUAUUUCUAAAUGAAAUAAACGAAAUGAGUAGCGUGCUACCUAUCUCUAAAAAAAAAAAAAGAGUUUCAUACGAGUUGGAGUAUCAAAAUAUAGAUCUAGUAUUCUAUUACUUUUUUUUUUUUUGAAAUAAAGGUAGCAUGCUAUCCGUUUUGUUUAUUUUUUUUGAAAAUAAACUUUAAUAGAAAUGUGAAUUCAAACUUGAUAUCUCAAGUAUCAACCACCAAACCCUUUUAACUCAUGUUUUGAGAGACGAUGAAAACAUCCAAUUUUGGUCAGAUAGUUGGGUACGUAGGAGACGCCCCCCCUCAGAUCUUUGUUCCUACAUAUCUUCAAUGGGAUUCGAAACAAGAAUAUACGAAUUUUCAAUUGCUGCGGAAGAAGGGGUUGGAGAUGGCGUGUCAUUCUCCGAGGCUUUGAAAUUUCUACAACUUACAAUAGAUAAAAGCCCCACCAAUUAAUGGAAUUACUUGGGAAUGAGUGCCUGUCGAGCGAUUGGAAUGAGGUGCACCGGAGGUGGACUGCUAAUCACCUCUUCUCUGUCAAGUAAUCUUACAACUUUAUCACUGACGGUGGGAGCAAAGAUCAUCUUAGUUUCCGAAUUUGGAAGUUUAAAAUUAAUGCCACUUAAAAUCAAAGUCUUUGCUUCGUUGGUGCUAAGAAAAAGAGUCCUCUCUGCAGACAUUCUUCAUAAACGCGGUAGGAUAGAUGAACAACUAUGCAUGUUCAGUGCAAUGAACUUGAAACGUGUGUUCAUCUUUUCUCUGGAUGCAUAUUCGUUAGAUAUUUGAUCUUUUGCUUAAAUAACGGGCUCCCAAACUUCCAAGCUUCGUUGGACAGCAGAGGAAUGUGGGCAGCUUCUAGAUUUCCGCGAUAAACAGAUGCGUCUCAAAAGAGUUACACUUCUGUCUGCUCUCUAGUGGUCGAUCUAGAUUGAAUGGAAUAACAUAAUCUUCUGAGACAAGGUUAGCAAUUCGGCUUUCCUGCUUCAGAUAUCAGUCAAUCUUUGAGCUCGUGGGAGGUGAUUUGUUGAGUUGCUAUUUCUUCUUUUUUUUUUUUUGGUAUUUGUAUUUGUAUUUUAUUUUAUUUUACUUUUAUUUUUAUUUUUUAGAGGCUCUGGCUGCCUUCAUCACCGAUGCUAAAUUUUUUUUCUCUUAGUGAAUGAAACAUAUAGCUUACUACUUUUUUUUCAAAAAAAAAAAAGACGGUAUUCUAUUACAAUUAUAAAACUCAAAUGAGCUAUUAUAAGUUUAGUUCCAUGAUAAAUUUUUUUAAAUAUCAAGGUUAAUUCCACAAAAGGUUCCACUGAUCUAGCUACCUAAUCUUCAUAAAUUUUAAUUUUACUAUCUAAUCCUUUAAGUAUUUGACUUGAGCUUAUUAAUGACCCCUUUUAACUUUAAAAUUUGAAUGUUUUGUUUAUCUUUACAGAUUUAAUUAGUAUAUUUUGUGCAGUUUAGGUAACUAUAAAUAAAGUAGGACUUGUUGUUCCUAAGCCGUUUUCGAUGAUUAAACUUUCGAAUCGACGAUCAGCUCUGUUAGAUUUGAUCUAGCAUAUCUGUAGUAUGUAGAAAAUAAAUUUUGCGAUUUUUUGAUAUUAUUUACUUAAUGAUUGAAAGGGUUCAAAAUCAAUAAUUUUUAAUAGUUGGUGUGUGUCUUUUGCAAGUUUAAUGGUGUAUAAGUAUUUAAAUCAGAUGAAAUUUUGAUAGAAAGUUCUUUAUACUAUCUACAAUGAAAUUAAUAUCUCUAAUUGAAAAUUUUAGUACUAUAUCAUAACGUUGUGAGAUUUUUAUUUUCAACCGUUAAUUUUAAGUCAUUUUGAUUACUAGAUAAAUGAUAUCAAAAAACCACAAUUUAUUUUCUACAUACUUCAAAUACGCUAGGUCAAGUUUAACGGAAUCGAUCGUCGAUUCAGAAAUUCUAUUAUCGAAAACGGCUUAGGAGCACGAAGGCCUACUCACUAUAAAUAUAUAAAAGUAAGUAGUUAGUUUAAAUCUUGUAUCAAAAAAGUCACCAAAUGACAUAAACCAAAUAAAUUAAAAAAUUAGAUACUAGAAUAAAAUUUUAAUAAAUUAAAUAAUCGAAUCAAAAUAAUAUAUACUUUUUUUUUGAAAAAAAAAAAAUAGCACACUAUCUGCUUCAUUCAUUAAAAAUAUGAACUAGACUACAUGGAUGAGGCAAGCUGGGCCUCGAGAGAUAUAUACUUUAAUGUUCACACAAGUAAGUUCUAUACAUUUAGACAUAUUACUUGAUGUAACAAAGUGUAUAGCACAUGAAAAAGAGAGCACAAAUUUUUUUUACUAUUCCAAAUGUAGGAAUAUCUGCGCAUAGAAAUAGUUCCGCCGCUCAUCAGCAAGAGAGUAAAAUCCUCGCCGUCCGCUCAUCAGCAAGAGAGGUGAAAAAUAUUUUUCCAUUCGCCUCGGCGUAUAAAAAUAUUUUUAUAAAUUUGAAGAAAAAUUAAAAUUUUUACUUUCCCUUGUAUUUCAGUAAAAAAUGAAAAAAAUCAAACUGCGUAAAAUUUUUUCAUUUAUUUUUUUUCACGGAUCCAAAUAAAUAUAUAUAUAUAUUUUUUCAACCAAACAAUAUUUGAUAAAAAGCUUUUUUUUUUUUUACGAAUCAAACACUACAAAACCUUAAAAAAAAAAAAAAUCGACGUAUAUACAAGCAAGAUCGUACGCAAAAAAGAAAAAGAAAAAGAAAAUUCUGCAUGCACGCAGGUAGAGAUGUCAACGGGUAGGAUUCGGGACGAAUUUUUAAAAAUCCGAACCCGAAUGCGACUCCAAACCCGAGACCCGAAUCCGACCGAUUUUAAAAAUCAAUAUCCAAAUCCGAACCCGACCAAAAAUCCGAAAUCCGAACCCGAACCCGAACCCGAAAAUUUAAAUCCCAAACAAUUAUUUCUUUUUUCAAUAUUUUAAAAUAUAUUAUAUUAAAUCUAAAUUUUUAAAAUACAAAUUCAAAUAUAACAUCAAAUUUUUUAUAUAUAUAUUAUAUAUAAUACAAAAUAAAUUCAGAUUCGGGUCGGGUUCGGGCCGGGAUCGGCUUCGGGUCAGGUACAAUCAAAAUCCAUAUUCAAAUCCAUAUCCAUCGGUUUCUAUUUUUUAUAUCCAUAUCCGAAUCCAUAUCUAUAUCUAUCGGAUAUAUCCAUUCCAUUCGAGUUCGGAUUUUGAUAAAAUUUCGGGUAUCCAUACACAUUGAACAUCCCUACAUGCAGGAUCGGUCGUACGCCAAAAAAAAAAAAAAAAAAAGAAAAAGAAAAAGAAAAAGAAAGUAAAAUACGAAAACCUCCUCUUUCCAUAAAGUGCUUUUAAUUGCUUGAUUAGUGUGGGCUAGUACAACAGCUUUUUCCGUCCCGAAAAUACAAAGAAAAAAGCUUCAUCUUCUUCAAUCCGAUCAAGUCACUCAGCCGAAAGAAAAUUUUUCAAUUUUUUUUUUUUUUUUUUCAUUUCCCCGGAUUCUCACUCUCUCUAAACCAUGUUAUCCUGCUUCCUUGAUCUUUGUCGGAUCUUCUUCGACUGCUGCGGAGAUGAUGAGGAACAAGAACGAAGAAGCAGCUACGGCGCCGGUUACUAUUCGCCGCUGCAAAGAGAGAGUUCGCCGAAGAGAUCGCCUGCGCCCGAAGCAUAUACACAAUAUACUGCUACUUAUAGUUGGAAAGCAUCAUCGCCGCCGCGGUUGAAACCUUCUUCAUCCUCUCUUGUUUCUUCAAAGCCUUAUUCUUCUUCGUCAGAUUCUUUUCCUUCUCCGUCUCCGGCGAAACCUCAAUCCAAACCUUCUUCAUCGUCUCUUGUUUCGUCGAAGGCUUCUUCUUCAUCAUCAUCAUCAUCAUCAUCUUCCUCCUUCUUAACUCCUUCCUUUACAGCUUCAUUUGCUUCUUCGUCUCCGGCGAAACCUCAAUCUCCUCACGCCGCAUCGGCCGGUGCAAAAACUUCGCAGCUGGCAAAACCUUCUUCAUCCUCUGUUGUUUCGUCGAAGGCUUCUUUUCCAUCAUCAUCUCCCCCCUCCUUAACUCGUUCUUCAACGGUUUCUUCUGUUCCUCCAUCUCCGGCGAAAGCUCAACCUCCUCAUGCUGCAUCUGCUGGUGCAAAAGCUUCGCAGAUAUCGAAACCUUAUUCUUCGCCCUCUCUUGCAGAAACUUCUUCUGCAUCAUCUAUCUUUUUAACUCCUUCCUUAACAGCUUAUUUUGCUUCUCUGUCUCUGGCAAAAACGCAAUCUCCUCACGCCACAUCGGCCAGUGCAAAAACUUCGCCGCUGUUAAAACCUCCUUCGUCCUCUGUUGUUUCGUCGAAGGCUUCUUCUUCGUCGUCAGCUUCCUCUUCCGUAACUCCUUUACCAGCUUCUUCUGCUCCUCCAUCUCCGGCAAAAGCUCGGCCUCCUCAUGCCACAUCUGCUGGUGCAAAAGCUUCGCGGCUAUCGGAACCUAAUUCUUCGCCUUCUCUUGUUUCGUCUAAGGCUUCUUCUUCAUCAUCUUCCUCCUUAACUCCUUCUUCAACAGCUUCUUUUGCUCCUCCUCCUCCAGUAAAAGCUCAAUCUCCUCAUGCCUCAUCAACUGGUCCAAAAGCUUCGCUGCAGUGGAAACCUGUUCCAUCGAAGGCUUCUUCUUCGUCAUUUUCCUUCUUAGCUCCUUCUUCAACAGCUUCCUUUGCUUCGCCAUCUCCGGCAAAAGCUCAGCCUCCUCAUGCCACAUCAGCUGGUGCAAAAGCUUCGCAGCUAUCGGAACCUUCCUUGCCCUCUCUUGUUUCGUCUAAGGCUCUUCCUUCCCCAGUAAAAGCUCAAUCUCCUCAUGCCGCAUCGGCUGGUCCAAUAGCUUCGCUGCAGUGGAAACCUGUUUCAUCGAAGGCUUCUUCUUCGUCAUUUUCCUUCUUAGCUCCUUCUUCAACAGCUUCCUUUGCUUCGCCAUCUCCGGCAAAAGCUCAGCCUCCUCAUGCCACAUCAGCUGGUGCAAAAGCUUCGCAGCUAUCGGAACCUUCUUUGCCCUCUCUCGUUUUGUCUAAAGCUGCUUCUUCAUCAUCUUCCUCCUUAACUCCCUCUUCAACAGCUUCUUCUGCUUCUCCAUCUCCAGCAAAAGCUCAGUCUCCUCACGCCGCAUCAGGCAGUGGAUCUCCUGCAAGAGCUUGGCCGCUAGCAGAACCUUCUUCGCCCUCUUCUGUUUCGUCGAAGGCUUCUUCUUCGUCAUCUUCCUCCUUACCUCCUUUAACGGCUUCUUUUGCUUCGCCCCAAUUUGAGCAGCGGAAUAAGAUCAGUCAGCUCCCCCGGUACGAGAUACCGAAGCAUCUGCGGGAGCAGAUCAAGAAUGAUGUCGUGCCCCAAGUGCUCAAAAGGCCCUUAUCCCCAUCAACUUAUGCUGAUUACUUUGCCGCUCUGCUUUAUGCAGAGGACUACUAUUCUGAGGUACUCUUCUCACAUUUUGUUAUUCUAACUACUUCCAGAAUAACAACAUGAGUUGGCUAGGCGAGCAUAAGUUCGUAUUUUGACAUUUAGCAAAGUAAUUGCAAUAUGAACUAUGGCAAAGCAACUCUCUUUGUUGUUGUUGUUGUUGUUGUUGGAGAAAAGAAUCUAUCACUCUGGUCCCUUGGAGGGCCUGUAUGGAAUAGAGCUUCGAUUUGUCCAGCAACCAAUUUUGGUUCCCUUUCGAUCAUCACAGGUCUCGAAACUCGAGGCAAGUAAUUUAUCAUUUUCUCUGGUGUUAUAGUACGCGAAAUACUAGAAUUCAUUGUGUAGCAGAACAUUUUAAAAGCGACAAAACGAACAAAGAGACGCUAUUGUGUUGUAUGUUUACGUCUUGAGCUGAUUCCGAACAUGUCCCAGAGUUUUGCACAGUAUCAGUGUUUCAGAAGCUAACAGAAAUUUUAGCUGCCUUUCAACUCCAUCUUCAUAACCAUAAUCUCGCAACCCUUUCAUGGCCUUCCUCGUUAUCUGUAGCUGCAAGUGAUUAUUCAUAACUAGUAUAAGUCGGAGAAACUGAUCAACAAAGACAAAUAAUUGUAACUUCAAUAGUAUAAUAUCAACAUUGGUUCUUUAUAACAGCAUUGCAGUAUGCAUGUGUACUGAACUGUUCUCCUAACCAAAUGCUGUAAUCUAUGUCCUGUCACUAUGCUUUUCAUAGGAAUUUCAGUUUCAGUUUGCUCUCUCUUUAUGCUCUUAAGCAGUCUCGUGUUUCAUUAGUUCCAAAUUAAUAUUCCCUUCCGAAUUUAACUACGUAGUUUGCUUUUCAACAGAAAUGGAGCGACUUUAUUUUGCAUGAUGUCAUGCUGGAAUUGCGUAAAAAGGACAGCUUCAAGAUUCAGAACUCAGCUGGAGGCAACAAGAACAACAAAAGUAAUGCUCAGAAGGAUAAGCCUUUUGUAGCUUUCGAGAUUGAUUCAGUUCCUGAGAAGCGGCCGUACCUCAUAUCAAGGGAUCAUGUCCUCGUGCGACCCGCUGGGAAGCAAAUUGAGCCCUUUCAGGUGUGUGUCAAUGGAUCUUCUUCUUCUUAUGCUUAUUCAUCUUAUUAUUCUUCUUCUUUUGCUUGGCCCCCUGUGCUCAUACUGUGGGUGUUCCCAAUUUAGUAAUUUGGUUUAUUGUACCUGCAUCAAUCAUCAACAGAUUAGGAGAUGAAGUUUCAAUUUUCAUUUAAUCAUUUGCUCAAUUUUCAUUUAGUCAACUUUUAGGAGCCUUUGAAGAGUAGACCAGAUAAUUCUUGUUUCAACCAUCACCUAGAUAACUAUAUACAUGUUUCAAUUUCCUUAAGAAGGUUAUGUAGUUGCUAGCUUUUGCAAGAAACGCGCUGCUACGUGAGAUGGUCGAAUGUCGUGUGUCCUCAAAUUUCUAUUUCCUCCCGAUUUUUUUUAAGAAUCGGGAGCUUAUUCUCCGACGAUCCCCUCACCAUCUUUCUUUCUUGUGUCAUGGUUUGGACCCACCUGAAACGCUUUUGCAGAGUCUUAUUUAGAGUUUGAUGCAGUUUAUGAUAAAAUGCCGAUACACAGCGAAUUUGACAGAUGAACUUUUGCACCAUUACCAGGGAAUCUUCUUCCGGGUCGAAAAGAGCAAAUGGGUGUUAGCCGAAUUCGGAGACAAUUUCCACAAGCAACACUCGCCCUCGAAGAAGUACGACGUUAGCUUCUCCUUCAACCGGGUUUGCUUGAAGCGAUGUCACCACGCGGUUUCGGCUGCAAUGGAUCCUUUCCUCUGCAGCAUCCUUUUCCCCGACCCACCCCAUAAAACAUUCCUUGGACCCAUCCAUGAUUUCAACUUCACCCAGAAUGACCGAGAAAGUGCCGUGAUUGCGAUAAUAAGCCAUAUUAUAAAUCUACGAAGUCCUGAACCUUAUCUUCUCGAGGGGCCUCUUUCAGAAACGCCAUCAGGCAAUCUCUCUGAAAUGGGGAAUGUGAUUCACUCAGCUAUUCUGCAGCUCUACAGAACCUGCACCAGCAGUAAAAUCCUUGUAUGUGCUCCGAGAAACCGGACAUUGGAUGCGCUAACAAAAAGCCUGCUGGAGGACAUCCCAGAAUCGAGAAUUUUCCGUGCCAAUGCAGCCUUUCGAGAGUACAAUCUCGUCCCGGAUGACAUUAUGCCGGUGUGCUCAUUUGAGGAGGAGUGCUUCACUUGUCCACCUCUAGCUGAGCUUGAGAACUUCAGGGUUGUUACCUCUACCUUCAUCAGUACAUUUAGGCUGAAAGCUGCUGGAAUUGGUGCUGAUCAUUUCAGUCAUAUCUUUCUCGUCGACGCCUCUUCUUCUACGGAGCCUGAGACUGUUGUGGCUCUCGCGAAUCUCGUGGGCAAGACUACUGCUGUCAUGGUGACAGGGUCACUACUCAAUAUGCCGAAGUGCGUGAGAUCGGAUAUGGCGAGGAGAAAUGGAUUGAAGAAGUCGUUCUUUCAGAGGCUUCGUGAGAUGGAGCCCUACUGUCUGGAUGAUCCUAUGUGUAUCACCCAUGUUUAUGGUGAUGAUAAACGAAAUGAUGGAACUAUGAUACUUCCAUCAAUGGAUACUAAUGGAUUCGAGUACUAAGUGCACGGCGAUCGUGAUUCUUCUGGUACUAGGUAUAGUGGAGUGGCCUGUACAGAUAUAUCGCAGAAAACAGUUGCUGCAGUUACUGUAUAUGUUUGUGGUUCAUGCUGAAUAAUAAAUAAACUGGUGCGUAUCUAAUAAUAACUUACUCCCUAUGAUGAUUAUUUCAUGUGACUGAAAACUAGUAGUUUCAUUUUUGCCUCUUGGAAGAUCUUAGCAUUCAUAAUUUGGUAGAAUAGAGACAUUCAACUCGCACUCAUCUAGCCGUCUAUUAAAUCUUAUGUUCUUUUUUAAUAAAUCAAAAAGAUAUGUCAAAUAAAAUAUUCAUACAUUCAAACAGGGAUCGAAGUCUCAAUAUAUAGUAAAUAUUCUAGGAUAGAUUGCACAAGUGAUUUUUGAGCUUUUUAAGAGAUUGCCCCAAAAUUUUCCCGAGGUAUCAGGUUGUUGCAGAACCUUCCAAUUGUUAUACAAUUGGACCAAUAAUCUUUGCAUUCCUGCUCCUAGCAGAUUUUUGGGCAUCUUAGUCUAGUUUUUAUAGGAAAUGAAAAAGUUAGGGAUCAGAUUAUGAAUGUUCAAGAUCCCUUGGUCAAUUUAUGCCUCUCUUAAAUUUAAUGCUUAUAUAUUUGACACAUUUCAUUGAUUUCAACAACCUCAGAAUGAGUAAUCGUCACCUGCACUAGUAUAAAAUGAUGAACCUCUUCAAGCAAAAACAACAUGUACAUGACACUCAAUGCAACACGAAACUAUGAUUCAAAGAAUAACCAUUUUGAGCGUAACUGAAGCUACUGAUCGGGCUUUAAAUUGCAUGCGUGUCAACGGAACCAUCUCAGUACAUUUAUCACAUCAAAAGACAAAAGCAGAUCUCACUAUAUUUAUCGCAUCAAAAGACACAAGCAGCUGAACUUCCUAAUUGGCCAAGUAGUACAGCGCAAAUGCAUAAGCAUUUGGCAUAUUUAAAGUUAUGAAUAAGCUGACAACGGUACUUUUUGCGCUCAUGAACUCCUGGAGGCUUGCCUGAGUUUUGCUUGUAAUACUAGUCCGGCUUCAUCUGCUAUGCUUUUCUUUUUCGAAGCCAUCUGCAUUCAACAUCGUAGAAGUUACACAGUAGCAUAUUAGAGAAAAAUGUUCAUAAUAAUCUGAAGUUGUUCUUGCCUAUAAUGUCGAAAAUAAGUUAGCCAAUAAACACCACUAGGUGACACUAUUUCACCGAACCUUCUUUAAAGUAGAACUUCACACCUGAGCUUCCAUGGGUAAUACAGAAAUAGCAACUAAUGAAAACUGCACUGACGACAUAUAUGAUAACCAACAAAUGAUAAGUACACCCCCUAAAAGCAAAAAUACAGGUGUUUUCUUUUCUCCCUACCAAAGAACAGUUUCCAUUGGCGGUUUAGUUGUUUGCUUUAUAUUGUCCUCGCCUUCCCUUAAGUGAGCUUACACAUGACAAAAAAUGAGUUCAAGUGAUAUUCCCUCUUGAUUGGCAUUCUACAGGUAUAUUAUUGCCAGUUCAGAGAUGUAUAAUCAUGUGUACAGAGUAAGAACGGUUAAAAAUGAAAUAACAAGCAAAUUCUACAUAAAAUGCACUUAAACCAAAGAUAAAAUUAUGUUCCACGUUGCAAGAAGACAAAUCCUUUGACAGCCAAUAGAAAUUACUGCAGGAAAUGAAAAAUUGAAUAGGCAAAGAUAUAUUAGGCAUGAGAUGUUUUUUUUGGGAUUUCCAAUUGAUGUUGUCAAUCUGUAUGAAAAUACUCAUUACUGCACAUACAGCAUUCUAUGCCUAUUCAAAGAUGAAUAACUAAAUACUUGAUACAUCAUAAGGGUCUUCUUGUUGACAAAAAGAUAUGCAUGUCUCUCUAAACUAUUAAGUAUGGAUUAUGCAAUAAAACAAUCCAAUGAAAAGCUGGUGAUUUUUUCAGUGAGCAAAUAUGAGCCAUAAAAAGUAUGCCUCAAAAAGCACAAUAUACAAUAUAUCAUCACUUACCUCAACAAGCUCAUCAAAAUUAGACUUCAAUAAAUUGAUUUUCCGCUCAAAAUAAUCUUUGCCUUCGGCCAUGCUUUUCAUACAUAUCUUUUUAUACAGCAUUCUGCAUUGAUAAGAUAGGUAAUUAACCUUACAGAUCAUGCAAUACAGGUAUUCCAAAUCAAAGACAUAAACAUUUCAGGUAUUAAAACAAAAAUGACAUUGACGUCCUUUACAAUGGUAUGGAGGGAUCAAUUCAUGAAAGGACAAACAGUUAUCUCAUAAGACUGGAGAACAGGGUAUUGUAAAUUAUGCAUUUAUCCAAAUCAACCAAGCAUUUGCAAAACUAAAAUUCAAGCAGUGAUAGCCCAGAGAACAUCUAACCAUAUAAUUAACUAACAAAUUUCACAAGAAAAUUAACAAUUCGAUAAGCCCCAACCAAUCAUAGUCGAUAGUUCACAACAAACACAAACACUUUUGCAGGACUUAUUCAUGACAACAUAACAAAAGAAUGGAUUAGAAACCGCAAAAACCAAAUAACAUUUUCCUAAAGAGAGCUUCAUCUGUUUAACUUCAGCUAACUUAUUUCUCAUUUCAAUCUUUCCUAGAAAGCUUGAUUUAGUUAAAAAGAAACUCGCUAAUUAUCUGAUGUUAGUAUGCUACUAUGCCAACCAUUCUUUUAUUGAGGUCUUUUGCACCAAAUCAAAAUUUUUGCGCCAAAUUUAGUCGCCUGCACCAAAUGAUACACAAAAAAACAGAUCUUUUGCAUCAAAUCAAGCCCACAGUCAAACAAAAGUUGGUGCCUUUUCUUACAGCAAAUUAAAACACCAUGAUUAGGCUUUUUGCACCAAAUCAAAAUCUGUGCGCCAAAUUUAGUUGCUUGCACCAAAUGAUACUUAUAUAAAGCAGAUUUUUUUCCACAUCAAAUCAAGCAACAAAACUUAGCAGAGCCUUUCGGGUUUCCACAACCGCAAGAUGAAAACUUUGGGGGGUACUACUGGCACCAGGAUCUUCUUCCCUCAAAACCAACAACACAUUAGGGUUCCAUCUAGGGUUUCGACCGAAGGGGGAAUCAUUAAUAUCAUUACUAUCGGUGCAUUUACCUUCUGACAGAUCAAAGGCAUACUGAAAAAGAAAAAGGAAUCAUUAAUAUCAUAUAAACCUACUUUUGCAACAAAUAAGCAUGAUUAGAUGAAGGAUGAAUCAGGUGGUCGAGGAAGGAAACGGAGCCAUCAAGAACCUGUAGAGGGAAAAGGGAGAAAGGAGGAGGAUGCUUACCAUUGUUGAUCAUCUUACACGUCUUAUUCAAACUAUAAAUUAGCAAAAAUCCUAGUUUUCUUGUUGAUCAAGGUGACGCCAACAUUUAACAUUCGAAGAGGCCUAAUUUCACAUCAAGCAAGAAAAGAUUAACUAAUAUCAUAUAAACCCACUUUCACAAACGAAUAAGCAAUAUUAGAUCAAGUAUGGAGGAUUCUUACCGUUCUCCAUCAUUUUACACGUCUUAUUGAAACUAGGAAUCAGCAAAAAUCCUAGUUUUCUUGUCGAUCAAGGUCACGCGAACAUUCAACAUUCGAUGAGACCUCAUAUCACAUUGAACAAGAAAAUGGCAAGAUUAAUAUCAUAUAAGCCAACUUCCGCAGAACGAAGAGGCGCAAUUGGGUCAAAGAUGAAUCGAAUAGCUGAGCGACAAAUUGAAGAGGGAAACGGGACGGGGUUUGGAGAGGAAACGUACCAUUAGGGAUUAGAGCAAGCUAGGGUUUGGAGAUUGGAAUGGCGCCUCUAAUGGCGAAAUCGCGAUCUAUUCGAAGAAGAGAGAGAGAGAGAGAGAGAGAGAGAGAGAGAGAGAGAGCAAGCACCGACCCUUCUCUCUGCUCCGUUCAACGAGAAAUUUGCGGGAAAUGGGAUGCAUUGAUGCGUAUUUAUAGGGCCAGGAUCGGACCGUUGGGUUGUUAACGUUUCGAAAAGCUGCGGUGAGGUUUCCGCCACUGCACUUGCUUCCUUCGGGAUUGCAGGUUGAAUGCGUUACAUGCAGUGAGAAAGUACGUUGAAAAAAUAUUCUAUUUAUUUUUGUAAUAUUAUGUUCUGUAUAUCGCGAUGAGUCGAUUAUAUAUAUUUUUGAUUCUAUUGGAGAAUGCAGAAAUAUAUUUCUAUAUAUUUUUUUUUCAACUCUAUUUUAUCUAAUAGUGUUAGAUAAAUCUCAAUACCAAAUUAAGUUUAAAUAAAGUUUAACGGUAUGAAAAAUUUUAAAAACUUUAUUUAGAGCCAAACAACCAAUAGUCCAUUUGCUUGCGAUGAAUGAGCAGUUAAAAUCACAAUUCCAAAAUAAAGUUGCUAAUGCAUAUGUUUGUCAGGCUACUAGAUACACCACUAUAUUUAUUAAAAUUGUCCAACUUGUACUCACAAAUAUAUAGACUUUAGUUCUUAACUUCAAAAAAUUUUAAUUUUACUGUCUAAUUUUUUUAAAGUAUUUAAUUUGAGCUCGUCAACAGCUCCUUAAUUUUAAAAUUUAAAAUACAUUAUUUAUCUUUACAAACUUAAUAAGUAUAUUUUGUCUGGUUUAUGUAACUAUAAAUUUAUAGAAGUAGUAAUUAGUCUUAAAUAUUGUAUUGAAAAAGUCACCAAAUGACAUAAAUCAACCAAAUAAAAAAAAAUUGGAUACUUUCAUUAAAAUUUUAAUAGUCUCUCGUACUCUAUCCUUCAAAUAAGUUAGGCUAAAUUAUAUAAAACCUUAUGUCAAAAUCUGAUUUUUCAUUUUCUUCUUGUCAUUUAAAAACCUACACUUUGCCCCCUUGUAAAAAAAAAAAUGUUCACUUCGUCCUCUGCCAUUAGUAAUCCGUUAGGAUUCUGUUUAUAAACUAUUAUUAUAUAUUUUUUUAUGUCAAAAAUGUCCUCAGCCUUCUUUUUUGUAAACAUGAUGAGGGUCAAAAUAGUGAGGGACAAAAUGAUCAUUUUAUCAUCACAAUUCAUACCGUACUCUUCUGUGAAUAUUUUUAUUUUAUAAGAAGGAAAAGUGUAGAUUUUUAAAUAACUAGAGAAAAAAUAAAAAAUCGAGUUUUGACAGAAAAAUUUUCUGUAAUUUAGAAAAUAAGUAAUAUAUAUUUUUACUAAUUGAGUGGAUGCGUUAACCAUGCAUGUACAUGAAAAGGAGAGCCCGGCGUAGGAUGCGUUAAAACUACAAAAGCCUUCUCUUUUGGUAAAGGACUAGUGCAGGUACUUUUCCCCCGGAAAACCAAAGGAAAGCUUCGUCUUACUGCGAUCUGGUGAUGAACUCACUCAGCUGAAAGUUAUUAAAAGAAAAAAAAGGUCCAUUUUCUCCAAUUCGAAACCAUGAUAUCCGGCUUCCUUGAUUUCUGUCGGCGCUUGUUGGGAGGGCAAGAUGAAGAGAAUCAAGAGGGGGGCCGCCAUGGAUUCGAACGACGAAGCAGCUCCGGCGGUAACUCUUCGCCGCUGCAAAGAGAGAGUUCGCAGAGGAGAUCACCGGUGCCGGACGCUUCCUUUGCUUCUCCGUCUCCGGCGAGAGCUCAGCCUCCUCAUGCCGCAUCGGCCGGUGCAAAAGCUUCGCCGCAAUUAGAACCUCCUUCAUUUCAUCCUCUCUUGUUUCUUCGAAGCCUUAUUCUCCUUCCUCAUCUUCUUCAUCCUGCUUAACUCCUCCUUUAUGUACAGCUCCUUUUGCUUCUCCGUCUCCGGCAAAAGCUCAGCCUCCUCGUGCCGCAUCUUCUGCUCCUCCAUCAACAGCUUCUUUUUGUUCGCCGUCGAAGGUUUCUGUGGAUAAUUUGCCGCUGUUCGCUAGCGAGAAGUCGUCGGAACCGCCCCAGUUUGAUCAGCGGAAUAAGAUCGGUCAGCUCCCGCGGUACGAGAUCCCGGAGCAUCUGCAGGAGCAGAUCAAGAACGAUGCCGUGCCCCAGGUGCUCAAAAGGCCCUUAUCGCCAUCCACUUAUGCUGAUUACUUUGCCGCUCUGCUUUACGCAGAGGACUACUACUGUGAGGUACUCUUAUCAUAUUUCAUUGUCCUAACUACUUCCGAAUAUCAUGUGAUCUUUAGCGAAUGCAACUCUGCUUGCUGUUGUUGGAUAUUCCUUUCGAGGGCGUAUUUUGAAAGCUUUUUUGUUAAGACUCGCGAUUUGUCGAACAACUUGGAUUUUGCAACUAGGAGCGUCACGGUUCAGACUGAAGAUUCUGCUCGUAGGGCCACCGAAAUCUCAUCUAGGUUUCCUACUGUCGUGUGUCCUCGAUUGGCGCUGCCGAUGAUACUUCAAUUGUCGACUUUAGUAUUGAGCGAAAGGUUUACACCUAUAGGUUCUGUAUUGCAGGUCGAUCCUGCUACACACUAGUAUUCCCGGAAGUUCUAGACAUUGGUGUUGAUCUUUCGCUUCUUGAGUAGGGAGAAGCUUAAUUCAGAGCGACCAUACAACUCCUCCUUCAUAACGAUUAUCUUGCGACCCUUGGUGGAUUCAUCCCCUUAUCGUUAGUUGCAGCUGCAAUCAAAUAUUCAUACCGAGUGUGAGUUAGAUCGACAGAGAUUUAGAUACUUCUAAUAUCUUUAAUAGUAUCUCGACAUUGACUCCUCAUAACAGCAUUACAAUAGGUAAUCUAUAUCCUAUCACUUUGCUCUUUAUAGGAGUUCCAGUUUCAGUUUUCUUUCUCUCUUUACGCUCUUAAGCAGCCUCCUAUUCCAUCAGUUCCAAUUUAAUGUUCCUUUCCGUUUUUUGGUUAUGUAAUUUGCAUUUCAACAGAAAUGGAGCGAUUUUUUGUUGCUUGAUGUCACGCUGGAAUUGCGCGGAAGGGACAGCUUCAAGAUUCAGAACUCAGCUGGAGGCAAGAAGAACAAUAAAAGUAAUGCUCAGAAGGAUAAGCCCUUUGUAGCUUUUGAGAUCGGUUCAGUUCCUGAGAAGCGGCCGUACCUCCUAUCAAGGGAUCAUGUGCUUCUACGACCUGCCGGGAAGAAAACUGAACCUUUCCAGGUGCAUCUCUCAGGAUCUUCUUCUUCUUAUUCUUCUUAUUCUUAGAUUGGACUCAAAUCUUUACACUUACAGUGGCUUAGUUCGUGUCGUGGAUCUGUUUAGUGAACUUUUGUAUCAUUGCCAGGGAAUCCUGUUCCGGGUCGAAAAGAGCAAAUGGGUGUUAGCCGAAUUCUCAGACGAUUUCCACAAGCAACACUCACCCUCGAAGAAGUACGACGUUAGCUUCUCCUUCAACAGGGUUUGCUUGAAGCGGUCUCACCAGGCGGUUUCAGCUGCAAUGGAUCCUUUCCUCUGUAGCAUCCUUUUCCCCGACCCACCGCGUAACCCAUUUCUCGGACCCAUCCGUAGUUCCGAUUUCACCCAGAACGACCGAAAAAGUAACAUGCUUGCGAUAAUAGGCCGGAUUCUACGUCUGAAAGGUCCUCAGCCUUAUCUUCUACUCGAAGGGCCUCUUUCACAAGGCAUGGAGAAGCUGAUCCAAAUAGCUAUUCUCCAACUCUAUGAAACCUGUUCCAAUAAUAGAAUCCUUGUAUGUGCUCCGAGAAACUGGACAUUGGAUGCACUAACAAAAAGCCUGCUAAAGGAUAUCCCAGAAUCGAGAAUGUUCCGUGCUAAUGCGGCAUUUCGAGACUAUGAUCUCGUCCCGGAUGACGUUAUGCCGGCGUGCUUGUUUGAGGGGGAGUGCUUCACUUGUCCACCACUGGCUGAGCUUAAGAGUUUCAGGGUUGUUACCUCGACCUUCAUCAGUUCAUAUAGGUUGUAUGCUGCUGGAAUUGGUGCAGAUCAUUUCACUCAUAUCUUUCUCGUCGACGCGUCUUAUGCUACGGAGCCUGAAACUAUUGUGGCUUUUGCAAAUCUUGUGGGCAAGACUACGGCGAUUGUGGCGACAGGGUCGGCACAGGAGAGUCCGGCGUGGGUGAGAUCGGAUAUUGGUAGGAGAAAUGGAUUGAAGAAGUCGUUCUUUCGGCGGCUUCUUGAGAUGGAGCCCUACUCUCUGCGUGAUCCUAUGUACAUUGCCCAUAUCCAGUGAAUUUCUUGUGAAAGAAUUGAUGCGAUUAUGAUACUUACACCGACGGAUUUGUGUACAAGUGUGCGGCGAGUCGUGAUGCUUCUGAUAGCUGGUAUAGUAGAGUGGCCUCCAUAGAAAUGUUGUGUAAACAGUUGCUACAGUUCCAGUAAAUGUGUGUGGUUUGUGCUGAAUAAUAAACUCGUGCAUAUCUAAUAAUAACUUGCUCCAUAUGAUGAUUUCUCAUGUGAUUGAAAGCUAGUAGUUUUAUUUUUGCCUCUUGAAAGGUCUUAGCAUUUAUGAAGUCGCACUCAUCUAAUUAUCUAUGAAAUCUUAUGUACUUUUCGAUAAGUAAAAAAAAAAUGUGAAUAAAAUAUUCAUGCAUCUAAACACACUCGAAAUCUCAAUAUUAAGUACUUUCUGAUAGAUUGCGCAAGUGAUUUUUUGACCUUUCAAGAGAUUUCCCCAAACUUUCGCCAAGGUACCAGGUUGUUCCAGAACCUUCCAAUUGUUAUACAAUUGGACAAAUAAUUAAUCUGUGCAUUCCUUCACCUAGCAGUUUUUCUGGACAUCUUAUUCUAGGUCUUUGGAAAUGAAAAAGUUAGGGAUCAGAUUAUAGAGGUGCAGGAUCCCUGGAUCAAUGUACCCAUAGAUGUAAUGCCUGUCCUAAAUUUAAUGCUCAUAUUUGACACAUUUCAUUGAUUUCAACAACCGCAGAAUGAGUAAUCACCCGCACUUGUAUAAAAUGAUGAACAUCUUCAAGCAAAAACAAUAAAAACAUGACACUCAAUGCAACAGACUACUAUGCUUCAAAUUUCAAAGAAAAACCAUAUUGAGCAUAACUAAAAUUAAUGAUCAGGCUUUAAACUGCCAAUGGAACCAUCACUCACUACAUUCAUCACAUCGAAAGACGCAAGCAAAUCGACAUCCUAAUUGGCCAAGUAGUACAAUGCAAAUGCGUAAGCAUUUGGCAUAUUUAGAGUUGAGAAUAAGCCGAGAAAAGGACUUUUUGCUCUCAUGAACUUGCGGAGGCUUGCCUGAGUUUUGCUUGUAAUACCAGUCCAGCUUCAUCUGCUAUGCUUUUCUUUUUCGAAGCCAUCUGCAUUCAACGUUGAAGAAGUUACAAGGUAGCAUAGUAGAGAAAAAUGUUUCACAAUAAUCUGAAGAAAAUGUUCUUGCAUAGGAUGAAGAAAAUAAGUUAAGAGUCAAUAAACACCACAAGGCGACAAGUAUUUCACCGAACCUUCUUUAAAUAGAACCUUAUGCAUGAUUUUCUAUGAGUAUUACAGAAUAGCAAGUCAAGAAAACUGCACUAACAACAUAUAAAAUAACCUACAAAUGCUAAAGCACACUCUUGGAAGCGAAAAUUCAUGUGAAAAUUUUUUCUUACAAGAAGUUCAAUUUUAUUUUGAUUGCGCAAAAAAAUAGUAAUGUUUGGGUCAUAACUUAGUGCAUUUGAGUAAUGAGCUGAGAUUCCAUUGCCGGUUUAAUUGUUUGCUUUUAUAUUGUCCUCACCUUUCCUUAACCGGGCUUACACAUGAUGAAAAUGUGUACAACUGACUUUCCCUCUUGAUUGGCUUUACCCAAAUAUAUUAUCACUAGUACAGAGAUGUACAAUCAUGUGUAGAGAGUAAGAAUGGUAAAAAAUGAGACAAGAAGCAAAUUGUACAUAUAAUGGGCUUAAAUCAAUGACAUAAUUACAGUCUACAUAGCAAGAAGACAAAUCCUUUGACAGCCAAUAAAAACUGCUGCACAAACCAUAACACUGGAUAAGAGAAAAUAUAUUAGGCAUGAGACGCCUUUUUUGGGUUACCUGUUGACAUAGUUCAUCUGCAUGAACUGAAGCAAAUGGUGGGAAAAGAACUGAAAAUACCCAUUACUAAGCAUACAGCAUUCUAUGCCUAUUCAAAGACAAAUAACUAAAUACUUGAUACAUCAAGGGUCUUCUUGUUGUAUAAAAAGAUAUGCAAGUCUCUCUAAACUAUCGAGUUAAGUAUAGCUUUUGGAAUAAAACAAUCCAAUGAAAAGCUGGCGGUUUUUUCAGCGAGCAAAAACGAGUCAUAAAAAGUAUUGCUCACAACGCACAAGAUGGAAUCACAUACCUCAACGAGCUCAUCAAAAUUAGACUUCAAUAAAUUGAUUUUCCGCUCACAAUAGUCUUUGCCUUCGGCCAUGGUUUUCUGCAUUAACAAGAUAGGUAAUUAACCUUACAGUCAUGCAAGAAAGGUUUUCCAAGUCAAAGACAUAAACAUUUUAAGGUAUCAAGACAAAAAUGACCUUGACAUCCUUUACAAUGGUAUAGAGGGAUCAAUUCAUGAAAGGAUAACAGUUGUCUGAUAAGGGUGGAGAACAGGGUAUCGUAAAUUAUGCAUUUAUCCAAAUCAACCGAGCAUUUGCAAAACUAAAAUUCAAGCAGCAAUAGCCCAGAGAACAUCUAACCAUAUAAUUAACUAACAAAUUUCACAGGAAAAAUUAACAAUUGGAUAAGCCCCAAAGAAUCAUAGUCGAUAGUUCACAACAAACACAAACACUUUUACAGGAUUGAUUCAUGACAACACAACAAAAGAAUAGAUUAGAAACCGCAAAACCCAAAGAACAUUUUCCUAAAGAGAACUUCAUCCGUUUAACUUUCGCUAAAUUAUUUCGCUAAAGAGAACUUCAUCCGUUUAACUUUCGCUAAAUUAUUUCUCAUUUCAAUCUUACCCAGAAAGCAUGAUUUAGUUAAAGAAAAACCUUACUAACU